AAAGGAAAAGGCCAAGAGCGUUGAGAAUUGAAGUUGUCUCAACUAUUUUGGAAAGUAUAAAGAAAGCUCAGAGCGAAGCUUCUGAGAAGAAUGACAGAAAGGAGGAACGUUUGGGCAAAACGUUGGUGUUCGGUGUAAACAGUCAUGGACUGAAGGUGUUCCAAGAUCGGAUUUGGAUACCUAAGUCAGGAGGAGUUAGAGAUCUUCUGAUGGAAGAAGCUCACAAGACCAUGUACUCGAUUCAUCCGGGUAGCACUAAAAUGUAUAGGGACCUGAAACCCUACUACUGGUGGCCGACGAUGAAGCUUGAUGUUGCAAAGUAUGUGGCCGAGUGUGUGACUUGUGCGAGAGUCAAGACACAACAUCAGAAACCGUACGGGAGUUUAGAACCAUUGCCUGUGCCUAUGGGUAAGUGGGAAGACAUUGCUAUGGAUUUUGUCACUAAACUGCCCAGAACAAAGAAUGGUCACGACAUGAUUUGGGUGGUCGUUGAUCGAUUCACUAAGAGUGCGCAUUUCAUAGCAGCCAAGGAGAAAUGGUCUAUGGAAAAGCUUGCGAAUUCUUACGUGAAGGAAAUUGUGAGGCUUCACGGUGUUCCGUUAACGAUUGUAUCGGAUCGUGAUAGCCGUUUCACCUCAAGGUUUUGGAAAAGUCUACAAGAGGAAAUGGGUACCAAGUUAUGUUUAAGUACAGCUUACCAUCCGCAGACUGAUGGUCAGAGUGAAAGAACGAUACAAACACUUGAAGAUAUGCUGAGAGCAUGUACCUUGGAAUUCCUAGGUAAUUGGGAUGAACAUUUACCUUUGGUAGAAUUUUCCUAUAAUAAUAGUUUCCACUCGAGCAUUAAGAUGGCACCUUAUCAAGCUUUGUAUGGACAGAAGUGUCGUACGCCGUCUUGUUGGCUUGAGGCUGGGGAAAAACAGUUUAUGGGACCUGAGAUGGUCCACCAGACUGCUGAGAAGUUGAAAGUGAUCAGGGAAAGAAUGUUAGCAGCUCAAGAUCGUCAAAAGAGCUAUGCUGACAAGAAGCGAAGACCGAUGACUUUUGAAGUUGGAGAUUCGGUUUUGCUUAAAGUCUUGCCGUGGAAGGGACUUAUAAGAUUUGGUAAAAGGGGAAAGUUGAGUCCAAGGUUUAUUGGACCGUUUAAAGUUCUUCAGAGGAUUGGGAACCAAGCUUACAAGCUUGAACUACCAGAGGAACUGAAUGGAAUUCACAACACUUUUCAUGUGUGUUAUUUGAGGAAGUUCAUGGGAGAAGUUCCCGAUAUAAUUCCAAUUUCUGAAUUGAGAAUUGAUGAAAACAAGAGGUUAAUUGAAGAACCAGAGGCAAUUGUUGACCAAAACACUUAGAAGUUUCGACGCAAGAUGGUCGAAUUAGUGCUGGUUUGUUGGAAACAUACGAAUGGGUCAAAUCUCACCUGGGAAACGGAGAGUGACAUGUUGAGUCGCUAUCUGCAUUUGUUUGUUGAUGUGUGAUUCCGGAGACGGAAUCAUCCUAAGGGGGAGAGAAUUGUAACGCCCGCGUUUCCAGGCUAGGCAUUUUCGUUGAUGUAAUAGUCUGGGUUAACCUUUGUAACCCUUUUUGAAAUAAUAGAAGUAUAUUAUUUGAGUAUUAUGUGUUUUGUGCUUAAUUGCUUAAAUAUGUGAUUUGAUUAAUUAAGAAUAAAAUGAGCGUCAUAAUUUAAGUGUAAAAUUAACUUGAUAUCCUUGGAUAAUGUUGUAGUAGUUGAAACGAGGUUUCCGAGUAUAUAAAGAACGCCCAAAUCUGACUUCAUAUGAGGAAGUUAUGAUUUUCUGAAGUUUCGACUUCGCGGUAUGCAGCCCGAAAUACUCGCUUUGAGAUCGAGCGGUUUUUAGUCGAAUCAAUCUAAACGAGAAUCGAAGAUCUCGUUGUUGGUAUCGAAGCGAUGAUAAGUUAGGUGGGAACGGACGUCAAUCGAAGAAGUUAUGAAUUUAUAACGAAGUUUUUCUGUCCCGGCCUACUAAAAAUAAUUAAUAAAAAUAAAGUCAAAAUUAGCCGACGAAGUCCAAACGAAAAUUGUAGAGCGUAGUCUCACCUACGCGUGGAUAUAAAGAAAGUCGAAAAUGGAGUUUGUAUGAAGAAGAUAUGAAUUUCGAAGUUUAUUAAAUAAUUUGUAUUUAAAUUUAAUCUUUAAUUCGGAUGUAUAUCCGAAGGAGUCACCGAUCUGAUCCGAAGUACGCCCAGCGUACCGUGAAGCAUGACGCACCUCGCACUCGAGUUCUUCGGAUGACGCAUGCCAUGACGAUUCGGACGUGUACGCCCAGCGUACUCCGAGGCUCCAGCCUCCUAUAAAUAGGAUGCGAGGGUUCCGGGUAUUUUUGCUCAUUUCUUCUCCUUUUGUGCCGAAGCUCUGCGCAUAAAUCCCCGAAGCCAUCCCGUAGCCCCAGAUCUCAUAGCCAAAUUAAGAAGGAAGUUUCACGCUCCCGGGAUCCCGAGAAGUGCGAUUCCCCAGCCGAAGCUCUGCCCGCAAGAAGUUCGAUUUUUGUAGAGAUCUUCCAAAUCUGCUAAGGAUUACUACUUUUGUAAGCCGUAGUGCUGUCCGAUCAUCUUCUGAUCAAGUGAGUGUAUACUACCUUUCAUAAACACGAUAAUAAUACAAGUAUGGUUUGAGUGUAUUAAGUAUAUUGUUGUUUAUAUGCGUGAGUGUGUGGUUACUUUCUUCUAACGCAUAAUUAUGAAGUAUUUUAUACGAAAUACGUGUUAUGUGUAUAAUUUUGUGGUUAUGUGUGUGAAUGUGUAUUCACUUUCUUCUAUCUCAUAGAUAUGAUUUAUUCUCUAUGAAAUAUGUGUUAUGUGUGUGUGCCUCAUCUGUUACGUGGAAUAUGUAUUGAUUAAAGCAUGCUAUACAUGUUUUUUUUAACUAUGUAUAAAAAUUUAUAUUUUUAUCUACUAAUAUGUUGGGUAUAACAUGGGUAGAUAGUUGGUGUGUAAUAAACAUAUGAUCGGCCUCGUUGUUGUUUGGAUUCAGUCAUCUAGCGGAGUUUAGAUGACGACCACAGACUUUUCUAGACAGUCCUGUGGAACGCUAGCAGGUUCACCACCUGUAGGUGUUAAUGAACUUGGGUGUUCAUUCGCUGUACUCCAUCCCCCUCAUGGUUGCCUUAUUUGACUUAUAUUGCUGAGGAACCCCCGAAGCAUGUGUUGUCGCCCCGAUGAAAUAUUCUUAGACUAGGUCCCUUAUGUCAGUUGUCUUAGGGAUGUAAAGUGAGAAUAACGGGAAUGGGUAAUUGGGUUAUUUUUGGUUGGUGGAAUUAAAUAUAAUUAUUUAUUGUGGGUUGAAAACCCUAUAUGCUCACCAGGCUCCCAAGCCUGACCCACUCAGUUUUAUUUGUAUUACAGGAAGUGGCGCAAGGGCAUAAGAUGGAUGAACCAUCAAGUUGUUUUGUUUACAAGUCUGUAUAUGUAUAUAUUUGUUGAAUGACUUGUAAUGUUAUCGUUUAUGCUUUAUGGUCUGUAUCGGAACAUGACAUCCCGAGUUUUGAUUAUAUAAUGAAAAUGCAUUUCUUUUAUGAAAUGCUUUGGUAAACAUUGUUUUAUCACGUUUUGUUUUUGGGAACAAAUUCCGCAACUCUUUCAAAUCAAAAGGAUUUACUCUGAAAUUAUUUUAAAAGCAUAAAUAAAAAUCGGUCUUUUCUGGCCGAGAUUUUGGGGAUGUCACAGUUGGUAUCAGAGCAUUAGUUUAAGCGAACUAGGAAUUUGUAGGAUUUCUAGACUUAAACUUAGAAUGCUAAGUGAAAUUUUGAGAUGUGUGUCUGUUAUGAUUUAGACACGAGCACUAGUUUAUUUUAGGAAAGUUGCCUAAAAUGCUUUUAUGUGCUAAAUGUUAUAUGUUGCCAUAUAUGAUAUUAUUUGUUCGGAUCUAUGGUCUGUUGCCGACCGGAUCUAGAAACCUUAUGUGUGUAGGAUUCUAAGCGUACGUCUACGAUAUUAGAACUAGCAUGUAAACGUUUCGGAGUGAUAAGGAUGAUUUGAAUAUCUAUCAUGAUUGAGGAUCUAAUUUCACCUUAUUCGGUGUAGAUCAAAAUGGUGAGAACAAGAAGUGGAGUUGGAAAUGCUGACGAAAACAGGAAUCAACCACCAGUGAUUGAACAAAUACCUGUCGUAGCAGCAGCACCUGAGCCAAUAACCAUGGCUGGUGUGCAAAUGAUGAUUCAAACAAUGUUGGAUCGUCAGAUGGAUGAAACUAGGCGGUUGCUUCAACAGAAUCGUGAAGAACUGUCAAUUCGUGUGGAAGAGCCCGAAUUAAAUGAAGGGCACUCGGAAGGUGGAAACUUCAGUGGGUCUGUUGGUCAAGCCAACCCACCGAUAGUUAGGCAAAACAACCAUGAUGGAAGGAAUGAUGGAAUGGGAUGCAAGUACAAGGACUUUCUAACUUGCAAACCAUCGACCUUCAAUGGAAAGGAGGAUCCGAUUGGAGUUAUGGAUUGGAUCUCCGAAAUGGAGUUAGCCUUCAUGACUUGUGGCUGCAGAGGCAAGUUGCAGACUAUCUAUGCAGUGCGUCAGUUCCGAGGUGGAGCCGUUCGUUGGUGGAACACUCUAGGGAAGACUUUAAGCCCUAAUGAGCCACUGCAAUUGACAUGGGCAGAAUUUUUGGUGCAGUUCAAACGCAAGUUCUGUUCGGCCCAAAAUUUGUUGGAGUUGGAGAAUAAGUUUUUGGCAUUGACGAAAGGCAGCAUGUCAGUUGAUGAAUACACCAAUAACUUCACCGAUAAGAUGGAGUUUGCCUUGCGUAUCGUCCCAGACGAGCUGACAAAGGUGGACCGGUAUGCGAAGGGACUCCCAUGGGAGUACGAGGUGCCAGUACGUCAGGCACAUACUCUAGAGGCAGCUAUCUGGGCUGCCAAGUCUGUUGAGAACAUGAUUAAGGGGAGAACCACCGACAAGGUUGAGGUUGGUGAGAAGAGAAAGUUUGAGGGAACAUCUGGUUCCGGUAAGAAAAGUAAAUUUUCGAAAUCUGAUUCGAAAAAGUUUGGUGGAGGAAAAGGAGGCGAAGCGAAGUGGUGUGAUAAGUGUAAGAAAAAGCACUUUGGAAAAUGUAGUGAGGAUGUAACCUGCUACAAGUGCGGAAAAAUUGGGCAUUUUGCCAAUGAAUGUCCGAACAACAAAAGGAUGUGUUUUGGUUGUAAUGAAGAGGGGCACAUUUUGAAAGACUGUCCGAAGAAAAAGGAGGCAGCUAAGCCCAACAUUCCACCAAAGCCGAAGGCGAGAGCCUUCCAGAUGACACUCGAAGCUGCGAAAGAUGAAGCUGAUGUCGCUUCAGGUACCUUUCUCGUAAACGAAUUACUUGCUCAAAUUUUGUUUGAUUCUGGAGCCAACUACUCUUUUAUUUCGCAUGAGUUUUGUAGAAAACUAGCCUUGCCUGUUGACAGACUAGAUAAUGUUUUAUUAGUCGAAAUUGCUAGUGGCAAGUUUGUACCUGUUAGCCAUCGUAUGAAAGACAUCUUAAUUGACCUUAAUGGGAAUAAGUUUCACGAGGAAUUAUUGCCUAUUGAACUUAAUGGUUUCGACAUCGUGUUGGGAAUGGAUUGGCUUAGCGCCAAUGAUGCCGAAAUAUUGUGCAAGAAGAAGAUAAAUGAAAAUCGGUCUUUUAUGGCCGAGAUUUUGGGGAUGUCACAAUAACCGAAGGAAUAAAUGAUAAUUUGGGCAAUACUUCGACUCUAAGUAUGACUUUCUGUGACGAAACCGAGGAUUUUAGUUGAAAAUCGGGCUUACUCGGGCCGAGUUUCGGCUAGAAAAUAUGAUUUUCUCAGCAACUUCGGAGCGUCGUGACUUACUCUGGGUACCGGGGAUGAUACCGGGACUUCGGGGGUUUAAAAGUAGGCUAAAAGGGAGUAUAGAGUGAGAAAGGAAUGAAAAGUAUCAACCAUUUCCGGACAGCUUCGCUUUCAAUUUAUAGGCUGGAUUUUGACGUUCACGACAUGAAUUCCUGCUUGUUCACGUCGUGAGUUUGAUCGCGUUCAUCCCCUAGGCUUGUCGUGUGUCUUCUAUUCUCAAAAGGUGUCGUUUAAGUAGUUCACGUUGUGAAUUUUUAUGAUUCACGUCGUGAAUGCAGUCAGGUCUCGAAGUCUUUGCUCUGAACUUCAAAAAUCCAUAUAUUUCGCACACGAGCUCCAUUUUUGACGUUUUUUAUAUCCACGCGUAGGUGAAAUUAUGCUCUACAACUUUCGUUUAGUCUCCUUCAGCUAAUUUUUACUUUAUUUUUAAUAUUAUAUUAUUUUAACGGGCCGAGAUAGGAAAACUCCGUUAAAUUUUCAUAAUUUCUUCAUCCGAUGUCCGUUUUCAUCUACCUUUUUACCGUUGUACUACUGCUAACGAGACCUUCGAUUCUUGUUUAGGUUGUGUCGGCUAAAAACCAAUCGAUCUUUAUUUUGAGUUUUUACCUUUCUACUGCUAUACCGAAACUUAGAAAAAUCAUAACUUCCUCAUACGAAGUCAGAUUUUGACGUUCUUUUUAUGAAAGUUCUCAGUUUAACGAAUACUACAACUUUAAUUUAGAUCAUAGAGGCUAAGAAGUAGUUUAUCGAAAACUCACUUUUUACGUCAUACGACGUCGUGUCGGUUCUGUCACGAAACUUCAAUAAGCCAUAACUUCCUCGUUAUAACUCAGAUUUCCAUGCGGUUCUCGCCUAAAUGUUUCUAACGAGAUUCUUUACAACUUUCAUUAACAUUAUUUUCACUUAUUUCCAACUUCAUAUUUUCGUUAAUUUCAAUAACUAACAUUUGAUUGGAAUCUCAUAAGACUUCCAAUACAUUUCGAAUGAUUCUAAUCAUAGUUUUACUUCAAUUCUAGUAAAAACUAUCUGUUAGAACUCAAUACUCAAAUUCAUAUAAUAUUUAUAAUAUUAUUCAUUAUAAAACAUGAUAACCGAAUGUGUUUGUUACAUCUAUCAGAAUCAUUUUCCCACUUUUGAGAGGGUAAAAAUGUCAAGUUGUGGACUUUUGGCUUCAAAAUACGUCCUGCGUUUCACACAAGCAAGAUCACUAGCUGAAUUUUGAUGAUGUAUAUUUGUUAUAUUCUUUUGUAAAUCUAUGUAUUGAAUUAAUUUUGUUGUUGAACAGAAAAGUUGCGACAGGUUGAGACAUUUGGGUAUACUUCACGAUGCGAUUCCUCAUCAUGUUGAUAGAGUCGGGCAUCCUAUGCAUGUUAAGGUAAUUUAAAUAGCAACUUUGAGCAUUUCUCUGCCUAAACUUAAACUAGAUAGAACUAGCAUUAAUAAGAAGAUGUUCCCGAUGAAUUUGCAUCACUCAUACUUAAAAAUAAAAUCCAUCAUUUUUUCUUGUGAUUUGUUAUGUGUCAGCAGUAAAUGUAAGUACUAACUAUAGUUAUUCUUAUUUUUACAUAUUGGGAUUUGUUGGUUUAGUUGAAUCUAAUGGUUGCAUUAUUCAAAUUUGUAGGUCUUGUUGAUGUGCAUAGCGUCAAGCAAAGUAGCUCGGAUGUUGUGAAGGUGGGCAACAAGUUCUUGUAGUUCAACUAUUAUUUGUUGAUGACUUUCAUCUCUUUCACAUUUGAUAUAUUAUAUUUGUCAACUAUUGGAAUGAUUAUUUGUAUGACAUUAACUUUUGUGCAAUGGAUUGUAUUUUUUGUAUAUGGUAUUUUAUUUUCUAUUAUCAGACAUUAAAUGCAAAAUUAAAUUGAAAAUUAGUAAAUCUAUAAAUAAUUUUUUUAAAAUAAUUUAAAAUUACGAUACGCAAAAAUGUGUGUCGUCUUCAUUUAUGACAUGACCUUUCUUGACGUCGACUUUAAUGAUACGCAUUAUGUGUCAUAAAUGUGCAUCGUAAAUGCGCAUCGUCUGUAGAUGAUGCGCAUGAAGUGGUGUUGAUUAUGAUGGCAUGUGCGGAAUUAGAAAGAUCUAGUGAAUCAUCAUGUAAAAUCAAGAACACUAGGAGUAAAUAAAUCUUUUAAGCUCUUAUUAGAUCUAGAAAGAUUAUACAAAUGGGUUUGUAUACAAUUUCUCUCUCUAGUCUAACACUCCAAAAUGGACUCUUACAUAAUGGGAGUCACUCACUUCCUAUUUAUAGGAAAGACUCAACCCAUUUACACAUACAAAGAGGAAAGCCUAAAACACUACAUCCAAGCAUGACUUUGCACCCUAACAUUCUCCCCCUCAAAGUUAGGAUUGGAUGUCCGACUUUAAUCUCCAACGAGCCAGCGCGAUCAAGACCAAACUCCCCCUCGAAGUAACACCUGUUUUCAAAUCUGCAAACGAAUAUUUGACAAACCCAAGAAGCUUCGAAUACCCAUCAUUCUCCCCCUUUUUAUAAUCAAAAAAUGAGUAUAAAACCCACUAAGGAUGAGAAGCACCUGAGGAAUAGUUGAUGUGUAUUUCUCACAAACUGCAGGUAUCGGAACUGAAAAUUCUGCAAUUUCUCAGCUAAUAUUACCCAUAUGCGAAGUUGAGUAUUUGUUGCCAAAAAUGCGAAACUACAGGUACUCGUUUUGAAAAUUUCUUCAUUUUCUUCAAACUUGCGAAACUGGGCUAAUUUUGCCAUUUCGUGGAAAUAUAAGGGCCAGAUUCAAAACUAUUUGCUUUCUUCCCCAAUUCACAUUAUACAGUCAAUUACUUCGCAUGUUCCAGAUUCUUCGCAUGUUCCUUACAAAUGCUUCGCAUAUUUAACCCAAUUAACCAAAUGCGAACUCAUGUUUGAAACCCAGAUGCGAACUUGAUUUUAAUUUCAUAUGCAAACCGUUCUUGACCUCAAAUGCGAACUCAAUUAAUGUCAUAUGCGAACCUAAUCAUCAAAUGCGAACAAAAAAAAUCCAUAUGCGAACCCAUAUGCGAACUCGAUGUUGAUCCACCCAUAUGCGAAUUCAGUUGAGACCAUUAACCCAAUCGACCAAUUUACAAUGCGAAGACCCAAAUUACGAUUGGAGAUGCGAAACCAAAUCAUCAACAUCGACUCCCAUAUAUCCUUUGCAAUAUCGACUCCCAGUAAACCCAGAAUCACAAAGUCGAACCCAAAAUUGAUAUCAAACCCAAAAUCGAAUUUUAUGUCUUCCAUAUAUCCUUUGCAAACCGAUUCUCAACAUCACAAACAAAUCUUCGAUCCUUCUUUUCUUCCAUCUACUCCCAAUCAUGAGAAACUAACUUACAGUCCUUCGCAAACUUUGCUUUUUGAUACAGGAACCCCAAAAUCAAACAAAUCCCAAACAAUCGAAACCUUCGAUUCAUCGCAAAUCAUCGACUAUCCAAACCAUCGAUUCAGAUUUCGCCUCCAAGCCUUUAGUUCGCAUAAUCGAUUCCUAAUCAUCAUCGACCGAAUCACAGAAAUUGAACUUGCGAACUCACACUUUUUACUUUAAUCGAUUUCAUCGAUAUAAUUGAUUUCAAAAACCUUUGCGGUUAAGCGUUCGCUUAUUUCCAAUCCAGUCGAUAUUCACAAGUCGACAUCGAUAGCUAAUUCGAAAUCAAACUCAAAAUUGAACUUGAUUUCAACACACACACACACACACACACUCUAAAACAACUUGUCUCUAUAUAUUUCAUCUUCCAGUUCAUCAAUUCACCCCCACAAUCAUCGACUUUGACUAUUCUUUUCCGAGUUUGAAUUUUUUAAGUCAAAGAUCAAAACACAAAAUCGACCAUUCUAUCAACAAAUUUCAGAUCAAAACUUGUUCAAACAACUGUUCUUCAACCGUUCUUCCCAACAAUUUCAAAGUUCUUGACCAAUUUGAUCCAAAUCAAAUAACCAGUUUCCGAUUUCAAAGAUAUGAUUUGUAUAAAGUCGAUUUCAUCAUAUGUUAAUCAUUUGAAAUCAAAUCUCAAUACCAAUUGAUCGAUUAAAUGACACGAGAAAACGAGAACAAUAUUUCAAGACCAAUCGAUCAAAACAGAACAUCGUAAGAAUACGAUUGUACAACAAAGGAAGCAUGUGUACAAGUUUAGAUGACGAACAUCUGUUAACGAUUCAGAAUGAUUUAGACUCAAAGUCUUGAUAUCGGAUUAAAAGAAAUAUGUUUGGGCUUGAAAGUGGAUGAACAAUAUCGAAAAUUUAAGUUUGGGCUUAAUCCAGAUUUGGACUCGAUUAAUAAUAACAUAAAUUUUGAUUGGGCUUGAUCUUAAAACAAUUUAUUGGAUCAUCAAUGGGGUUUGAAACGGAUAAGAUCCAAUGAAGCAAAUCGAUCAAAAAUGAAAAACGUAAAAUACGAAUCGAAAUCAUGGAUGUUUUGGAAUCCAUUUGAGAAUUUGAGAUACCUUUUUGAUGAAUCGAGUUCCGUUUUCAACGAACGAAUCAAAUUUGGAAGAUCUUGGUUCUUUUGUCGGAAUGAGAAAAUCUCCAAAUCGAACAUUGUACCACCCACCAUGCGAGAUGUACAACUCGUUCUUCGUGUUCUUCGUGUUCUUCAACGAUCCAAGAACAUCUUCAAACGAACCACCAACACAUUUGGGUUUUGACUUCAAAUUCAAUGCAACCUUUGGAGAUUGUUGCUUUGGAACCCAAAUUUGCUUCACGGAUUUUGGCUUCACAACAUAUGACGAUUUUUGUGAGUAAACCCGCUUGUUCUUCCGAUUCAUCUUCUUCUUCUUUUUCUUUCUCAUCUUUUUGCAUCUUGAAGACUUGACUUCAUGAACAAACCCACUUUCAACAACAUGAACAUUUUGAGUUUGAAUCAAAUCUUUUGGAGUUUGAUACUUGUGAUUUUCUUGGAUCACCGGCUUCCGAUAAGGAAUCAUUCCUUCAAACGAAUCACAAGAACACAAAACAUCAUCGGUUUGAACUCCAAUUGAGCAAAAAACUUUUUCAUCUUGAAAAUCAACUUGAACUCCUUUUUCUUGAACAUCAAGAACAUCACAUUGAACUCNCCAUAUUUCUUCUUCUUUCUUCUUUCAUGAUAAGUUGUUACCAAACGAUUAAGCAACGUCUUAUGAUGAUCAUGAUCAAGAGGAUAACCAUUGAAUUUUUUACAUUCACAUUUCAUACUAGAAAUGAGUGUAUUUCUUUUGAAAUACCCGGUUACAAAACAAUUGAGAACUCCUUCAAAACUAAAUGACCAUGGAUAAUCCUCCAUAAAAAAAACUUUCACAAAUUGUUUCUUCCAUCUUUGAUCAAUUGAUAUGAACUUGGGUUUUCUAGAGAGAGAAAGUGAAUAUGAAUCAAAUUCUAGUGAGAGAAAGUGAUACAAACAAGUAUUCUAGAGAGAGAAAGUCAAAUUAUGGAUCAAAUCAAAGAAAAAUUCGACUUCAAGAACACAAAAGCACUCUCAAAAUGCAAAUAUCAAUAAGAACAUGAAGAAUCACCAAAUCAAAAUAGCCAUCAAGGAUCAAUUCUUGAUAAAAUCAAGAACACCCGCUCUGAUACCAAUUGAAGUGUUCUUGAUUUUACAUGAUGAUUCACUAGAUCUUUCUAAUUCCGCACAUGCCAUCAUAAUCAACACCACUUCAGCGCAAAAGCAUGUCGUCUCUCGUUAUGACAUGCCUUCCUUGACACGCAUUUGUGUGUCGUUUGAGUGUUUUACGACACGCAUUGCGCGUCGUAAAAGGCUAUUUUUCUAGUAGUGAUUUAUGGAUCCUAGCCUUGAAUAUUAAUUUGGGAUAAAGUAUUAAGGAAAUUAAUCUACUAACUAAAAUAUUAUCUCUUGUUUUAGAUGUUUGGAAGUGGUGAUCUUCCUCCAACUACCCACAACUUCACUCUCUUGUCUAUCCUCUCAAAAGACAAGCUCACUGUUCCCAACUACAUGGGUUGGUUGUAAAAUUUAAAGAUAAUGUUGAGAUAUGUGAGCAAAUAGAAUUUUCUCGACACUCCAUUUCUAGAAAUUGACAAAGAAUAUGCUAGUCCUGAAGAAAUGGUUUAAUAUAACCAAAAAUUUGAUGACAUUAAAAAAGGUCACUUGCAUUAUGAUUGCAACCAUGGAACCUGAGCUCCAAAAGACCUAUGAGGACUACUGACCCUAUGAAAUAAACCAAUCUUUUUCUAAAAUGUUUCUUAAUAAAGCUAAACAAGAGCGUUAUGAAGUCGUAAAGGCCCUCAUGGCAUGUAGGUUAAAAGAUGGGGCGUCCGUGGGUGCUCAUGUGCAGAAAUGCAGAGACAUGUAGAAAGAUUGGAGAAACUCAACGUGAAAUUUGAUAAGGAGCUUAUCAUUGAUAUGGUUCUCAACUCAUUACCAAAUCAUUAGGAUUAUUUCAUCAUGACCUAUCAUUUGAACAUUAUUAAUUCCAAAUUGACUGAGCUUCACAAUCUAUUGCAAAUAGUUAAUGUAGGAAUGAAGAUGUCUCAUUCCAAUAGUGUUGCUACUGCCUUAGUCAUGGCUAUCUAACAUUGAAAGGGUAAAAAGAGAAAGGUCUAUUCCCAAUCCAAGUGGAAUGGGAAAUCCCAACUUUUAUUCUCCUCCAAUUGUUGACCCAAAAGAAUAUGUGUGCUUUCAUUAUGGGUAAAAGGGCCAUUCAAAGAAGUUACCCGAUGUACAUACAUGAAGUGAGAUAAGCUAAGGGCAAUGUGUCUAGUUCUUCUGGUAUAUACUCUCUCCAAAUCAAGAAUACUUGUAUUUCAAAUUCUUGGGUCCUUGACACAGGAUGUGGUUUCCAUAUUUUUUCUGAUAUGUAGGGACUAAAGGAAAGUAAAGAGGUCGAGCAUGGGAAGCUAAAUCUGAUCAUAGGGAAUAUGUGAAAGUUGGUUGUUACCUAGAUUGGGACUUAUGAGCUUGUGUUCAAUAGUGUUAGGAUUGAUUUAAACACUUGUUUCCAUUCACCGGAAAUGACCAGAAACAUAAUUUAUAUUCAUUGUGAUGGAGUGUAUGAAACUAUUCUUUGUAUGAAUGAACUUAGAAAAUAAUGUUUAUAACAUUGAUUAUUCUAAUAGUUUAGACAAAUCAUACUUAUGACAUUUGCAUCUUGGGCACAUAAAAAAGAAACACAUCGCCAAACUCCAAAAGGAUGGAGUGUUGGAAUCAUUUGACCUCAAAACAGACGAUGGAUGCGAGUCUUGUUUGUUAGGCAAGAUGUCUAAAUCACCUUUCACUGGUACUCAUGAUAGAGGUGAAGAUUUGUUAGCCCUCAUCCAUACGGAUGUAUGUGCAUGCCAAAUUCCCUAAUAAGGUCUACAAGAUUAAGAAGUCCAUCUAUGGACUGAAACAAGCAUCUUGUAGCUGGAAUCUUUGCAUCCAUGAAAAGGUCAAAGAGUUUAGAUUAUCUAGAAGUGAGGAUGCAUCUUGUGUGCAUGUUAAAGCUAGUUGGAGUAUAGUGACCUUUCUAGUAUUGUAUGUGAUACACAAACAUUGAAAGAAGUUAAGUCUUGGCUUCGGAAAUGUUUCACUAUGAAUGGUCUAGGAGAGGCUACGCAUAUUCUUGGAAUAAGAAUCUAUAGGAACAAGCAAAAAUGUUUACUAGGACUUACCCAGAGUACAUACUUGGAUAAAAUACUGAAGCAGUUAUGUAUGGAGAAUUCCAAGAAAUAGGACUUGCCUAUACAUCAUAUUGUAUAAUUGAUCAAGUCUUAGUGUCCUAGUAAUGAUCAACAAAUAUAUACUAUGAGUCCCAUAUACUUAGGCUAUAGGAUCGAUCAUGUAUGCUAAGCAUGUACUCGACCUGAUGUAGCUUAUGUUUUGAGCAUGGUUAGCAGAUGUCAGUGGAAUACUAGUUUAGCUCAUUGGACUGCAGUGAAGAACAUUCUUUAAGUAUUUGCGAAAAUCAAAAGAUAUCAUAUUAGUUUUUGGUGGCGAAGUUGAACUUAAAGUUAGUGGAUAUAGUGACGCCAGUUUUCAAACAGAUCGAGAUAAUAAUUAUUCUCAAUUUGGAUAGCUUUUUCUAGUAAAUGGUGGAGCGUUAACAUGGAAGAGUUCCAAGAAGAAAAUUGUGGUUGAUUCUACUUGUGAAUCAGAGUACAUCACAUCAAUCGAGGAAGCAAUUGAGGCCAUGUUGUUGAAGAAUUUUAUUGUAGAUCUUGGAGUUGUUCCUAAUGGGUUUUACAUGUAAUAUUUCGAAAAAAAUCCUUAUACUCUUAACGUUACAUUCAAGCUACUUUGAUCUAUGUCAUAACACUAUUAAAUCCUAAUGAGAAUCAAAAUUCAUAAAGAAUUACAUACCUUUAGUUUGUUAUGAUAAACAAACUUAUGAUUCCAACAAGAUCAAUCUAAAAGUAUCUUUGAAAACAAGCUCUAACUGUGUGCGGGCCCCUAAUGGUUCACACCUACAAUACAAGAACCAUAGAAAUGUUAGGAGAGGGGGGAGAAAUGAUUGAAUUUUUAAAUUUGGUAUUCCAAAAGAGUGGCCAGAAAUUUCAAGGCAUAAGACCCUAUUUAUAGUUGAUUAGGAAACAUCUAGAAACCCUAAUUUGAACACAAAAUAAUAUUAUCUCAAGUAAGGUAGUUAUCUAGUUCCUUGAUUAUCUAAAAGGAGGCUUCCAGAAACCCUUUUAAGGUCUCCGAAACUGUCUAUAAGAGGAAGGUUCUGGAACAUCUCCUCUACUCAACUUUUUAACAAUUACAACUUUAGUCCUUCAACUUUUAAUUAAUUUUAAUUAACCCAAAAUUAAUACCAAAUUAAUUCUAAAAUAAUUAUAACUAUUUAUAAUUAAUAUAUUAAUCAUACAAUAUAUUAAUAAAUCAUUUACCUCUCUAUAAAAAUCAAUCUAAGCAAUUUCUUAAUUAUGAGGGCAAACCAAAAAGGACUUUGUUUUUAUUUAUCAACAUUAUACCAAUUUUGUUAGGACCUUAGACACCUUAAUCUGACAGUCUACCACUUGGAUAACUCGUUAACUACAAUUGCGAGUAUAACUCCAAAACCAGUAAAGAGUGUUUUCAAAGAUACUACUAGACUCUAUUCGCCCUAAGGUAAGUGAUCAACUAUUCUUUCAUUCUUCUUGAUAACGUAUGAAAAUAAGACAUGGAUUAGGUUCAAACUCAAUGUCCAAGAUUCCCUUUCCAAUAAUCCCUUUUUGUGAUGAUGUCCUUUGAUGUGUGUGAAACCAACUAGUUUUAAUCCUACUAACUUAGACACAAAAUAAACACACGAAAGGCAGUGUACCUAUCGAUUAGUAAUAUAGUUCAAGCAAGUAGGGUAUCGAACACAGGGAACGGUAAACAAUUAAGAUAAAUGCUAAUAUUAUCUAAAUAAAACAAGUAAUAGAAAAUGGGUUUUCUCUAGUUUUGCAAGACUAGAAACUUAAACAAUUAACUAAAACUUAAACUAAGAAACUAAGAGCUAAGCAAAUAAAAAUCAACUAAUUUCAAUAAUAAAGAGGACUUCUGUUUAGUUCGACUCAUUUGUUCCCAUGGAUGAUUUCAAUGUAUCGGAUUAAUUCUUCAUUGGCUACCGACUAAGAUGAUUAAUUUCAUGUUCGCUAUUACUAAUCCUUAGGAAACAAAUUAACUCAAGCAGUGGCCAGUUGUCUAAAUUAACGGAUUUCCUAGUUAUUAAUUCGGGUUAAAUAAGACUUGUAAUGGUUAAUUAAAUUGGCCCUUCAAUUAACCUCUUGCUGAUGUUCAUCAAACAAGCUCACACAUUAACUUACCUAUCUUCUAGUUAAUUCUUGUUUCACAUUCGUUAUUCCUAGACAUACAACUAUGUGGUCACAAUAAAUCAUAUGAAAUUAAUAACUAAGAGAUGUUCAUACAACUUAAUUACUAAUUUAUUAACAGAAGAAUAGUUAUUGUUAACACAUAAGGUUCUUUAACAAGCUUAAUAAAACAUAAUCACCAAUUAAAAUUAAUCCUAAUCAAAUAAUCAAUCCAUGUUCACAAAUUCAUCUACCUAAACAGAAGUUAUGAGUUUUAGCUCAUGAUUACAGCAGAAACAAGCUCAAAAACGAAAUCAAUUGGUAAAAACAUAGUUCAAACAAGAGAUUAGGUAAAGAGUAAACUUGAUUUUGCCUUGAUUCUCCUUAAAAUUGAAUGUAGGGUUGAUUCCCUUGCUUCCCACGCUCCAGCAGCACCUUUAGUCGACAAUUGGCCUCCAAGGGUUCAUCUAUAUGCUAGGGUAUCGAUCUGAAAGUCCCUUUAUAUAGAUUUUCACAAAACAGAGGCUACUCGGCGAGUCCAGUGACUUACUCGCCGAGUAAUCGACCCUACUCGCCGAGUAAGUUUCGAAUCAGCAUUUUCUCAAAGCACGAAAGUCGUCCGAAAUUGUGUUUACUUUUCAGAACAUUUUGAAUCUCAUCAAUCGGACUUACGGUUCGUGAGAUAUGGCCAAAACACUGACAAAGGGUCAAGCUGUCCAACAACAUCCUUCUUUCUUCAAAAUGCAAGAUCCAAGCCUCCAAUCGCUAGUUCCGCUUCAUUUUCCUUUCGAGCAUGUCUUUAUUGCUGAAAAUGAAAUAUUUAAACUAAUUAAGCACCUUUUGUUCAUUAAAUGAGAUCAAAACAACAUAAAGUAUUAAGAUAAUGCAUGAAUUUUAUAACUAAAUAUGCCCAUAUCAUCCUUACACUACUAAUUGAACACAUCAAUUUAGUCUUGGUUGGGCCCAUCACUAUAAUGUCAACAUCAAAACACAAGGGGCCCAAUGAUAACACUUUUCCUAUUAAGGAAAAAAGGAGGAAUAAACUUUGACUAUAUAAUCAUAGAACUUUCCUUAUCGAGUUAAACGAUGAAUUACACUUUAUAGCACCCAGUACAAGAUGCAUUGGAAUAAGCCAAUCCAAACCUGAUUCAUAAAAUAUGACUUACAUAUCUUUGUUUUAAGAAUAGAAGAUAUUAUCAUGUUAGAAUUACUCAUGAUUAAAUCCAUGAAGUAAUCUAUAAGAGUGGGUUUCACCAAUACUUAAAAUCUCUAUUUAUGAGUACUCAUGAAUUAUGCAUCAAUUCCAUUGUAAUGUCUAGUAUGUAUGGACAAUCUAAAAACAAUUCAUGAUAACCUUAAAACAAUACUUACUCCCAAAGUAUGAUCGACUAUCGUAUUUCUAAUAACUUAAUAUCCAGGAAGUAAAACAUGCAAAUUGAAGCACAAGGAUAGAUUAAUUGACAAAUGGUUUAAUACGCGUUGAAUAUAAAUAAAUCUAUAUUUAGCUAACAACCAUCCAAUUAUAAUUUAUCAUUGUUACAAUGUUUCAAAAUAAUCAACUACUAAAAUCUAUAAUCUAAUAUCGUCUCUUAUCCCAAUGCUCUUAGCAUGCUUGAAGUGUUUGACCUUGCUCAGAACCUUUGUGAGAGAGCAGGAGUCUAUUCUGAUGAUACACGAUUCACCACGAGUGCACCUUCUUCAGCCUUAUGUCUAAUCUAGUGAUAUUUCCUAUCGAUGUGCCAACAUCUGCCAUGAUCUUUAGGUUCUUUUUUUGAACCUACCACGCCCUUGUUCUCAUAGAAAAUAUCCAAUGAUUCUUGGAUUAAUGGAGCAACUCUAAGAUCUCCAAUAAAAUUAUUUAACCACACUACUUUGCCGCCUCGCUUGUUGCGAUGUACUCUGAUUCACAAGUAGAAUCACCAUUUGUUUCUUGGAACUUUUCUAAGUUAUUGCUCCACCAUUCAACAAGGAAACCCAAUCUUAUUGAUAAUAAUUGUUAUCUUGAUUCUUUUGAAAAUUGGUGUCACUAUACCCACUCAACUUAAGUUCGUCUUGUCUGCCAAAAAACAAGAUCAUAUCUUUAAUUUUUCGCAAAUACUUAGAAAUAUUCUUCACUGCAGUCCAACGAGCUAAGCCAGGAUUUCCCUGAUAUCUACUAAACAUGCUCAAAGCAUAAGCCACAUCAGGCCAAGUACAUGUCAUAACAUAUAUGAUUGAUACUAUAACCGAAGUAUAUGGGACUCGACUCAUUGUAUCUGUGACAUCCCCAAUUUCACGGCCAGAAAAGACCGAUUUGUUUAUGCUUUGUUUUAUAAAUCAGAGUGAUCGUUUAAAGAAAACGGUUGCGGAAUUUGUUCCCAAAAUAAAAUAUGAUAACCAUUUAUCAAAACAUUUCUCAAAGAGAAUGUAUUUUCAUUAAAUAAUAAAACCUCGGGAUGUCAUGUUCCGAUACAGACCAAAAGCAUAAACAAUAUAAAAUAGACCUUACAACAGUUAUUUAUAACUACUGAUCGAUAAUCCAAAACCUCUCGUCAGGUCCACCAACUUAUACUCUUGUGUCAUUACCUGUAAUGCAAAGAAAACUGAGUGGGUCAGGCUUGGGAGUCUGGUGAGCAUAUAGGGUUUUCAACCCACAAUAAUACAUUUAUUACAUUCAAUUAUCAAACAAUCAACCCAAAUACCCAUUCCCAUUAUCUCCUUUAUUUCUUAAGGAUUUACCCUAAGAAUCAACUAUCCUUUAUCCAUUUAUUCCUAAGGAAUUGGCACGAAAUCCAUUGCUGCCAAAGUUUAUUUAUCAAGUACUAAAUCCAUAGCUAUCAGGCGCUAACUCCAUAGUCGCCAAGGCUUACUCAACAAACGCUAACUCCAUAGUCGCCAAGGUUUACUCAACGUGCACUAACUCCAUAGUCGCCAAGGUUCAUCAAAUAGGCACGAAGUCACAUCGUCGCCAAUGUUUAUACAAUAGGCGCUAACUCCAUAGUCACCAACUAUCCCAUCUACCCAAGUUCUACCCAACAUUUUCGUAGAUAUAAAUACUUACACAGUUUAAAUCAUUUAACACUUGUAUAAAACAUCAAUUCCACGCCCAUCUCAAAUAGACAAAUAAUAUAUAAACACAUAGCACGUAUUUCAUAGCAAAUACUUCAUAUUUAUGUGUUAGAAGAAAGUAACUACACACUCACCCAUAUAAACAACAAUAUACUUAAUACACUCAAACCAUACUUGUAUUAUUAUCGUGUUUAUGAAAGGUAGUAUACACUCACUUGAUCAGAAGAUGAUCGGACAGCACUACGGCUUAUAGAAGUAGUAUUCUUCGGUAGAUCUGGAAGAUCUCCACAAAAAUCGAACUUCUCGCGGGCAGAGCUUCGGCUCGGGAAUCUUACUUCUCGGGAUCUUCAGGACCUCGGGACUUGCUUCGGGGCUCGGGAAUGAUACCGGGGCUUCGGGGUACUUCUGGCACGCAAAACGAUGCAAAAAGGGAGAGAGAAGAGAGAAAAAGAGCAAAUGAGCCGGCUGCCCUCGCAUCCUAUUUAUAGGAGGCUGGAGCCUCGGAGUACGAUGGGCGUACAGCAGUACGCGGGGCAUACACGUCCGAAUUCGUCAUUGCUUACGUAUCCGAAGAACUCGAGUGCGAGGGACGUCACGCUUUGCUGUAUGCUGGGCGUACUUCAGAUGAGUCCGAUGACUCCUCUUCGGAUAAUACCAAAAUUUGGAAUUAAAAUUAAAUAUUAAAUAUUUAAUAAACUUCGGAAAUUCAUAUCUUCUUCAUACGAACUCCAUUUUCGACGUUCUUUAUAUCCACGCGUAGGUGAGACUACGCUCUACAACUUUCAUUGAGACUCCGUCGGCUAAUUUUGACUUUAUUUUUAUUAAUUAUUUUUAGUAGGCCGGGACAGAAAACUUCGUUAUAAAUUCAUAACUUCUUCGUUUGACGUCCGUUCUCGCCUAACUUUUUAUCGUUUUACUCCUAUUAACGAGGCCUUCGAUUCUUAUUUAGAUUUUUUCGGCUAAAAACCGCUCCGUCUCAAAUCGAGUAUUCAGGUUGCAUACCGCUAAGUCGAAACUUCGAAAAAUCAUAACUUCCUCAUACGAAGUCAUAUUUGGGCGUUCUUUUUAUGCACGCUCAUGGUUUAACGUAUUCUACGACUUUCAUUUAGAUUGCUAAGGCUAAAUACUACUCUAACGUAAGUUCACUUUUUACGUCGCGCUGUGUCGUGCCGGUUCUGUCGCAAAAACUUCGACAGGUCAUAACUUCUUCGUUAUAACUCGGAUUUCGGCGUUCUUUAUAUGUACAAAAUCCUUGUAACAUAUAAUACAAGUUAGUUAAGAUUAUUCAUUCUAAAUAAUCUUUCAUCAAAAAUUCAUUUUUGACGCCUAUCAUCUCUAAAUUGACUAGCCCUGAUCUAUGGGCGUUACAGUAUCUAUUACCUUAUCGCUAUUGGGGCAUUUAGCAUUUCUCAAUUUAAUAGUAUGAUGUAUGGUAAGUCUCCCUUCUUGGAAUUUUCCAUAUUGAAUCUUUUCAAUAUCUUAUCCAAGUAUGAACUCUAACUAAGUCCUAAUAAACAAGCUUGUCAAUCCCUUGGGUUUGAGUAAAGCGCUUUGCAACCAACCUAAAUUUGUAAGUCUCUACAUUACCAUCCAUGGGAGUCUUCUUCUUAAUGAUCCACUUGCAACCUACUAUCUUUCGACCAGGUGCUUGAUCAAAUAAGGUCCAUACUUGGUUAUCAUACAUGGACUAGAUCUCGUUAUCUAUCGCCUCUUUCUACUUAGCAGCCUCAACGUAUAUCAUUGCUUCCUUGUAGUUAGUAGGCUCAUCCAAAUUUACUAGUGUUUCAUCACUGAUACAUGUAUCUCCUUCUACGGUUAUAUGGAAGCCAUAUAACGAAGGUUGCAUGCUAACCAUACGGGACCGAUGAAUGGGAAAAUAAUUUUCAAUGGGCUCAACAGUUUCAUUCUCAGGUUUAGAGCUAGUAUCUUCAAAAGUUUCUUCAUUGGAUGACUCUUGAAUUUCUUCAAGAUCAAUUGUACUCCCACUUCCUUCUUUGGAAAUGAGCUCUCUCUCUCUCUCUCGCGAACGUCUCCCCUUCGAGCUACAAGCAACACAUUGUCACUGGGUUUAUAAAACAAGUAUCCAAAGACUUCUAUGGAUAUCCGAUGAAAAUACACUUCUCGGCUCUAGGCUCUAGUUUCCCCAAGGUUUCUCGCCUAACGAGAACCUCACAACCCCAAACCUUCAUAUGUGCGAGCGAGAGAGGUUUUCAUACCCAUAUUUCAUGAGGUGUUUUGGCAACCUUCUUAGUUGGAACAAGAUUGAGGAUGUGGGCGGCUGUUUCUAAGGAAUACCCCAAAAUAAUAUUGGAAGUGAGGCUUACCUUAUCAUGGAACGAAUCAUAUCAAGUAAGGUUUGAUCAUGCCUCUCAGCUACAUUAUUCAAUUGUGGUGUCCUAGGAGGUUCCAAUUGUGAAACAAUUCCACAUUCAUUUUUAUAGUUGUUAAACUCGAUACUAGGAUACUCACCGCCUUUAUCAGAUCAUAGCAUCUUUAUCUUCUUGCCUAAUUGAUUCUCUACUUCGUUCUUAAAUUAUUUGAACUUUUCAAAAGUUUCUGAUUUGUGUUUAAUAAAGUAAAUAUAACCAUAUCUAUUAAAAUUAUUAGUAAAUGUAACGUAGUAGCGAUUUGCAUCCUUUAUGGCAAAUCUGAAUGAACCACACACAUCUGUAUGGAUGAGGGCCUACCAAUCUUCACCUCUUUCACAUGUACUAGUGAAAGGUGAUUUAGUCAUCUUGCCCAUCAAACAAGACUCACAUUCAUCAUCUAAUUUUAAAUCAAAUGACUCCAACACUGCAUACUUUUAAAGUUAGGCGAUAUGUUUCUUCUUAAUGUGUCUAAGACGACAAUGUCACAGGCAUGACUUGUCUAAACUAUUUGAAGAACCAAUAUGAUACACAUUAUUGCAUAAUUCAUUCACACAAACAAUAGUCUCAUACACACCAUCAUAAGGACAAGCUUUGAAAACAAAUGCACCACUAAAAUAAACUAAAAUAAUACCAUCAUUAUUAUCAAAAACAUAAUGAUAUCCUUGUCUAAAUAAAGCAUGAAAAGAAAGAAUGUUUCAAUCUAUUUAUGGAGAAUAAAAACAAUUUUGCAAAUCAACCCUAGUACUAUUAAACAGAAGAUCAUAAGUCCCAAUCUUGGUGACAACCGAUCUUCGUUUGUUCCCCAUGAUCAGGUUUAUAUUCCCACGUUCAACUAGUUCACUUUCCUUUAGUCCAUGCAUAUCAGAACAUAUGUGGAAACCACAUCCCAUAUCAAGAACGCAAUAGUUUGAAAUACAAGUAUUAUUGACUUGAAUAGAAUAUGUACCAGAAGAAUAUCUAGUUGCUUUCGCCUUGGAAUCUUUCACUUCCUGCAAGUACUUGGGGAAGCUUCUUCUCCAAUGGCCCUUUUGGCCACAAUGAAAGGACACAACCUAUUUUGGAUCAGUAAUAGAAGGAGUAUUGAAGUUAGGCUUUACUUUAGAUCUAUUAGACUCUCCACAGUGGGCCAUCACUUUCCAUUUGGAAGGGGAAAGAGACUUUCUCUUCCUUCCUCUGCUUUGUUGGACAACCAUGAGAGGAGCAGUUGCAGAAUUAUAGAAAUGAAACUUAUUCAUUCCUGCCUCAACCGUUUGCAAUAAAUUAUGAAUCUCAAUCAACAUGGUCUCUGUAUUGUUUAAAUGAUAGGUCAAUAUGAACUAAUCAUAACUACUAGGUAGAGAGUUAAGGACCAUGUUCUUCUACAUUUUCUACACAUGGGCACACACAAAUUCUCCCUCUUUAAGUUUACACGCCGUUAGUGACUUGAACACUUCAUAACGCUCUUUUCUCACCAUUUUAUGAAACAUUUAAGACAAGGUCGUCAUAAGCUCAUAUGGCCAAUAAUCCUCAUAAGUCUUUUAGAGCUCAGAUGCCAUAGUUGUAAUCAUAAUGCAAGAGACCUUUGUGGCAUCAUCCACGUGUUGCUCAUAAUCAGAAAGCUCCUCAAGAGUAGCAGUUUCUUUAUUGAUUUAUAAAAUUAGAGUAGUAAGAACAUACACUUUGUUCUCAUAGCGAAGCAUCAUCUUCAGAUUUCUCAUCCAGAUUAUGUACUUUGGACUAACAAGCUUGUCCUUAGCAAGGACGGAUAGUAGAGAGAAGUUAUGGUUUGAUGGAGGAGGAGGAGGAGGAUGAAGUUCACCACUUGAAGAUAAGAUUUUAAUUAGUUGAUUCAAUCCUUACUAUUUUAACCCAAUUAAUAUUUAAGGCGAGGAUCCAUUAAUACAUUUCGAAAUUAAGAAAAAGGAUGUCGUAAUCUAGUUACGAAUUCAUUUAAGGUAGGUAAUACACUUUACCAAUUCCAAUCUAUAUGAAAUUCCUAGAUCAUUUGAGAUUCAUUGAAUCUUAUCAACAGCAUGUUUAAUCUCAGAUUAUGCUCUUCAAAUUGUGAUUGGGAUACUCAGGAUUACAAAUAAAAUUUGAAUAACCAUGCAAACUCGCUUGAAAACCUCAAUGUCUUUUACCAUCUUAAAUUUUAUAUGCCAGUAAACCACAUACACUCCAUCAAUUAAUGAUAAUUUUCAAGUUUUUCCAUCACAACAACUUUAUACUCCCAAACUGGUGUGUUGGUAGACCGCACACGCUCCAAUAACGACUCAUAAAGAUUAAUGUGCAUUUUCAUGGAUUAGCAUACAAUUUCACAUUUUCCAAAAGUAACUAGAGUAGGAUUUUAAAGAACGUUUUAGUACUUUAUAUCAUUAUACUUUUAAUGAGGUUAUGUCUUAUCGAACCUGUUUGAGUAACGAUCCUCCACAAUACAGGAGAGUAGUGGGUGAAAGGGACACUCAUUCAAUGGUCAUUUUAUACGCCGUUUCCUUAUACCAUCUUUAUUGAAUGACUUCAUGAAUGAAGCGUACUAGCGAUUCGUUGGGCGUAGGUGUUAAUUCUGAAUGUGGGUUUAAUGACCUAUGUUGGGCGUAGGUUCUGCCACGUUGGGUGUUUCCGCUUCAUACCAAAACACUAACCCUAAGGUUUGAGUUAUAUUUAAGGGCUCUAACUUCUUGGUAUCAUUCACAUGACCAACCUCCAUCACCUCAUAUCGUUCCUAUGAAACCCUAGCAACUAUUUGUGAGUUUCGGAGCUUUUAGAGAGCUUUAUGUGCCCUUUGAAGGAAGAAGAUGUUUGUAGAACAAGGUGGGAAGCUUCAACAUGUGCAGAUUUGGGAUUUACAAGACAACAUCUAUCUCCAAAAGGUAUAAAGUUUCUACAUUGAUGAUGUUUCUUGUUAGAUCUAGUACUCUUGAGAUUUCCACGCUUUUGUCCCCAUAAUCUUGGUCCUUGUGAGUAUGGGUUACUCCAGACCAUUUGAAUGCAUCCUUUUGAUGUUUUUGAGGUUAUAGAGUCAUAAAAAUAAGAGCUUGGUCACUCUCAUCCAUCCAUGCAUGAUUUCUUGAUUAAUUUAUGGACCUAUGUUUUCGUUUUGUGCUCUUUAUGACCAUGCAGAUGGGUAAAGUCAAAGAUUUUAUCCAUUAAGAUGUUCAUUUAGAUUAGAUCUGGGAGUUCAGCUUGCUGUAUUAAGAGCUUAAUAUAAGUUUUUGGGAAACAUAGAUCUAUGUUGGGCAUAGCCCUUUGUAGGUUGGGCGUAGCUCUAUGCUAGAUGCAGAAUCCUAUACGAUGAGCGGAGCUCUACGCUUGGCGUAGAUUAGGGUGCUAUUUUGAGUGUAAGUCAACUGAGGGUUGACCAUUGAAUUUUUUAUCAGUUUGACUUUUUGGAGACCAUGUUGGGACUUAGUAUUGGAAGGGAAAAUGGUCUUUUUCCUAAAAGAGGUUUAAUUGCGAGCAUAUACCUUUCGUGAGCUAGUUAUUACUUUAAUUAUUAAUUAGGUUUUUAUAAUGCAUUUAGCAUGAGGAGACUGGAUAUCGUUAGCUUGGGUGUGUGGUCCAUCUUGUCUUCAGAUUGAGGUGAGAUUUCUCUCUGUACUUUGUAUUGUAGUAUGUGUCAUUAUGUGUAGGAUGUUGUUAUGUUGUAGUGAUCUGUUAGACUGGUAGAUAUGCUAUAAUUACAUGUGCUUGCUAGUUAUUGUUUUGGUGCAUAUGUCAGCAUAACGUGGUUGGGUUGAGGCGAUACUGCUUUGUGCUGUGGGCCAACAUAUUCGAAAGCACUCCAGCUAUGUGUUGUUGGCUCGGGAGUGGUCCAACUUUAUGAUGUACACUUGGGGUGGUCCAGUCUUGUGUUGUAGUCCCGGAGUGCAUGCAUUGUAUAUGUAUUGUUGUGUGGGGUAUUUCGGUGGCGACUUACUAUGCGUUGGCUUACAAUUGUUGAUUUUAAUAUUUUCAGGUACUUCAGAUGAUUAGGUAAAGGCAAAAACGUGAUCAUACACAUCCUCCUGUUGAUUUAUACAUGAGAGAUUACUUGAUACUCUGAUUCAUUGGUUUUGAUUUGAAAACAAUGGUUGAUUAUCUUAUAGUUUUAUGAAAAUGUUUUAAAUAAAAUGAAAUUUUUGGAAUGUUACACAAACAUGACAUCAUCGACUUACAUUAAGUGAGAUAAAAGGGAGUUAUUGCCUGGAAUGGAGAUUCUUCGAUAAAUUUGAAAUGUUUCAUUUUAUAUUAAAUCAUAAAUUUUAUGUUGAUUUUUAUAUUAAAAUUUUGUUUUAUUUUAUGUUCAAAAUGUUAAUAUUGUAUUGUUCGAAAUAACAAAAACUGAAAGAAAAAUACAUAACCAAACACAUUAUCUAAUUUUUUAAAAAUGAAAAAUAAAAAAUCAAUUAGUAUUCGUCAAACGUGUUUUUUAAAUUUCCAACUGAAAACUGAAAAAAAUAAGUACUUCUAUAAUUUUUAUUUAUUUAGUUUUUGUUUUUUUGGAAAAAACUAAAAAAUAGUUUGUUUUCGACAACCAAACGGAUCUAAGUUUUCUUUUGAUAAAAAAUUAAUAAAAAUUAAAAAAACAUAUGCUUAGUUUCAAUAUGACAUAUGAGUGUAUAUUACGAAGUGUAGUUUGUGGUUCCGUCGAGAUUCCGAAAAAAUAGAGAUCUUGAGAUUCAACCACUGUCACAUAUUGCUCAUUUAUCGCUUUAGCGCUCCGGUGUACCGUCACGACGUGAGAGUUAUAAUCAUAAAUGAUUAUUCAAUACUGCUAAUUGCUUUUUCCUCUGCUACCUUCCCCACCACCACCACUACCACCACCUAUAUACCAAUCGACCCCACUACUGCCAUCUUCAUCACCUAUACCACCACCACCUUCUCUGUCACCAACCACCAUAAUCAUAUAUGAUUACUCAAUCUAUGAGUGAACAGACAUAUAUGUACAAUCAUUUAUGAUUAGACAUAUAUGUAUAAACCUAGAUAAUCAUAUAAGAUUAUACAUUUUUGCUAUAUAAUCAUUUAUGAUUUGGCAUACACCGUGACUAUGGGUAUGUUAGAAUGUUAGAGUGGCAAAUGAGAAAUAUAUGACUAAGGUUGAAUCUCAAAAUCUAUUUUUUUAAAUCUCAAAUGAACCAACCAUUAUGAAAUGAUAUGUAUUUGGAUUUUGGAGAGAAGUAAUUAUGAUUUAUGCCUUCAAUUUGAGUGUCAAAUGAGAAAUAUAUGAUUGAAGGAUGAACAUAUGGACUGGGGAACUGGCCGAUACCGGUACUGGAACUAGAACCGGAACCCGAUGGAACCAGUCGGGCCAGGACGGAUGCUAUAUUAUUGUCGAUUUUUAGAACCAAGAAUCGGUAGGAACUGGUCAUUGAAACCGACCCAAAACCGAGAACCAAACCGGACCAGCUUUAAAAAAACCCACGUCUUUUGGACUUCCAAAUUGGACCUCAAAGAAAUGCGGCAUGGCUGUGUGUGUUCGAUAUUUCGCUCGUUAAUGGAACCCUACCGAGUCCUUGAUUUUUCGAUCAUCGAUUAGAUUGUUCGACAUUUCCUUAUCUCAAUUUGAAUCGAUCAUCAUCAUCACAAGUCAACAUCUUCAUAUUUUGCUUCCAUCCUCAUGUUCUCUUCAUCUUAAAUAAACAUCUAUUAUCCGCCAAUCCACCAUCAUUGAUCAUCUACUCAAAUCUCAACCAUUAAUAAGCAAUGUCAAAAGGUGGAAAAAGUUGUCUACAACCAUCAACUUCUCAACAAUCACCUUCAAUAAUUCAAACUAUGGAUGCUCGUGAAGAUCAAGUAAGAUUAUAUAUUUGUAUUUCAUGUUUUAAGUUCCAUUUACAAUGUACUUUGUAGUUUGUAGACAUGCACGUAAGAUUUUUGUUAGAUUAGUUUGUAGUAUGAAUGUAAGAUUGUUAAAACUAAGAACUUGUUUAGUUAUAUAAUUAAUGUAUGAUAUUGACAAUGUAGGAUUUGAAUGGGUUACCAAAUAUACCAUCAUCAAGAUACCAAAACUCAGAUGUUCAUGAUACCAAUAAUCAAGAUGGUAAUCCGGCUAAUUGGAUUGGAAAAGACUUUCAUGGCCAAGUAAGAUUAGCAAUAUUUACUUCUUUAGCAUUUUGUCCAAAUUUUGAAAGUUGCAUAACUCACUUAAUUUAAGUUGUGUUGACCUGAAUAUUUUACCUACAUGUUGUUUAGGCUUUGUAGAUAAUUUUAUAUUAUAAAAACGCUUGAUUUGGUUAAAAAUUGAAUGAGUUACAAGCUUUGCAAGUUGUUUAGGUUCUGUAGAUAAUUUUAGACUAUAAGUACGCUUGAUUUGGUUAAAAAUUGAAUGAGUUACAAGACUCGCAAGGAAGCAUAUCAAAUCAUAAUUUUUUUUUGUUUCAACAAUAAAUUGCAUUCUGACUUUUUUCUUAAAAUGUGCAUAACUCACCCAAUUUAAGUUUUAUUGACCUGAAUCUUUUUCUUACAUGUUUUUAGGUUUUUUUAGAUAAUUUUAGACUAUUAAAAAGCUUGAUUUGGUUAUAAAUUGAAUGAGUUACAAGUCCCGCAAUGAAGCAUAUCAAAUCAGAAUAUUUUUAAUGUUUCAACAAUUAAAUGUAAUAUGACUUUUUUGUUCGAAUGUGCAUAACUCACUCAUUUUAAGUUUUAUUGACCUAAUUCUUUUUCCUACAUGUUGUUUAUGUUUUUUAGAUAAUUUUAGACCAUAAAAAUGCAUCAUUUGGUUAAAAAUUGAAUGAGUUACAAGCCCCGCAAGGAAGCAUAUCAAAUCAGAAAUUUUUUUCUGCUUCAGCAAUAAAUUGCAUUUUGACUUUUUUGUUAAAAUGUGCAUAACUCACCCAAUUUAAGUUGUAUUGACCUGAAUCUUUUUCAUACAUGUUGUUUAGGUUUUGUAGAGAAGCUUAGACUAUAAAAACUCUAUAUUUGGUUAAAUAUUGAAUGAGUUACAAGCCCCGCAAAGAAGCAUAUCAAAUCAGAAUUUUUUUUAUGUUUCAGCAAUUAAAUGUAAGAUGACUUUUUUGUUCAACUGUGCAUAACUCACUCUUUUUACGUUGUAUUGGCCUGAUUCUUUUUCCUACAUGUUGUUUAGCUUGUAGCUAAUUUUAGACUAUAAAAACUUUUGAUUUUGUUAAAAAUUGAAUAACUUACAUAGCCCGCAAGAAAGCAUAUCAAAUCUUACUUUUCUUAUUUCAGUAACAAUUUAAAAAUAUACUAAUUAUAUGUUUUAUUUUGAGAAUAUAGGUUUAUGGAUAAUAUUCGAAAGAAGAUUAUAUAGAAGAAACACUGGCAUAACAUGUUAUACCAAGUGAUGAAUCAGACCAAGAAGAGGGGCCACAAUAACAAUAACCAUCAAGAAACGAAAAUUUGGAACCCCAUAAAAACGAAGACAACCAAAAAAAUCCAACAUGAACAAAAAAAACCACCACUAACAAAAAAUCAAACACAACAAAAAUACCCAACAAAACCAAAAACCAAGAACAAAAAAAUGACUCAAAAUGAGUUAAAGGACCGGUUUAACCUAACCAGACGAGGUGAGGGUAGAGAUAAUGGUACCGCUCCUUUUUGGGAUUACUUUGAGAUAGAAUGGAUAAACGAGGAAGGUGAAAUUGAAAGAAAGUGGGCCGAAUGUAAUUAUUGUUUAAAAUUACUAGCCGCGGAUGCAAACCAGAAUGGGACAACUUCAAUAAACAAGCAUUUUAAUGGCUGCAAGUUAAAUCCGGACAACAAACCGAAUGAAGAUGAUGACAAACAACAAAAGUUGUCAUUUAUGAAAGCUCCUAAUGGUGAGGGCCAUGUAUACACAUGGAAACAUGAUGAUACGAGGAUCCAACUUGCCUUGCUAGGCCUUUUCACCAUCGGGAAAUACCCUUUAAAUUCAUUGAAAACGAGGCCUUUAUAGAAUUUGUAAAGGCCCUCAAUGGUAGGGUGAAAUUGCCUUCAAGGCAUAAAAUUUCUCGUGAUGUUGUGUCCUUCUAUUUAAUGGAGAGGCAGAAGUUGUACAAACAUGUGAGCAACCCCAAAACAGCCAUCCACUUGACAACCGAUAUGCGGACAUCCUUGUGUCAAAAGAUAAAUUAUAUGGUUGUCACGACCCACUUCAUUACCGAAGAUUUUGUCAUGCACAAAAGGGUAGUCAACUUUAAAGAGGUUGAUACUCACAAAGCUAAAUACAUGGCCCGGGAGUUGCUAAUUUGCAUAAACGAGUGGGACAUGAAGAAUGCCAUGGCAAUGACCGUUGAUAAUGCCAAGAUGAAUGAUGCGACAAUCAACAUCAUUGUGAAAGAACUUCCGGGUAUUUACGAGAAUGGAAAACAUUUUCACAUUAGGUGUAUAGCUCAUAUCAUAAUCCUAGUUGUGAAAAUGGGGUUGAAACAUGAAUUUUACCAUGUAAAAAGCAUACAUGAUGCGGUCAAAUACAUUAGAUCUUCCCCGCAACGGAUCAAAACCUUUAAAUAGGCCAUGAAGGAUGCGACUGUAGAAACUCAAAUUCUUUUGUGUGGUGAAACUCCAACACGGUGGAACUCUACCUUUGAAUUUCUAAGAUCAACAUACGAUGUGAAAGAUGCAUUUCUCGAAUAUAACCAUCAAGGUAAAUAAAACCAAAUUUGUUUCAGCACUAAAAAUUAGCAAUAAUUUCAAAUUUAACAUUUUGUCCAAAUUUUGAAAGUUGCAUAAAUCACUUAAUUUAAGUUGUAUUGACCUGAAUUGUUUUCCUACGUGUUUUUUUAGGUUUUGUAGAUAGUUUAGACUAUAAUAACACUUGAUUUGGUUAAAGAUUGAAUGAGUUACAACCCCCGCAAGGAAGCAUAUCAAAUCAGAAUUUUUUUUAUCUUUCAGCAAUUAAAUGUAAUAUGUUUUUUUUGUUCAAAUGUACAUAACUCACUCAUUUUAAGUUGUAUCGACCUAAUUCUUUUUCCUACAUGUGUUUUAGGUCUUAUAGAUAAGUUUAGACUAUAAAAAAACGUUUGAUUUUGUAAAAAUUUGAAUGAGUUACAAGCCUCGCAAGGAAGCAUAUCAGAUCAGAAUUUUUUUUAUGUUUUAGCGAUUAAACGUAAUAUGAUUUUUUGUUCAAAUGUGCAUAACUCACUCAUUUUAAGUUGUACUGACCUAAAUAUUUUUCCUACAUGUUUUUUAGCUUUUGUAGAUAAGUUUAUACUAUAAAAACGCUUGAUUUAGUUAAACUUUGAAUGAGUUACAAGCCCUGCAAGGAAGCAUAUAAAAUCAUAAUUUUUUUUAUGUUUUAGCGAUUAAACGUAAUAUGACUUUAUCGUUCAAAUGUGCAUAACUCACUCAUUUUAAGUUGUAUUGACCUGAUUAUUUUUCCUACAUGUUUUUUAGGUUUGGUAGAUAAUUUUACUAUAAAAACGCUUGAUUUUGUUAAAAACUGAAUGAGUUACACGUCUUGGAAUAUAGCAUACCAAAUCUGUUUUUUUUUUCCAGCAACAUACAUGAAACUUUGAUUGUAUUUUCUUUGUUCUUUUUUAUAGAUCCAGUGUUUCUGAAAAGUGUGGAAAGGAUACCGUCGCAUUCAAACUUUGAAAUGAUUAAAAAGAUGAUGGAGUUACUUGAGAAGUUUACGAAGAAAACUGAAAAAGUUUCAUGUUCAUCACGGCCUAUAUUCCAUACAUAUGCCUAAGAGAUCCUAGACAUAGAGCAACAUCUUAGGAAACAUGAAACCAAGCCGAAUUUUUUGUUUAUGGUACCGGAUAUGAAAGAAAAAUAUGACAAAUAUUGGGGUGACUAUGACAAUAUAAGUGAUUAUGUCUUCUUUGCGACAUUGUUAGAUCAUCAAUGCAAGUCAAAGUUUAUGAAAAUUGGUUUUACCAAAAUGCUGAAAGCACGUGCAAAGGUGAUUGAUAUCGAAUGCAAAUUAGACAAGUUUUUCAAGACAUACUUGGAAAGACCAAACAUAACCUCGUCGUCUCAACAAGAAAUUCCCGAAGAAGUUGUUAAUUUUGAUGAUGAAAAUGGAUUCUUUGAGCUAUAUGACCUCAGGAAGUGUCCCCUCGACUUCUUCGGAAAGCAAUUGCAACGAUACUUAAACGAGGGCCCAAUCGGAUUUGACAAAGGAUAUGAUAUCCUCACAUGGUGGAAAAUAAUGUGGUGCGGUUCCCGAUCGUUGCUCAAAGGGCAAGAGGUAUCGACCUUCUUUUACUUCAAAUAUUCAUAUUUAUUUUAUAAAUUCAUGUCGUGUAUUAUACACUAAUUUGUUUCUUAAUAGAUAUUUCGGGGAUGUAAAUUUUCACCGUAGCAUCAAAAUCCACAUUCAGUAACGAUCGUUGAGUAAUUACCAACUAUAAUACUAAUUUGUCCAUUGUAAUUGUGGAGGUAGUGAUAUGCACUCAAAAUUGGCUAAGAAAUAAUAGCUUGACUAUAUAUGACUAUUACGAAGUGCACGAUGUGUUAGCUGAUGAUGACCUUACUAUUGGUAAUACACUAAUACUUGUUACAUUUUAUUUUUAAUGUCUUAUUAGUAAUUAUUACAUUUUAUUAAGUAAUAACGUUUUUCUUUUGUAUUAUAUAUACACAUUGUGGAUGCUAUACACAACUUGAAGGUAACGGGGAAGAGAUCGAGGAAUUAGUCAAAAUGUCAAAUAGAUGUUGGAAUCCAUAUAUUAGACUUUGUUUUUUUUUGUUGGGGACACUUCAAAGUAUUUUUUGAAUGUUGGAUAUUUAAUGAUGGGUAGUUAGUUAUGGCAGUUAUGUUCUGAUUAAGUAUAACAGCCCGGAAUCUCAGGUAUUGUUAAAUUAUGUUUUUGGGGUGAGUUAAGAGGGGACUCGGCGAGUUGGAGCCUAGACUCGCCGAGUAGGAUCGCAGACUUGGUCGCGGGUUCGCGACUGGACUCGGCGAGUCUACGCUGUUUAGCGAAAACCCUAACCGUUCAGGGUUGGGUCGUAUAUAAUGCACUUAUAGGCCGUCAUUGUCCGUCUUUAGUCGACUGAGAAGAACCCUAAACGGCUGUGGGCAUCUAGAGCAAGAUUGAAGGAUAUUAGGGCUUUGAAGAAAUUGUUGUGCAAGGAGGAGAAGAGCUUUGGCUAAAGGAAUAGCAAGGGAUUCGAGUUCUGCGGUUUGGGGACACAGAGAGUGCAUAUUUCAGGUAAUAUUUCGGAUUCCUUUCUGUUAUGUUGAUGUGUGCAUGGAUUUAGGGUUUAUGGAACCCAUUUGGUGAUUAGAUGAAUUAGUACCUUGUUACCCAACGACUAUAAUCCUGUAUUAGGACCUUUAGAGGUCCAGAAGGUCCCAUGCUUGUGUAUUUCGGGACGAAACUUAUCUCAGGAAGCAGUUUGAUCGACUGCAUGGCAUGGACUCGCCGAGUCCGAUGAACAGACUCGGCGAGUAGCUUGGAGAUUGACUGGAACUCGUCGAGCUGUUCUUCAGACUCGGCGAGUGGAGUCGGGGUGGCCCCGCGAUUCUUCCAGGAGUAACUCGUCGGGUCAAGGAGGAUACUCGACGAGUAGAUAGGGACUCUCAGAGAGUUGGAGAACGUCUAGACUCGCCGAGUCGCCAUGGCACUCGCCGAGUCCGGUCGAGUUGACCGUUGACCGUUGACCAGAGUUGACCUAAGUCUGACUUCUUAGGGAUAGUCACACUUAGAAGAUAUAAGUGUUAAUGAGAGAUAUGUGAUGUUAUAGGGAGGUUGUAGCUCGUCGGAUUGUGCACGAGUGAUUUCAGGAUUUGCUAGCUUUCAGCAUUUACGAGGUGAGUCUUCUCACUACACUGUACCCGGAAGGGUUUGACUUUGUGACCGGAAGGUCAGAUAUGAUAUGUGAUAUGUAUGCUAUAUGUGGUAAGUUAUUUGUUAUAUGUGUGCUAUGUAUGUUAUGUGGGCCGGAAGGCAAUAUGUUAUGGGCCGGAAGGCGAUUAUGUUAUGGGCCGGAAGGCGUUGUGUUGAGGACCGGAAGGUCAGGGCCUGGAAAGGCGUAUGUGCGUAAGUGUAUAUUGGGGGACUCACUAAGCAUUUAUGCUUACAGUGGUUAUGUAUGUGUUUCAGGUACUAGCGAGGACCGUGGGAAGGCGCCGGCGUGAUCGAUACACACUGAAGAAUGUUUUUAUGAUCUUGGGAUUUAGACAGUUUGUAUUUGACAUGACACUUAAAUUAUUUAUGCCUUUUUUUGAAUGAAAUUACUCUAUUAUUAAAAAGAAAAAUUUGUUUGAAAAUUUGAGUUGUUACAAUUGGUAUCAGAGCCUUGGUUUGAGGGAUUCGGGUGCACCUUCGGGAGUAACUGAACUCAAACCGAGGAUUUGAGGAAAACUUUUUAAAUAAAGGCAUAAACUUUUGUAAAUGGUUUUGUGGUAAGCAAGAAAGAAGCAGUGUGUACGAUCAGUCAGCGCCCGAACGGUAAAGAUCCCCAAAAUACCUUACAAUGUUAUAUGAUAUGAAUUGUUAUGCAUGCUAGAAGACUAGGUAUUCAUGAUAGGACUAGAGUGGCCUGAUUUGUGAUGCCUUAGUCUAGGGAAGUUUGCCGAUAUGAGAUGCUUUGCUAGUAUGCGGGUAGAUAGUGCAUAUCAGAAGUAGAGUACUCACUAUCCGGGGUUUGGGGAGGAAGACUUGGGAUGAAUGCUGAUGCGGUGUGGUCGGUAGUAUUGGGCCCGUACUACCGAAGACACCGGGUCAGUGGGAGACCCAAGUAAGAAUCCCUGGAUAUCGGAGACUGAGUAGGGUUGCGUUAUCGAGUGCGAUUACACUCGAUGGAGUCUCUGAUAGUUUUAUGUUGUAUUUCAGAGACAUCAUGGUUAGACCACGCCACGGAGCGAGUACGAGCGGUGUGAGUGACGAGGAGAUUCGUCAGAUGAUUCACGAGGAGGUGGCGGCGGCGAUCCGGGCUGAGAUCCCGGAGAUGUUUGGGUCUAUUAAGACCACCCUGAUGGAGACAUUCGAUGAGCGGUACGCCGCGUUGACUGAGGCUGCAACCGCUGCAGCUACCGCAGCUGUGGCCGCUGCUAGGCCACAGGGGGGUGACUCGUUGCUGUUCCGAGAGUUCAGCAACACGAAGCCACCAGAGUUCGAUGGGACGCAGGAUCCGAUUGCUGCGAUGAGGUGGAUCGCGGAUAUAGAGGGGUGCUUCUACACUUGUUCAUGCCCGGAGCACCUGAGGGUACGGUUCGCUUUGAACCAGCUCCGUCUGGGAGCGAAGGACUGGUGGAAGUUCGUGACGGCGAACUUCACUUUGGCAGAGACUACAGCAGUGACAUGGGAGGGGUUUACUGCCAUGUUCAGGGAUGAGUACGUUCCCCCGGUGGAGCGGGAACGAUUGGUUCAGGAGUUCUUAACCCUCAAGCAGGGUACAGAUUCGGUGGCGGCGAUCACGCGGAAGUUUCAUGAGAGGGCGAUGUUUUGCCCCGAGCUGGUGUCCACAGAGCAGGCUCGGAUGAGCCGGUACUUGGGUGUCUUGAGGAGGGAUAUCCGGGAGUUUGUGUCAAACUCCACUUACCAUACUUUUGCUGAGCUUCAGGCGAAUGCCAGGAAGCGCGAGAUCGAGUUAGAGACCCAGGCCAGGGAGGAGGCCGAGUCUCAGCGGGUGGACCGGCGACCGGCUCAGUUCCAGCCGGCAGCCAAGCGGACCAAGUCCGCUGAUUCGAGGACAGGAGGUUCGAAGGGUCGCACUUGCGGGAAGUGCGGCAAGAGUCAUGAUGGAGUAUGUCGAUCUGGUGCUUGCUACAAGUGUGGCAAGGAGGGGCACAUUGCUAGGGAGUGUCCCAAGGGAUUUACGGUUUGCUUUCAUUGCAACCAGACCGGCCAUCGGAAGGCCGAGUGCCCUCAGCUUCGUCAGGGAUCUGCACCUGCUGCCAGGACUACUGAGACUCGACCGGUGAAGGUCGAGGCCCCGAGGGCUCGUGGGAGAGCCUUUCAGCUGACUGCGGAGGAGGUCCGCGCUGCGCCCGAUGUUGUGGCAGGUAUGUUGUAAUUCAUGUAUUUAUUUUAAUGUCGAGAUGUUAUGCUUAUGUUAUUAUAUGCGUAGGUACUUUCCUUGUGAACUCUGUGCCUGCCUUAGUGUUAUUUGACUCGGGUGCGAGUAGGUCCUUUGUGUCCUUAGCCUUUAGUCAGCAUAUCGGCGUUAGUCGUGAGUCGUUGAGUCGACCUUUGAGAGUUUCUAUAGCUGACGAGAAAGUGAUUUGUGCCACGGAGGUUCUUCGGGGAUGUGUACUAGAGAUUUUCGGGGUUGAAUUCCCGAUUGACCUGAUUCCUAUUGCGAUGGGUGAUGUCUGUGUCAUCGUGGGCAUGGACUGGUUGAGCCGAUUCGGCGCUGUCAUCGACUGUGAGCGUCAGUUGGUGACUAUACGAGACCAUAGUGGGGGAGUUCUUUCGGUGUACGGCGAGGGUACCCGUUCGGGAUCAGCUUUUUGUUCGGCCGCUAGGGCGAGGCAGUGUCUACAGCAGGGCUGUAAGGGUUUUGUGGCGUAUGUGAUGGAUACGCGGGAGGUUUCCGAGAGACCGAAGUCAGUUGAGGAGGUCCCUGUGGUGCGUGAGUUUCCAGAUGUUUUCCCCGAGGAGCUGCCGGGAGUACCUCCUGUGAGGCAAGUAGAGUUUGGUAUCGAUCUGGUUCCGGGGGCCGCGCCUAUUGCUAAGGUGCCUUAUCGUCUUGCACCUCCAGAGAUGCAAGAGUUGUCCUCGCAGCUCCAGGAGUUGCUGGGGAAGGGAUUCAUUCGGCCGAGCAGCUCGCCGUGGGGAGCACCUAUUCUGUUCGUCAAGAAGAAGGAUGGUUCACACCGGAUGUGUAUUGAUUACCGGGAGUUGAACAAGUUGACGGUCAAGAACCGUUACCCGUUACCGAGGAUCGAUGAUUUAUUCGAUCAGUUGCAGGGAGCAUCUUGGUUUUCCAAGAUCGAUCUGAGGUCAGGGUACCAUCAGGUGAGAGUGCGGGAUGAGGACGUCCAGAAGACAGCGUUUAGGACGCGAUAUGGGCAUUAUGAGUUUGUGGUGAUGCCUUUCGGGCUCACCAAUGCCCCGGCUGUGUUCAUGGAUCUCAUGAACAGGGUAUGCAGACCGAUGUUGGAUCGGUCAGUGAUUGUAUUUAUCGACGACAUUCUGGUGUAUUCGAGAUCUAGAGAGCAGCAUGAGGAGCAUUUGAGGGAGGUCCUUGAGGUAUUGAGGUCGGAGAAGCUUUAUGCAAAGUUCUCCAAAUGUGACUUCUGGUUGCGGGAGGUCCAAUUUCUAGGACAUGUUGUUAAUCAGAAAGGGAUAUUGGUCGAUCCGGCCAAGGUUGAGGCGGUGAUGAGUUGGGAGGUGCCGAAGUCACCCUCUGAGAUCAGGAGCUUCCUUGGGUUGGCAGGGUAUUAUCGGAGAUUCAUUAAGGAUUUCUCCAAGAUCGCAGUGCCGCUCACCAGAUUGACCCGGAAGGGUGUUGCAUUCUCAUGGGGGCCCGAGCAGCAGACCUCCUUUGAGACACUUCGCCAGAGGUUGUGCGAAGCCCCGGUAUUAGCUCUCCCAGAAGGGAUGGAAGAUUUUGUGGUAUAUUGCGACGCAUCGAUUUCGGGACUGGGUGCAGUGUUGAUGCAGAGGGGUCAUGUGAUAGCUUAUGCGUCGAGGCAGCUGAAGCCUCAUGAGGCGAGAUAUCCCACGCAUGAUUUAGAGUUGGGGGCAGUAGUGUUCGCUCUCAAGAUUUGGCGUCACUACUUGUAUGGGGUUCGAUGUACGAUAUACACGGACCAUAAGAGCUUGAAGUAUUUGAUGGAUCAGCCCAACCUAAAUAUGCGUCAGAGGAGGUGGUUGGAUGUGGUCAAGGAUUAUGAUUGUGAGAUCCUGUACCACCCAGGCAAGGCUAAUGUGGUAGCCGACGCGUUGAGCCGCAGGGCGGAGAGCACUCCAUUGCGAGAUGUAUGCUUGAGACUGACUGUGAUGACUCCAGUAUUGGAUGCUAUUCGUGGGGCACAGGCCGAGGCUGUGCGACCAGAAAUGCAGAAGAAAGAGCGGGUUGUGGGGUUAAUUUCAGAGUUUGUUAAGGAUAGUCGAGGCCUUAUGACGUUUCAGGGUCGGAUUUGGGUACCGUUCGUGGGCGGUACGCGUAUUACUUUGAUGGAAGAGGCUCAUAGAUCGAAAUUCUCGAUCCAUCCCGGUGCUACGAAGAUGUAUUUGGAUUUGAGGAAAGAGUAUUGGUGGCCCUGUAUGAAGAGGGACGUCGCAUGGUUCGUUGAGAGGUGCUUGACCUGUCGUAGGGUUAAGGCCGAGCACCAGAGACCGCAUGGCAAGUUACAGCCAUUGGAGAUCCCCGAGUGGAAGUGGGAACAGAUCACUAUGGAUUUCAUCACCAAAUUGCCGAGGACUGCCAGGGGAGUUGAUGCAAUUUGGGUGAUUGUGGAUAGGUUGACGAAGAGUGCACACUUCCUUGCCAUCAGUGAGAGUUCUUCAGCGGAGAAGUUGGCGGAGAUAUAUGUGAGAGAAGUGGUAUCUCGGCAUGGGGUGCCGAUCUCGAUUGUUUCAGACCGUGAUGUGCGCUUCACUUCCAGAUUCUGGAAGAAAUUCCAUGAGGAGCUGGGUACUAAAUUGCAUUUUAGUACCGCAUACCAUCCCCAGACAGACGGUCAGAGCGAGCGGACGAUUCAGACGCUGGAGGACAUGCUUCGAGCGUGUGUGUUAGACUUCGGGGGUAGCUGGGAUGCAUAUUUACCCUUAGCAGAGUUUUCCUACAACAACAGCCAUCAUUCGAGCAUUGGUAUGCCACCUUUUGAGCUGUUGUAUGGUAGGAGGUGUCGGACCCCCAUUUGCUGGGGAGAGGUGGGACAGAGAGUGAUGGGCAGCACAGAGAUCGUGCUUCAGACGACAGAGCAGAUUCAGCAAGUUAGACAGAGGUUAUUGACCGCCCAGAGCCGACAGAAGAGUUAUGCAGACAGGCGCCGAUCCGAGCUUGAGUUUCAAGUCGGCGACUUCGUUCUCCUGAAGGUCUCUCCUUGGAAAGGAGUGAUUCGAUUCAGGAAGAGGGGCAAGUUGGGGCCCCGGUAUAUUGGGCCAUUUCGUGUGAUUGCAAGGAUAGGCCGGGUAGCCUAUCGGUUGGAGUUGCCAGCGGAGUUGGGACAGAUCCACGACACUUUUCAUGUGUCGCAAUUGAGGAAGUGCAUAGCCGAUGAGUCGGCAGUGGUUCCAUUGGAGGAUAUUCAGGUGGAUGCGAGCCUGAAUUAUGCUGAGAGACCAGUGGCCAUCAGGGAUCGGAAGAUCAAGGUUCUGAGGAACAAGGAGGUACCUCUGGUGUUGGUUCAGUGGCAACACCGGAAGGGAUCGGAAAUGACUUGGGAGCCGGAACGUGAGAUGCGGGAGCAGCAUCCGGAACUAUUUUCAGAGUGAGACUUCGAGGGCGAAGUCUAAUCCUAGUGGGGGAGAGUUGUAACAGCCCGGAAUCUCAGGUAUUGUUAAAUUAUGUUUUUGGGGUGAUUUAAGAGGGGACUCGGCGAGUUGGAGCCUAGACUCGCCGAGUAGGAUCGCAGACUUGGUCGCGGGUUCGCGACUGGACUCGACGAGUCCAGAUAUGGACUCGGCGAGUCUGCGCUGUUUAGCGAAAACCCUAACCGUUCAGGUUUGGGACGUAUAAAAGGGACUUAUUGGCCGUCAUUGUUCAUUUUAGCCUUCUGAGAAGAACCCUAAAUCGAUUGUGUGCAUCUGGAGCAAGGAUUAUAGGCCAUUGUUGAUUAUAGAAGAGUGGUUGUGCAAGGAAGAGAAGGGAUUGGCUAAAGGAGCAGCAAGGGAGUCACAUUCUGAGGAUUGGGGACACAGAGGAUACAUCAUCCAGGUAAGAAUUCGAGUAUACUCUGCUAUGUUGAUGUGAUUAUGGAAUUAGGGUUUAUGGAACCCUUUUGUGAAUAGAUUGAAUGUUACCCUAGUCCCCUAAUCGAUUGUAACCCUGUAUUGGGACCUUUGGAGGUCCAGAAUGUCCCAUGUCUGUGCAUUUCGGGAAUUGAUGAAGGUUUUGGAUUGGAAUCCUUAUGCCUUAGGUCAAAAUGUAAAUUAUGAAUCAUAUGGUGUAUCAUGAGCACUGAAAUGAGGACUUUACGUGAUGGAUCAGCCUAGGAAGGCCAGACCUAGGAAUGGUCGAAGCAGUUCUGACCUUAGGAUGCAGUUUGAGCGGUUGCAUGGCAUGGACUCGCCGAGUUCGAUGAACAGACUCGGCGAGUAGCUUGAAGAUUAACUGGGACUCGUCGAGUUGUUCUUCAGACUCGGCGAGUUGAGUCGGGGUGGCCCCGCGAUUCUUCCAGGAGUAACUCGUCGGGUCAAGGAGGAUACUCGACGAGUAGAUAGGGAAUCUCAGAGAGUUGGAGGACGUCUAGACUCGCCGAGUCGCCAUGGCACUCGCCGAGUCCGGUCGAGUUGACCGUUGACCGUUGACCAGAGUUGACCUAAGUCUGACUUCUUAGGGAUAGUCACACUUAGAAGAUAUAAGUGUUAAUGAGAGAUAUGUGAUGUUAUAGGGAGGUUGUAGCUCGUCGGAUUGUGCACGAGUGAUUUCAGGAUUUGCUAGCUUUCAGCAUUCACGAGGUGAGUCUUCUCACUAUACUGUACCCGGAAGGGUUUGACUGUGUGACCGGAAGGUCAGAUAUGAUAUGUGAUAUGUAUGCUAUAUGUGGUAAGUUAUUUGUUAUAUGUGCUAUGUAUGUUAUGUGGGCCGGAAGGCAAUAUGUUAUGGGCCGGAAGGCGAUUAUGUUAUGGGCCGGAAGGCGUUGUGUUGAGGACCGGAAGGUCAGGGCCUGGAAAGGCGUAUGUGCGUAAGUGUAUAUUGGGGGACUCACUAAGCAUUUAUGCUUACAGUGGUUAUGUAUGUGUUUCAGGUACUAGCGAGGACCGUGGGAAGGCGCCGGCGUGAUCGAUACACACUGAAGAAUGUUUUUGAUGAUCUUGGGAUUUAGACAGUUUGUAUUUGACAUGACACUUAAAUUAUUUAUGCCUUGUUUUGAAUGAAAUUACUCUAUUAUUAAAAAGAAAAAUUUGUUUGAAAAUUUGAGUUGUUACAUUAAGAGUUGGUAGUUUUUGAGUACUUUGAUUAAUAUCAACAAAAUGGUGUAUGUGACAUCCCCAAAUUUCACGGCCAGAAAAGACCGAUUUAUUUAUGCUUUGUUUUAAAAUCAGAAUAAUCGUUAAAGAAAACUGUUGCGGAAUUUGUUCCCAAAACAAAACGUGAUAAGAAUUUAUCAAAACAUUUCUUUAAAGAAAUGUAUUUUCAUUAAAUAACAAAAUCUCGGGAUGUCAUGUUCCGAUACAGACCAAAAGCAUAAACAGUAUAAAAUAGACCUUACAACAGUUAUUUAUAACUACUGAUCUAUAAUCCAAAAUCUCUCGUCANNNNNNNNNNNNNNNNNNNNNNNNNNNNNNNNNNNNNNNNNNNNNNNAUAUAUAUAUAAUUUAGAAUUCGCACAAUAUAAAAUUUUCUCUGUAUACACAUAUAACCAACUCUUACCCCACCCCGUCAAUCCACUCAACAAGACUAUCCAUACCCCUGGACCUCAAAUUCUAACUCUUACUCCCGGAUCUAAUCCAUGUUCUCGAGUCCAUAAUUGUGCCCAUUCCAUACCCCCGGAUAAGGGACAAUUGGUCCAUGUGUAAAUCCAUACUCCCGGACUAAUGACAGAUUCUAUAUCAUGUCCAUACUCUCGGACUAAGGACAACUGACUAUGUCUUAAUCCAUACUCUCGGAUUAAUGACAACUGACUAAGUCUUAAUCCAUACUCUCGGACUAAUGACAAUUAACUAAGUCCAAUCCAUACUCUCGGACUAGGGAUGAAUAACCAUGUCUAAUCCAUGCUUCUAGAUCAACGACAUAUUUUAAAGUUCUAUUCUCCGUAUAUAUCUCGCUCGUACUCAUAAAUAGAUACUACCCCAUAACCAUUAUAAAAACGCUUAGGUUUACUCUUUAACCUAAGUUAUCAUAAAAAAAUCAGGUAUAUUCUUUAACACAUAAUUCCGACAUCAUCAAAUAACUCACACAAAACCUAUAAUUAAUACAUUCAAACAAUACUUGUAUUAAAAUCAUGUUCAUGAAAAAGACUAUGCACCCACUUGAUAAGACGGUUAUCAGACAGCACUACGACUCUUAAAGUAGUGUUCUUCGAUGAAACAGGAAUAUUUUCGCGAAAACUGGGCUUCUCGCGGGCAAAGUUUCGGCUCGACAACUCUAUUUCUCAGGAUCUUCGGGGCUUCGGGACUUGCUUCGGGAUUCAAGAUGAUAUCGAGGCUUCGGGGGUACUUCAAGACGGCUAGAGAGAGUAUCGGGAGUGGGAGAGAAGAGAUGGAGAAACCAAAUUCGGCUGACCCUCGAUUUCUAUUUAUAGGGCCGAUUUUCCAAUCUCACGUCGUGAGAUUCAAGUGCUCACGUCGUGAGCUUAGUCGUCACCGCGUUCGUCACUCGUCCACUUGCGCUGGAGGGUCUCCAGUCUCUGCUCACGUCGUGAGGACCAUGCUCACGUCGUGAGCUCUGAUACAGCCUCGAAAUUUGUGUUUCGAACUUCAGAAAUUCAUAUCUUUCGCAUAUGAGGUCCGUUUUCGACGUUCUUUAUAUCCACGCGUAGAUGAGAUUAUACUCUACAACUCUCGUUUAGACCCGUCGGCUAAUUUUGCUUUAACUUUUAUUAUAUUAUUUUAGUAGGCCGGGACAGGAAAACUCCGUUAGGAAUUCACAACUCCUUCAUCUGACGUUUGUUUUCGUCUGUCUUUUUACCGGUGGACUACUAUCAAUGAGAUCUUCGAUUCUCGUUUAGAUCGUUUCGGCUAGAAAUCACUCGAUCUCAUAUUCGAACUUCGGGCUGCAUACUACUAAGCUGAAACUUAGAAAAAUCACAACUUCCUCAUAUGAAGUCAGAUUUGGACGUUCUUUUUAUGCACGCUUUCGGUUUAACGGAUUCUAUGACUUUCAUUUAGAUCGCUAAGGCCAAAUAUCGCUCUAACUAACGUAAAUUCACUAUUUACGUUGUGUUGUGUCGCACCGGUUAUGCCGCGAAACUUCGACAGGUCAUAUCUUCUUCGUUAUAACUUGGAUUUCGGCGUUCUUUAUAUGUACGAAAUCCUUGCAACAUAUAUUACAACUUAGUUAAGAUUACUCCUUCUAAAUAAUCUUCCAUUAAAAAGUCAUUUUUUAUGUUUAUCGUCUCUAAAUUGACUAGCCCAGAUCUAUGGGCAUUACACUGUAUUGGUUGUUUGUAAAAGAGAAACUGACUUAUUUUUUAUAAUAUCAAAUUUUUAGUUUUUCAUAUACGGAGCACUGGUUGUUUGUAAAAGAGAAAUUGACUUAUUUUUUAUAAUAUCAAACUUGUAGUUUUUCAUAUAUUGUCCGACAAUCGUUUGUUUAUAUAGAUUACAUUCAUAAAUUAGUGCAUGUUCCUAGGAAUCUAAUAUCAGUUACAUUCAUAAAUUAAUGCAUGUUCCUAAAAUAAUAAUACAUCCAACACUUGACAAGGUUUCAAGACCCGACAAGAACUGACAAAAACCGAAAUCGUAAACGAAAUAUUUCUCAAAAUACGUUGCUAUUUCUCGAGGACCGGUUCCAACAACGAAGACCCGACAAAAACCGGAACUGGUAGAACCGAUCGUUCGAUACGGUUCUUAAUUUCUGCCAACUUCGAUUCCCUGGUCCGAUCCGGUUGGGACCAGUUCCAAUCGGGUCGGUUCCUUUGCUCAUCCCAAACUUAGUGAACACCACCUUCUCUUAAUUUUUAAUUAUUGAUUUUUCUCCCCCUCAUGUUUUAGUUUCGUUUAAAAAAUAGUCACAUGUGCGUUUUUGUUAUAUUCUGACCCCCAUUCACUCCCCAUACAUUGAUAUGUUACAACCCACUUUUUUGUGGUUCUUAUCAUCUGGCCACAACCGUAAUUUAUGCCUAAUUUCACAUGCAAUCCCACAAUCUUCUUUCAGUUUUCUUUCUAUUUGUUGUAAUCUUCUUUUCAAAAAACUUAAAAUUGGUACGUUUGUUUCAUCGUUCUUGUUAUUCAUUAUAUAUAUAUAUAUAUAUAUAUAUCCCUAUUCUAAUAAAAAAAUAAUUUUAAUCUCCUUUUGACAUGUGUCAUCCUAUUAGGCAUUCUAAUUAAUACACAUUUUUUUUUGCCAUGUGUCACCCUAUUAAACUUCUUAAUUUAUGCAUGCCACUUGUCAACUUAUUAAUUAUCUAUUUCAAAUUUUAAAAUUUUCAUUUUAAUUACAAUAAAUUAAUAACAAUGGAAUAAAAAUUAAAAUAAAAUUAAUACAAAUUAUAAGGUGAUAUAAUUUCACAUAUUCAUUUAAAUUAACGAUUAUAAUUUAUUAAUAAUUUUGUGUUCUAUUAAAGUUUAAUUAGUUUUGUAGCCAUAGUUUCACGGGUUAUAAGCUAGUAUAUAUAUAUAUAUAUAUAUAUUAAAACCCCUUUUAUUUAUUUAACUGAUAAAGCUUACAGUGGUAAGUUUUAUUACUCGUAUGAUCAUCUCGAACAUGAUCGUUGUUUUUUUUUUGAACGGCACAUCUCGAAUAUAAGCAAUAGCUUCUCAAUGUCUAAUGGUUAGAUCACUCUUUAGUCUUUAAAUCAUCAAAGACCAAUACAUCGUUGUAGGUUGUAAUGUAACACAAAUUUUAAGCAGGUUUUUAGAAUUUGGUAUUUUUUUUAUUGGUCCUGUCCAAUUUUGUAGUUAAAUAAAACAUUAGAGAACAUAGAAAUGUACAUUUUUAAUGUAUAAACUUAUAAUAUUUUGUGUAAAAUUAAUUCCUAAAAACCCAAACACUUUGACUUUUUUUAGGUAAUCAACUAUUAUUUAAUCAUUUCUUUUUAUACGAUUUAUCAUUAAACAUAUAUUUGUUAUUUAAGAAAUAUCAUUUUUAUCAAAUAUUGCAGGUUUAGGAGGUCUAUUUGUAUAAGAAACACUAUUAAACUUCCAUUUAUUAUUUAAAAGAGUCAUUAAACUUUUGCAUUUUCAUACACACUAUACCAUUAAACGAAGUUUUAUAUACAUUUAAUACCUUUUCUCUUUUCCAACCAUAAUCAAAUUUAAGAUCAUUUUCUCUAGCCAUAAUCAAAUUUAAGAUCAUUUUCUCUAGCCAACAUAAUUCCAAAGAAGAAAGUAGACAUAAUUUUAUCUGUUUAUAUUUUAAAAAUAUUACAAAACGCACAAUCUUCUUAUUAUCUUAUAUGGUGAAAAAAAAAACCCACGCCCUUUAUUACCGCCGACAUUGAUAUUGUCAUCGCUCACACCUUUCUCUAUUCCCCUCCUUUUCCUUUAAUUUGUGUUAUUGAAUCGAUUUUCUGCAAGUUGAAGCUGAUUUUUGGUUAAUUACGUUGUGGUGAUGAAUAAUGGAAUGUUGUGUUUGUUGAUGAAGGUGGUUGGUGCCGGUGUGAGUUGAUGGUGAUGGUCGAAAAAGAUGAUCUGGACCCAAUUUAAUUAUGUACAAAAUAAUUUAAUGGUAAAUUGUAUAAGCAUUAAUCUACAAAGUUAUGUUGCCGAUUUUUCAAUAAUAAGAACUAUAAAAUCUUGAUCUAUAAACUGAUAACCGUGUGUUCUUUUUUUAUUUUUUAUUUUUUUGGACGAAAUUACAUCAUUUCCCACCACAAACAACAAAAUAUACAUUCCUUACCACACUAUUUUCAUUGGGUUAAUAUUAUAAAAGCCUUAAAUUUUUAACGCGUAAUUGGAAAAAACCCUAAUAUUUUUUUUACUAUUGCUGUGGCCACAACUUUCUCGCAGAAUUAUCACUCUAGCCCACUUAACGAGUUUCAUAGUUAAGUUGGUUAACUUUUUUGCAAAAUUAGUCCUAAAAUUUUAAAUUUAGUCCCUGAGGUUUGAAAAAAAUUACACCACAUGUUUUUUAACUUUAUUUUUCGUUUUUUGUAUACUUUAUUUAUUUUCGGUUUUUUUUUUUAAAUAUAUGUACAUUUUUUAUUUUCUUUUUUUAUAUAUAUAUUUUACUUAUUUUCAUUUUAUAACUUUAUUUUUCAUCAAUUUUUUUAAACAUUUUUACCUUUUGUUUUCUAUUUUUAGUGUAUAUAUAGAGUAUAUUAGAGUUUUUUAGGUUUUUUCAUAGUUAUUUUCGUAUUAUAUUUUAUUUUUUUCAUUUUUUUAUUUUUUUGUUUUUUUUUCUUAUUUGUUUUCCAAUUAUUUGUUUUUUUUUUGUUUUUUUUUAUCUUUUUAUUUACAUUUUUCAAAAAAUAUAAAAUGUAUUAAUAUAUUAGAGUAUAUUACAAUUUUGAUAAUUUAUAGUUUUUGUAAUUGUUUUUUAUUUUUAUUCAAGUAAAUGAAGUAGUUAUGUUUAUAUUUGUAAUUUCGGUCCAACUUAUUUUCUUUCUUUUUCUUUUUUUUCUUUAGUGCUAUUAUAUUUAUGUUACGAAAAAAUGAAAAUUAAAAAAAAUAGUUUGUUUAGUAAGAAUUAGUGUUUCAAUGUGUUAUAUAAUUUGCAAAUUAAAUCAUAUUUCUAUAUGUGAUAUCAAUAGAUUAAAUUCAAGAUAAUAUUUUUCAAUUUGAUAAUAGACUAAAAAAACAAAAAAAUAAUAAUAAUAGUCGAUCUUUAUAAAAAAAACUUGUUAUAGUAAUUUAUAUUCAAUUCAAGUUUGUUUACUUGAAUCAAAGUAAAUAAAACCAUUAAAAAAUCAUAAAUAACUAAAAUAGGAAAAAAAAUAGAAAACAAAAAUUGUAAUACGAAAAAACUUUAGAAAGAAUAUUAGAAAAACCAUAAAUAACAAAAAAUAAAAAAAAAUAAAAAGGUGAAAAAAUAAAAUAUAAUACGAAAAGAAAUAUGAAAAAACCUAAAAAAACUCUAAUAUACUNUAUAUAUAAAGAAAAUAAAAAAUGUACAUAUAUUUAUAAAAAACCGAAAAUAAAUAAAGUAUACAAAAAACGAAAAAUAAAAUUAAAACACCGUGUGGUGUAAUUUUUUUCAAACCUUAGGGACUAAAUUUGAACUUUUUAUGACUAAUUUUGCAAAAAAGUUAACCAACUUAACCAUGAAACUGGUUAAGUAGGCUAGAGUGAUAAUUCUGCGAGAAAGUUGUGGCCACAACAAUAAUAAAAAAAAUAUCAGGGCUUUUUUCAAUUACGCGUUAAAAAUUUAAGGCUUUUAUAAUAUUAACCUAUUUUCAUUUAACUAGUUUACCAUCUUUAAAUUAUAUCUUCAAUUACAUAAACCCCACACACUUGAUGUUACGCGACCCUACACUGCACUUUUUGGUCAUAAACCAUAAUGAUUCUUUGUCAAGGAGACUUAUACAACCCACAUCGGUUGAAUGUUAGGUGCUUUUACUCAUUUUGUCCAAAAUAAUUCAUAUCCCUUACCAAAUUAUUUGAGGGCCAUUUAUUUUAUAUCAUCAUUUAAGAUUUAAUUAGAAGAAAUUGAUGUACUCCAACUUAGAAAAUAUGAUUUUUGUAUGUUUUAUUUGUGGCUAUGAUCAAAUGAAACCAGCCCCACAUAAACCAUUUUGCUACUUUACGUCGGUUAAUGAAGUCGACCCAUAGGUAACGCAAAUAUAACCAAAUUUGUAAUGUCGACAUCCUUUAACGAUAGGGGUUUGUGCAACGACUUAUACUAAGAUUAUCGCAUAAGAAACUUUUGUUAAUAUUUAGAUUUAAAAGUAAUUAUUUAUUGUUGUGAUAGUUUUUCAAAUAUUUAUUAAUUGGCAAUUAAUAAACCGGCAAGCUUCGCAAAACUGUUCAAGUCGGUAUUGUGUUUUGCCAAAAUUCCAGAAUAAAAUUUUUCAUUUUUAAAUGAAAAUAAACAUCCGCUUUGAUGAAGUUACUUUUAAAUCAAACCAUUUGUUCAUAAAUCAUAAUUCAAAAUCAAAGUUAUAAGAAAAUCAUUGCGGAAUCAUGAUUCAUAAAACGGUUGAUUUGCGUGUGUAUAGUUCCGCCUUCACCAUCCGAUAAGUACCUGAAAAACAUUUAAUCAACAACUGUAAGCUAAAGCGUAGUGAGUUCCUUAAAAUACUCAACACAACAAUACACAUACAACGCAUGCAUACAUUAGCUUUCGGUCUACCUGGACCGCCUUUUAAGGCCUACAUGAUGUCUGGACCGCUCUCCCGAGCCUAUAGUCUAACCGGACCGUAUCGCAUGGCGUAUAGUAUAGUUGGACGGCUCCCUUUGGCCUACAGUCUGAUAGGACUGCCACGUAAUACCUACAGUAUACCUGGACAACCCGGGUAUCUUGGCCUACAGCACAAAGCAUGAUUGCCUCAACCCAACUACAAGAAAACAUAUUGGAGUACAAAGUAUAGUGAGAAAACUCACACAAGCUAACCAGCAGAGGCUCAAUAGCAAAAUUUAAAACAUAACAGCUAACACAAGCUACUUAAAACCAAACCAGAUCUAGUCCUUAACUAGCACUCAAUUCUAUCAUAAUUUAACCAAAAGUCAAACUCAUCAAAAAGUCAACGGUGAACGGUCAAAGUCAACAACCAAAAGUCAACAUAGUUGAUCAUCACGUGGUGGCUAUGCACCUGCCAUGACAUGGCGAUCCCUCAAUAAAAUAGUCGCAAAGAAUCCACUCGCCACGGCGUGGUAAGCAGGUUGCCACGUUGUAGGAACUGUCUAGAAACCACUUAAUGGAUUAAGUCAUUAAUUUAUUAAGUCGCACACUCAUCUCUUCCAAAAUACUUCCAAAUGUCCAUAAGCUUCAUAAAAACCCUUGCUUUGCGGACAUGCAUGUCUUGAACUUGGUUAGGUUAAAAAUGGUGAAAAUGAGGUUAAAAUCUCAUACAUGGAACCAAAACUCAACCAAACUUCAGAUCUAGCACACCAAACCUCAAAGGGACGCCAAGGAUCCUAAAAGUUACCAGCUUUAUGGAAUCCAAUCACAAAAACUACCCCAAACAUUAAGAACAAAGCAUAAAAUGCUAGAUUUAGUGUAACAUCCUGUUUCCUGCCAUUUCUGGGUCGUGGGCUAGAAAUCAACUGUGUAAGCCUUUGGGCCUUAAGGAGGUAAAUUUUAGUCCUUGUGGAAGAGGUAAUGUUAGUUAAGAUAUUUUACCCAUGAAUUGUGUUCUGGGGCGAAGCAUAGAAUAGGAAAAGUCAUAGUCUGGGAUCUUGCAUGAAAUAUGGAUUUUUAUUUGAGAGGUUUUUAGUCCAAAAUAUUUAGAUAAUAUUGUAGAGCUCUUUCAAUACCUUUCUGUGGAUAUAAAAAACAUAGAAAACAGAGUUGGAACGAAGAAGUUACGGGCGUGUGAAGUUAAGUAAUUUUGGGAUCAACAACGUACACAGGGCGUACAAGGAGUAUGUAGGGCGUACUAAGGAAUCCCUAGUAGGAUGGGCGUACUAAACAUGUACGAUGGGCAUACUAGGGUAUCCCUAGUACAUUGGACUUAAAUUGAGUACGUAGGGCGUACGCGAUCAGUGCCCAAACCCUAUUUUCGAAGAGUGGGAGGUUGGAGUGGUGAUUAGCCAGUUCCAGUCAAGGGUCAUAGUUCUAUGUCACGAGUAGAAAGUACUUAAAUAUUUGGAGUUGUAUCAAGGGAAGUUCUUAUUAUUAUUGAAUUGUUGAGAUUUCGGGAAAAUAUUCAUAUGGAUUUGGAAUAUGUGCGUGAUCAUUAAGAUUCACUAGUAACGGAACACUAGUCCUUGUAAGAUCAGGUUGUCAAGAGUCAGAUUGUAAGGAUGCAAGAUGGGUUAGAAACCCAUCAAAUUUGUGGAUUAGAGGAGCGCAGUUGAAUCCAAGUGGGGGAUAAUAGUUUAGAUUAUUGGGGAUAGCAUCGUGUGCGAACCAGCGAAAGUUCCAUACCCUAGUCGAGUGGGAAGUCAGUUCAAGUGGAAAUAUGGUUAGAGGUUGCUCAAGGUUAGGGGUUGUGUUAGAGCCUCUCUGCCUCUUCUUGUCUGAUUAAGGAUUUUGGUUCAAAGCAUGACCAAACUCCUGGCUGGGGCAUAGUCAGAUGCGGGAGCAACUCAUGACGAUUAUGGUCGGUAUGGUAGAUGAAUGUACCAGGUGGGGCCUGAUGAAUGUACCGAGUAGGGCCUGAUGAAUGUAUCGAGUGGGACCAGAUGAAUGUACUGUUGGAUUAGGUGUCUAAGUUCAUAACUAUUUUUAGGAUGUACAUGACCCGGUUGGCAUGACCUAUUUGGGUUGCAUGGCAUUGCAACACUUUGAUAGACUAAAUGAGAGAAAGGACACUUAAGGAUUAUUAAUAUAUUAUAAGUUCUAAUAUAUUAAUAAUAUUAUUUAAUUAGUAUUGAUCAAAGAAUUAAUUUGGAAUUAAUUAAGUGAUCAAAAAGAGACUAAUUAAAUAUAUGAGGUUGAUUGUGUAAAUAAUCUAUUAUUAUUUAGUGGGAGCNUAUGGAUUGGGUUAAAACCUAUAAGGUGCUCCAUGGAUAAUCCAUGGAGGUUACAAACCCAUGGAUCAUGGAAUAUGAAAAGCCAUGAUAAUUAGGGUUUACAUGGUGUAACCCUACUUGUGCCACAACUAUAUAAAGACCCCUAGUCUAGCAAAAUCGGCACUACUUGUACAAGAUAGAGGGCUAGCCGAUUUUGAGGUGUAAGUGAACUUCUCUCAAGUCUAUUCCAAGAGUUGUAGUGUUGUGUGAGACAUUUGAGGCAUCGCACUUGAGGUGCUAGCCGAUUUUGAGGUGUAAGUGAACUUCUCUCAAGUCUAUUCCAAGAGUUGUAGUGUUGUGUGAGACAUUUGAGGCAUCACACUUGAGGUGCUAGGCUCACAAGGUUCUUAAGGAAUCCAAACUACAAAAGGUAUGUUCUUCUUCUAGAAUUUAUGUUUAAAAGUUCCCCAUGGUAUGCUAGAUAGGUUAAAAACCUUGGAAAAUCAAUUUUGCAUGUAUCAAUAAUAAAACAUAGAUCCAAGGUGUCUAGGGUUGCAUGUACACCUUAGGAGUGUUAGAAUGCUCAAAACCCUUCAGUGGUAUCAGAGCCUAGGUUUGUUUUCUUGAUACUUGGUGCUACACUUUUUUUUUCAAAAGUUGAAAUUCUGCAUUUUUUGCAUCUGACUGAUCACGUCGACGUGGCAGUCUUUACCACGACAUGGUGAUGCCCCUGUAUGCAGAAUUCCAGGGUUUUCCUUGGUAUUGGAUGAGGAUCAUUAUCCUAAACUGUUUUUUGAACCUUAAAACAUGUUUUUGAUUUGGUAAUGAUUAUGCUAAUCCAAUUUCAAAGGUUAUUAUCAAAUUUUCAAAAUUUGUAUGGUUUAUUUAUGAUUCUUGAAAUUGUUGAUAUGAAAGUUCAUACACUUAUGAGUUUACAAGAUCACAGGAAUUAUUUGUAACUUGCAUGUUAGUUUUAUUCCUGAUCAUUAUGUGUUUUAAUGGAAUCCAUAAUUUGUCCUCAAGUUAUGGAUUACCAAAAGUCAUCCUUUUAAAGUCCAUUAAAGAAACACAUAGGUUAUAUAAAAUGAAAAGUCUCUCAUUUUAAUAAAUCAUUUAACUCAUAAGUUAUGAAAAAUGAAAAGUUUUGAAAGUUACAAAACUUGCCCUCAAGUUUUGGAACAUGUAAAGUCACUUUAAAAACUUUAGUUCCAACCCCUAGAAUUUUAAAAGUUAAAAUUCAACCCUUAUACUUUAUAAUAUUAUAAGUUUAAUAAUAAUUAUAUAUGUAUAAGAAUAAUUCGUUUUACCAUUAGUAGGCCUCAUUCACGAAAUCGGUCUAUAAGGGGGUAUAAGGCUGCUGCCUAUAAAAUGGCAGUUUAGUGUGUGUCCACUCUCACCCACCGCUUCCUUGAUCGGUGGAGGGUCGUUAGCCGAACGGGUGAGACAAGGACUUUAAAUCUUCAUUAAAAGUAUUAAUGAUAAAUAUAAAGUAACUAAAUGUUUUAUAAAUUCCCAAUCUUAGUUACUUUAGGAAAAUGUGAAUAAGGUGUUAACCCAUGAAAUUACACUUUGCACUUUGAUUAAGUCGGUUAAUGGAGCGCAUGUGGUUAACCGGCACACUAGCUGGACUUAACAAGGUAGGCACAGGGUAACUUAAUGUUUAUCAUAGUAUCGAUGGAGCACGUGUGGUUAACCAGCACAUCGAUUGAGGGGUAAAACAUUAAGGGUACCAAGUAAUUUGUAUGGUUACUUCACACCUUGUUUUGUGAUCCUCGGCAUCCCAGUCACAAAACCUGAAGGGCACACUCAAGAUUGAAACAUUUCAUUGAAAAGUUCAAUGAAUCUCAAAGAAUCUAGGAGUUUCAAAACCAAUUAAAACCUAAUAAUUCAUUUAGUUUUUCAUGGUGGAAAUUGGUGAAUCGUCAUUCAUCUACCUUCAACUAUUUUAUAGCUUGNGCAUUCCUUUUCUAAGUUAUAAAAUAUUGUGUUGGGUCCUAGCCUUAAUAUUUCAUAUUAGGUGUUAUAUUAAGGAAUUAAAUCAACUAACUUGAAUAUCUCCCAUUGUAGAUGUCUGGUUUAGACAACUAUGAUCUUCCCAAAUCUCAUGGAAAUCAUACUUCUCUACCUCCACCUCCUCCAUUCAUUCUCCCUGACCCACAAGCUCGAAAACAUGAAAAAUUCAAGGUCACUCAAGCCCUACUAGCAUUGAAACAUAAAGAUGGAAGACAUGUGUGCACUCAUGUCUUAUGAAUGAAGUCACACAUUGACAGGUUGAGAAUGUUGGGUGUCGUUGUCCCAAAGAAGUUGGCUAUUGACUGGGUUCUUCAGUCACUUCCUGAGUCAUAUAGUGAGUUCAUUAAGAACUACUAUGUGACUGAUCAGGACAUAACCCUAAUAGAUCUAUCUUAUUUGCUUGUUGCUGGUGAGUCAGAAAUGAUGUUGCGCAAUGGUCAAUAAAAUAUGGGUGGAAGGUCUAUUUCUCAAACUUCCAUGGACAUUGACAAUGGUAACAUUGGAAGUCCAGAAAAGCUUUCUCUUUCCAAUGGAAAGGGAUCGACCUUGGUCAACCCGGUUGACCAAAAGGUAAAGGGAAAAGCUAAGUCUGUGAUAGUCCCAUGUACCAUUCCUAAAGAGUCUAUAUGUUUUCAUUCUCAAGAGAAGGGGCAUUGAUUGCGAAACUGCCCUAACUACCUGAAAUAUCUUAGAGAAAAGGAAAAAUAAAAAAGGUUUGACUCUGCUUCAGGUAAGUCCAUUAUCUAACUCUGUUAAGUUCCUUAUUGAUGAUUCUUAAUACAAAAUGUGACUCGGUUACAUUUUGGUGUUUGGUAGGAUCAAGCAAAAGGAAGGAAACUUAAAGAAAGAGUAUGAUGAAUCUGAUCGCGAAGAUGGAUUUCAAUCGCAUGGUUCGAAGAUCGGAUUCUUGAGCUACUACUUAGGAGUUAUGAUAGAUUGCUAGAAAAAUAUGUAAUAGCAUAGUUUUCAUUUAAAGUUGCAUUGUAACGAAAAAGUUUUUUCCGCAUUUAUAAAUAAAUAAAUUUUGUUUUAUUUAAUUAUAUCUCCUUGCAUGACAUUUUAUGAAAAAAUGAUGUCUGUAUGGUUCUAGCAAUAAUGGAAAAGUGAAUUUAAUUCUUUCAUUUGUGGUAGUGUCUAAAUUUACCAAAUAAAGAAGAUUCUCAUCAACCAAGUUUCAAUUGGACCGAAACUUGGAAUCAUGCAAGUUAUAUAGUAUGAUGAAUGAGAAUUUUUCAUCUUUGGAAAAUUAAGACUAAUUCCUUGUUUGCAUGUAUAUGUGAUUCAAGUGAAGGAAUAAGGGAUCCAGUACACAUUGUUGUGCACUGGUCAAGGUCCACCACAAAAGAUCGAUAAGACUAUUCGUCAUGAUUUAAUAAAGUUGAAUAAAUGUAACACCCCAAAAUUUUAGGCCAAAAAUUUUGUUUUUAACUUAAGUAAAUCAUCAUUUAUAUUACCAAAACAUUGUCACUAUUUCAUCAUUCAUAAAAUCAUAAAAUCAAGUCUCGAAAACCAUAUCAUCAGGAAUAAUGAAAAUCAGAGUACAAUCCCAGAAAAUAUGAUGCGGAAACCAUGUGUGUGAUGCGUUGCUACGCUGCCGACUCAUUCCCCUUGGACGAAGACGUACCUGAAACUAGAACUGAAACUGUAAGCACAAAGCUUAGUGAGUUCCUCCAUCAUACCCCAUAACACCAUCAGUAUCUUUCAACCGGUAACUGUCAUCAGUAUCUUUCAACCGGUAACCAUCAUCGGUAUCUUUCAGCCGGUACACGCCAUCGAUAUCUUUCAACCGGUAAAUGGGGACUAUUUCACCCCUAGCACAAGCAUACCGUAACGAGAGAUAAUCAUACAGUCAGGCAUAACUGGGUAGGGACAACUAAUCCCUUCUACACACAUAACAUAUCAUACAGGCAUAUCUCAUGACCAUAACACAUUAACAUACCAAGAUAAUUAUCACAAAGACAUCAACUCAUACAUAAAUACUUACUGGUGGGCCGGCAUUGGUGCCUUAGACCCACCCCUACUAGAAGGUAACUCACCUCGUAGUAGUAGUUGCCGAUCUGUGCGGGAACUCUCUGUCUAUUGUGGCUGCUCCGAAAAUCCUCCGGCUAAAAUUCCUACAAAACACCCAAUCAAAGUCUGAUAACUACUCUUAUGGAAGAAUGACUAUUCUACCCCUGACCUAGUCAAAGUCAGCCCAAAGUCAACUUCCAGCUGACCUGACUCUCCGAGUUGGGCCGCCAACUCGUCGAGUCCUUAUCCAUCUAAUUGUCCUCAUUCCCGUCCCUACUCGUCAAGUUAGGUAAUGAAUCGACGAGUUCUCCUCCCAUUCGAACAUUGAAUGAUCCUUCAUCCGACUCACCGAGUUGUAUGAACAACUCACCAAGUUCAUCUUCAUCUGAAGAACAAGCCCUGUCAUUGACUUGCCGAGUUGUAUGAACAACUCGUCGAGUUCAUCUUCAUGUGCUGAGAGAUUGCCUUGGAAUCACCGAGUCUGUUCAUAUACUCGCCGAGUCCCAUGAACUCCAGGUCUAAGGCUAAGUCCAAUAUGUCUAAACAGCUAUGGGACUCCCUUUUCUAACAACUGACCAUCGCAGAAGGGUUUAAGAUGGCUGAAAGCGCACCGACUCGUUGAGUCCCAAGAACGACUCGUCGAGUCCAACCUUGACCAUUUAUAUACAGUCGAUCUAAAAGGUAUUUAACACACCAAAACCAUAGAUCUGGCCUCCUAAUGUCCAUUUUAUACGUAAAGUUCCAAACUUGAUGCACAUGCAUGGGGUUUUUAGCUCAAAAGUCCAUAGAAGGUGCUCUACAAUGUGCAUGGGGCUCUCAUGGCCAUAAAGUUGGAACCUUUAUGCCAUGAGACCCCUCCAAUGACUCAGAUCUGGAAGUAGAACCCCAUGAAUCACCUUACAAAUCCGAAAAUGGCUUAAGAGGACCUAAAUUCACCAUAACCCUAAGCACUAAAGAUGAACAACCAAAAAGGAAGACCAAAAAAGGGCAUUUACCUUGCUUGAGCUGAAGAUGAAGUAAGAUCUCUGGAUCUACAAGUCCCAAAUCGAAAUCCCAAGCUUUCUCUCUCCUUCCAAGAUUCUCAAACCAACCAAGAACACCAAAAUGGCCUUAACACACACACACACAAGCAGCUAGGGUUUCGAUAUUCAGCUCUAAGGGAGUGUUAGGGACAAGGGAGGCUGGGUUAAGGUGUUUAUAUAGGGUGCAAACCCUCAGAUUUAGGGUUUUACUCGCAUAAUUCCUACUCGCUGAGUCCGUCUUCCGACUCAUCGAGUAGGUCACUUAAGAUGUCCGCGGACUCGUCUCUACUCGACGGGUAGGUCCUCCGACUCAUCGAGUCCCAGGGAAAAACAUAAAAAUGCUUGAAUUAAAUGCAUACCAGGAAUUGGGUGCUACAAUAAAUAUGCUUAUACUUACUAGUUUAAGUAUAAUUCUGAAACAUUGGAAAAGUUUCGAUGCAUUGAAGGACAACUGAAAAGAAUCAAACUAGGCAGAAAGAUAAAAGUUACUCAAAUCUGAAAAAAUAGAAGAGUACUUUAGUAUCAUGUUUUGUGAUCAUCUUAAUAAUUAAGAAACCAUAUCACAAUUGGUCCUCUAAGGACAUCUUAGUGCAUUCUUAUGGCUAAGAAGAGGAAUCAUGAAUUGUUGAAGUGGUUAAAUCAAGAAGAUGAGUCAUACUUCGUUCUAAAAACAAAUCUUAGAGUCAUACUCCAACAUUGUAACUUGAGUGACAUAUCUUAAAGAAAGGUUUAUAACACUUGUCAAAUGUAAGAGUAAAAUGUGUCCUGCUCUUGUACAUUUGAAAUUGAUAAGUUGUGAUGUUUUGGAUAAAAAAAAGACCAAAUAAGGCCAAUUGUGUGAAGUGUUUGUCUUGAUAAAGAAUCUGCACUAUCUCUUGAUUAUUUGGCAAGUGAGUCUUAUAUGUCAAGAGGACAGUGGAAGUCUUAAAGAUCUUGGAAAAGCUUCCAGAUCUAAUCAAGAAGAAAAACCUAUAGUUUAUCACUAGCACACGACUUGAGGUUUAUAACUUAUCGUGCUGACAUAUUCCUAUUUCUGUGCCCAUUCAAGUUAAAGUUGGCUUUGCAUAUGAGUUCUGAGAGUUCUCAAUUGGUUGCAUAACAACUCAGAAGCAAUGGCAGGCCCUUGUGCUGCCAGGUGGCAAGAAGUUAAGAAUGCACAAGUUCAAUUCAUAAGAGUUUGGAUUUGUAACUAACCUUGUCUUGUGAUUAUGGUUUUGACAAAUUCGUAUGGAUAGGAACACAUACACCAUAAAAUCUAAGUGUCAUAAGGUUUCUCUCUGAUUCGUGAAAAUAAUGCUGAGGAAACGCUUUCACUAAGUAGAUUUUAAGUAGAUUGCAAUUGUGAUAUUUGCAUUCUCAAAGUCGUUAGUGGAGCGUGUGUGGUUAACCGGCACACUAACAUGGACUUGUGAGAAAUGGCAAAGGUCUAAACAAUUGAGACUAUGAUUACGACAUCCCUUUUCAUAGUUCUGAAAAUUUUUAAACACACAUGUGUGCUAUCUAAGAAAAGGUGUAUGAUUUUGAUAAAGUUUUAUCAAAGCAUCUCGUAUCAGAAAUAUGAACUUUGGUAAGAAGGUCAAUAAAGUAUUGGUUUCUAGAAGUCCAACUGAUUUCUGAGUACAUGUCAAAGCUAGUGGGAGCAUAAGUGUUAUGAUAAUAAUCAACAUGCGAGUGGGAGCAUGAUAAUUAUAAUAAGUGUUGCAAGUGAGCAAUAUUAAUUACAGAAAACAAAAGGUUUCAAGUGGGAAAAAGUUGUUUUGCUAUAAUUAAGGGAGAGGAAAUUAUACUUCAUUUCAAUUCUAAAAGCUUAGAUUGAGCUUUUAAUCAUCUUUAGUCAGGGAUAUAUAUAUAUAUAUAUAUGUGUGUGUGUGUGUGUGUGUGUGUGUGUUUAUAUAUAUANNNNNNNNNNNNNNNNNNNNUAUAUGAAUUUUAUGUUGGAAUGGCUCAACAUAAGGAAAUUCUAUAUAUGGGUCCAUUAUUUGCAUUCUAAAAUUCGAUUAUGAUUACAACGUCCCUUUUCACAAUCUGAAUUAUGAGAACUUGGCAAAUAGAAAUAGAAAUAUUAUAGCAAAAGACUGGUCCAGUAUCAUGUCUUUAUGAAUCGUGUCACAUAUGCUUCAGAUAUAGGAUCGAUUGCAUGUGCUAUAAUAUUCAUCUGUUCUAAAUUUUUCCAAAUUCCCAGAGCAUUAAGAGGGGAAAAUUACUAGAACUAGAUAUGACUAAUUUGAUUAAGCAAUUGUCGAGGACAAUCUAAGGUUUACCAAAGAUUGGUUGCUCGGGGACAGUUGAAAGUAUAGUUUUAAUUUCGGAAGGACCAUAUUGGCAUUAUCUGAAAAAGUAAACUCUUGUUCAAGAGUAAUAGCCAAAAGGGGAAUAUGAAAAUGUUCCCAUAGGUGAAAGUUACUCAUUAAAUAUGUGUAAGAUUAGGAAACUUAAUGCAAGAAGAAUGUUCAAAGCAAUGAACUUUGAAUAUGAGACUUCGUUUCCAUGGAGUUGAUCUCCAUUGGAAUACUCUAUAAUGUCUGUUGAUAAGUCUUUGUGAAUUUGUGCAUAAUCAUUACAAGAGGACCAAUGCAUAUAAGUUUAGAAUCUAGCAGAUUUAGGUAAAUGGCGGGAAUUUGGAAAUCUUGCAUUUGCGGUAAGGAUUUGGGAUUGUGAAAUGAGUAUAAUUGGAAUUAUGUUCAAUCGAUCAAUUUCACAAAGUAAAGAUCAUAGACAAGCUUAGUGUGAAUACUUGGUGUAUGGCAUAAAUAACCUUUGGAAAAACAUAGUGUGCAUACUUGGUGUAUGGCAUGACUAGUGUUUAGAAAAAACCAUAGUGUACAUGCUUGGAGCAUGGGACAACUAUUGUUUUAAUUGAAGUAUAAAGUUGAUAGUUUGAAACAAUAUGCAAUGAAUAAUGUGUAAUCAAUAUGGUGAUAAAUAAAAGAUGUUCUAUUUAUAUUCAUAAGUUCCGAGACCAUAUUUGAUUCGAUUAUUCUUGUGUUUCGCUUUGCAUGUUUUGACUUCCAUAAUAACUAGGUCAUUCUUACCGAAUGAAUAAGUUAUUCAAACCAUCCACAGUCGGUCAUAUAUUGGAAGUAGAUAUGAAUCAAGACUGUCAUGAAGCUGGAUUGUAGAUGUCCGAGGUAUGGGACAUAACAUGAGUUGCUGCAACAUUCAUGAGUGCUUAUAAGUUCUGAGUAUUGGAUUCAACUCACGCUCAAUGGUAUAACUUCAUGGAAUUUAUCUCGAGUGAUUGUGAGAUGGUAAUAUCAUAUAAGUCUUCAAACCUAGAGAUAUGACUUGUUGCCUAUGAGUUGGUUAUACGUUGAUUGUACGAAAACGCAUUGGUAACUCGAUGUUAUAAAACGUGCCUUUGUGUAUGACUCAACAAGUAGUAGAACAAGCAUAUGAGUCGAAGUUUAUCUAUUCCUUCUUGGAUUAGAAGUGAUAUAUGGGCCCCUCGAUGAUUUUGUGUUGAUCCAUGUACCGGGCCCAGUCAGAACUAAGCUAAUCUGUUCAAUUAAGUUCUAUGUCAAACAAAUCGGAAAUCGGGAAACAAACUACUAGACAAUAUGUAAGACAUUGUUCCAUUUAUUUGUCCAGCUGAUAUCUAGAACAGAGGAUUAUAUGAUCACUUAUCUUCAAUGGCAUAUCAUCAUCAUCUUAGUUCCAUGAGACCUUGAAAUAGCUACGAUUGUUGAUCGGUUACUAAAGUUAUUCUUGCAGAUAUAGUUAUUAGACUUAUCCAAGUGGGAGACGGUUGGAUUAGGUUUCUAAGUUCAUAACUAUUUAUGGGAUGUACUUGACUCGGUUGGCAUGGUCCAUUUGGGUUGCAUGACAUUGCAACACUUGGAUAGAGUAAAUGAGAGAAAGGACACUUAAGGAUUAUUAAUAUAUAUUAUAAGUUCUAAUAUAUUAAUAAUAAUAUUUAAUUAGUAUUGAUUAAAGAAUUAAUUUGGAAUUAAUUAAGUGAUAAAAAAGACUAAUUAAAUAUAUGGGGUUGAUUGUGAAAAUAAUCUAUUCGUCUAUAGUGGGCUAAUAAUCCUUGGUUUGUAUGGAUUGGGAUAAAACCCAUAAGGUGCUCCAUGGAUAAUCUAUGGAGGUUACAAACCCAUGGAUCAUGAAAUAUGAAAAGCCAUGACAAUUAGGGUUUACAUGGUGUAACGCUACUUGUGCCACAGCUAUAUAAAGACCCCUAGUCUAGAAAAAUUAGCACUACUUGUACAAGAUAGAGGACUAGCUAAUUUUGAGGUGUAAGUGAACUUCUCUCAAGUCUAUUCCAAGAGUUGUAGUGUUGUGUGAGACAUUAGAGGCAUCACACUUGAGGUGCUAGGCUCAAAAGGUUCUUAAGGAAUCCAAACUACAAAAGGUAUGUUCUUCUUCUAGCAUUUAUGUUUAAAAGUUCCCCAUGGUAUGCUAGAUAGGUUAAUAACUUUGGAAAAUCAAUUUUGCAUGUAUCAUAGUAAAACAUAGAUCCAAGGUUUCAAGGGUUGCAUGUACACCUUAGGAGUGUUAGAAUACUCAAAACCCUUCAUGUACUGGGCGAGGCCUGAUGUCGGGCAGGGCCCAAAGUAUGUAUGUAUACAUGAUACAUAUAAAAUGAGGAAUGUGGGAUCCGAGGUGAUCUUAGGCACGUGUAGCCCUUGACUAGGUGAGACCCGUAGGCAAGGCUUGUAUGAUUACGAUAGUGUGGGUUAGGCCCGGUAGUUUAGGUUGGGGCGUGGUUUUGGGAUCACGUUAGAUUGGGAUGACCCUAUGGUCAUUUUUGGGAUCAAGUGUGAGACUUCCAAUCUCGGCGGUCGAUGGAUGAGUAUACAUCUCCGUUCAGUGGGAAGUCACCAUGGAUGUAGGAGAUCCUUAACAUAUCAGAAUUGCAAAUUUUUGGAUAUCAGGUUGUGAGUUUUUAGACUGGUUUGGUACUUAGGGGUGAUAAUUGUGUUGGGAGUCACCAUUGUUCUCAAAUGGAUGAUUCAUUAGUGAUGAAUGGUUGGUUAUGUUAUCCUUGGUUAGACGAGGAGGGUUGGUGGAGCCAUUAAGGCAACUAAACUUGGAUAGCUAUUUCCAGAUAGACCUUCGUUCAGGAGUCGCUCAGUGCGAUUAUGUGAGCCUAUCAACCUCAACAACCUGUUGGAAAUCUGGUAUAUCUGUUAAUUGAUAGGUAAGUACGAGACCAAUGAGGUCUCAAUUGCAUCUGGAAUGUAAUUAUCAGGCAACAAGAUGAGUCUGAGGUGGUACUAGUGAUUCAGAAUCAUGUUAGGAGUUUCUUGUUUUUAAGUGAAUAUGUUAAGUCAUUUGUUUCAUGGGUUAGUUAAUCCCAGAGUAAUUGAUUUGACCUUACUGUGCAGCUCUCGUAUGAGUCUAACCGUUGUAGGGAUAAGUCUUUUACUCGAAGGAUUAUCUCAGCCUUCUAUCAAGUGAACAGUUUUAGCUAUAAGAAUUGGUCAGUGAUUCUGUUUUCAGUGGAAAGAACAAGAUGAUCAAGGGUUGGAAGUGUUAUGAUUUGUUGCAAUUUGAAAUGGAGUUGAAGUGGCAAUGAUUCUGAGUGGGCUGUUAUCAGGGAGUCAGACAGGGUAUUAGAAUUUCGGAUUUUAGACAAAGUAGUAAGGGUCAUUCUCUAGUGGUUAACUCUAGUGGUGUAAAGAUCUGUUCAUCGAAAGGAAGUGAGAGCCCUGCUAAGGCCUGGUUCGACAAUAGGUUUGGAAUGUUGUUGUUUGUGUGAGUUGUAAUGUCCCAAAAAUAAUCAUAAAAUGUGGAUCGAGGUGGUGUGUGCACUGCAACCAUCAUGGGCUCUUCCCUUCUGGGGGAUUUGGUGUUGUUUUAGAAAUCGUAACCGAGACGGAUUUCGAGGACGAAAUCUAAUUUAAGUGAGAAUUGUAACAUCUUAUUUCCUACCAUUUCUGCGUCGUGGGCCGAAAAUCAAUUUUGUAAGGCUUUGGGCCUUAAGGUGGCAAAGUUUAGUCCUUGUGGAAGGAGGUAAUGUUAGUUAAGAUAUUUUACCCUUGAAUCGUGUUUUGGGCCAAAGGAUAGAAGGGGAAAAGUCAUAGGUUGGGUUCUUGCGUGAGGUAUGGAGUUUUAUUCGAGAAUUUUUUUUAGUCAAAUAUAUUUAUACAGUGUUGUUGAGCUCCUCAAUACCUUUCCGUGGAUAUAAAGAACUUCGAAAACGGAGUUGGAACAAAGAAGUUACAACCGUUUGAAGUUAGGUGAUUUUUGGGUUAGCCUCGUAUGUAGGGCGUAUGAGGAGUACGUAGGGUGUACUAGGGCAUCCCUAGUAUGCAGGGCAUACUAGAGAAAUCCUAAUACGAUGGGCAUAAAUUGAGUACGCACGACAUACGUGAUUAGUUCCUAAUCCCUAUUUUCUUGGUUUGAACCCUAUAUAAGCUUCUUAACUUCCCUAUACCCACUCCAUUCUCAGCCUCCACCUCUCCAACACGCUCUCUUGAAACUCUAACCCUAGAUUGAGCAUCGUGAGGAAAAAAUAAGGUGUUUUUUAAGUGCUUUGGAGUGUUCUUGGUGCAUCUAGGAGAAGUAGGAACUCAUAGAAGAAGUGUUGGUUGCAUUGGAGCUUCUAGAUCCAUACUUUGUUCACCUUGAUCUUUCUUCUAGACGUAUAAAGUUUUAAUCUUGAUGAUGAUAUUGUUAGCUCUAGAUAGUUUUGAAUGUUAUGAGCUUUUGGUGACUUUAAGUGCAUAAAAUUUAGAUCUUGAAAGUGUGUGAUCUUGUUAUGGAUAAAGUUGGAAACUUUAUCCAUCUAAACAUCAUUUUGUUUCAGAUCUGAAGAUUAGAGACUUGGACUUAAUUGAUUAAGUUGAAAAGAUGCACUUUUUGGGUCCCUUUGAGACUUAAAGAGUAGAUCUUGUUUGUUGGGAGCAUUCUAAUACAUAAAGUUGGAAACUUUAUCCAUUAUAGAGCCAUUAUGAACCAUAAAAAUAUGAUGUUGAGUGUUGUAUGCAACCCAUGCAUGUGUUAGAUGGUCUUAAUAGGUUAAGAAAUUAGGGUUUUAGACAUUAAGUACUUAAUGGCCAUGCAAGACCAUAAAGUUGGAAAGUUUAUGGUCAAGGACAUCAUUUUUGGAUUGGAUCUGGAAAAUGGGUUUAAGAGCUUAAAGAUUAAGCUCUUAAUGAGUUGGGUUGGUAGCCAACUGUGUACGCUGGCAUACAAGGUGUACGUUGCGUGUACGUGGUCAACAUGAUUGUGCCUAGUCAACCAACGCGUACGUUGGACGUACUCAGCUGGGUUGAAUUAGUUGACUUUUUGGAAUUUUGACUUUUACUUGAUUUUGACCAUGUUUAACCUAAGGGUAUUUUAGGUAUUUUUGGAUUGUGUUUGAGAUUUGGUCAUUUGGAUGGACAAGUGACGGUUAGAGCUGAGAUUCGGAGUCGGAACCUCAUCAACUAUUGUUCAGAAUGAGAGGUGAGUUUCCUCACUCUGUUAGCGGGUCGAAGGAACCAAUGUUGGUCCAUGGUUUGUUAUGUUUAGGAUGCUAGAUAUUUGCGUGACUCUCACAUAUGUUAUGUGUUUGCAUGUUUACCAGGCAGGGCCUGAUACUGGGCGGGUGCCCGAUAAACAUUUUGUAUGCUAUUUAUCUUUCUGGAUAUUAUAUGUGUAUGUCUUUAUAUGCUUAUAUGUUUAUAUGUAUACUGGGCGAAGCUUUGAUGACUGACAUAUCUGUAUACCAAGCAGGGCUUGAUACGGGGCGAGGCCACUUAUAUGUUGUUAUGUAUGGUAUGUAGUACUCUAACAAACUCACUAAGAUUCAUGCUUACGGUUUUUAGUUUUUGGUUUCAGGUAUUUUCGUUUUAAAAAGGGAAGGGCCCGGCUUGAUCAUAGUGCAUCCACCCAUAUUUCCGCACUGUGAUGAUUUUGGGAUUUCACUCUGAUAACUAUUUUAUUAUGAAAUACUUUGAAUGUAUGAAAUAAAGAUAAUUGGUGUCUUGAUUGAAUUAAAAAUGAAAUUUUUACCUUAUGAUUUUUAGGAUGUUACAUUUAGAAGCAUAACACAUAAAGGUUGGAACUUCAGGACUUACAAUGGUCCAUAAUAUGUGCUCUAAGGUCAUGAGGGAACUUUCUUGUUGGAUCCAUGCACCAAGAACACCUUCUUCUUCUCCAAGGCAUCAAAAACAACACCGAAAUCUCAUAAGUGGAUGAAUGAUGAGAGGGGAGGAUCAAAGUAGUGAAAGGGAGGGUAAGGUUUCUCUCAAGAGGCUUUCAAUAUAAUAGAGGAUAGAAAAAUACCCUAACAACGCAAAACCGCGCCUUAAAUAUAUAGAAAACUCUAAAAAUUCACGGGCUUGGGCUGCACAACAGCCACCUCGUGGUGACUCACCACGUCGUGGGGACCUGCUCCUCACCAUGUGGUGAUAGGUUUUCACCUAAUUCCAUUCCAGCUUCAAACAAUCAUAACAUAUUCUUUUCAACUCUAUUUUUGGUGAUAUUUAUAUGCACGUGAAGGUAUUGACAAGCCCCACAACCCUAUCUAAUUACUUUUGACUAUGUACAUGUCGAACUAAAACCAUAAUCCAUGCAGGAAGCCUAAAAUAUUAUUUUUCCUAUUUUACCUUUUUGCUUCAAUGCACAGUUCGAGGGAUUUAAUCACUUAACCAACUUUAUCAACAUCUGAUAGAGUCUAAAAUCUAUUCCCUUAAAGCCUAAGGCCUUUACUUGAUCCAUUUAAGGCCCGUUAUCCCAAAAUUACAAACGUUCCAAAACUAGGUGUUACAAUUCUCCCUACUUAAACUGAAUGUCGUCCUCAAAAUCUAACUAUGUUAAAUUUUUUGGGGACUGUACUAACACAAUCCAUAUGCUCCCUCCAACCACUUCAUAAUAUCAACACGUCCAAAUCGAAAAAUCAAGAGACCAUUCAUAACUCAAUUGAUGCCAACAAACAACCCAAUAAGUUUAUAAAACUCAACUACAACAACUACCUCUCUCUCCCAACUCUAAGACCCAACUCAUAGAGAAAACCACUCAAAAUGGGAACUCCCAAAACUGGAUAUACUAACCAUCUCCAUCAAUAUACUUCACAGAAUCGAGAACACAAUAGUCCAAACUUUAGAAACGAACCUAAUGACUAAUGAUCAUCCAUUCGUCGAAGAUACCUCUAUUCCCUGACUAGGAACACCACCAAAACAUGCAAAACAACACUGAAAACAUUCUGAUCAUGAAUUUCAACUAGUACAAAGUCUAGAUAUUUCGCCUAAAAGACCUCAAAUACACACUCAACUUCUUGACAAGUCAUCCAAGAGUCCGACAACGAACUCCAUCACUGGCAACUCCACUCAUUCAAAUCCAUUCUCGCAACAACGAACAAGAAUAUACUAAGAAGAAAAUCCAUGAGGAAUUAUCGAAAUACAACCAUGACUUUUCCCAUCGUACCAAAACCCGACCUAUACUUGCUGGCUACUAAGACAUCAGUAGUAUUUCCAUACCGCUCGAACACCUGACUAUGUCAAAGACUAACAAACCAAAACAAGAGUUUCCAAUACACAAUUGUUGGGUCCAACUCAUAUAAGUGAAAUCCACCAUGGUUCACGACAUUCCAUGGUACCAUCCAACCAUGGACAAGAAGAUGUGCGGCCAACACCCAAUGGGCCUAUAAGAAAACUAUCAUAAUUCGACUAGCUUGCAUGAACCCAUUCAACAUCCCACCCAACACUUACCAAAAACAUAGUAUCCAUACCAUUUUGUAACACACAAGCCUUCCAUGGUCGUGGUUUUCAUCGACACAUCAUCAGACAAAAACAUGGCUACAUGCAAGUUGAAAAUAAGAUAGACGGUUGAGUGUAUGCUCCAACUUGAAAAGACAACAUUUUCCAUCCCCAUUCACCCUUCACUAUGAUAUUUGUUGUACUACCAACAAUUCACAUUUCUCAUGAGAAAACACAAUGGUCCUCAGGUCGACUGUGCUCUUUUCUUUAACAUAACCCUUCCCAAGGGUGAAGUCCAGCGGAUCAAACAAAACGAUAAACCUCGACCAUUAAAAGAAGCACCCUACUAUAAACUAAACAAGAUCCAACACCUUAAAUGAAGGUGAACAUAUCCCACCAACGCGCACUUAGAACAAUAAAUUUCCAAACUCAAAAAAGAAUUCCAAAGUUAUCUAGAAAUAUUGCCAGCACCCUAGUCGAAUAAAUUCAAAUACCAACCCAUCCAACACGACAUGACAAAACAGGACUCAAUGUAGGCCAUAAUCACACUUCAAAAAAAUUGAAAAAUGUCGCUCCGACAUCCAAACUCCUCAUUAACUAAGGACAAAUGCCAACUUAAACUUACUCGGAAAAACAAACCCAUAACCAAAAUUUUGUGAGUAUACAUACACAGAAACAAAAAAUAUACACCUUAAAUAACUUAGGGAAAGUUUAACGUAUCAAUUACAUGUUCAACUGAUACAACAUGGAACCCUCACAUAAUCUCAGUUGUGGAUGAUAAAUGAAACAACCAACAAUCAAAAAUGGCACAAAAAAUAAACCCAAUGAUCCUACACAUACUGAGAAAUGUACACACGAAAAUAAACUUACCGAAAUCUGAAGUCGAUCGACAGAUCAAGAACUUCCCAUCUUAACCAAAGAUAUCCAACCCAUACCUCGAGCUAACCAUGUUCUUUAUAUCUGAUGAACAACUUGAGCAGCCCAAAUGCUCCUCUAUCAAGAUCAUUGGUGCUUCCAGAAGUAACUACUAAUCACAACGAAUUCCUUGCCCAUCAACCUCCUGCUGAGAGAACAACAUAUGUGUUCUUGGACACAUAAGCCUGAAGGCGACUUACUCUACACUCACAAUCUGACAAAUCCUUAAAUUCCCCACGGCCAUGGAGGACUCUGAUGGAUCCUUGAUAAACACAACUAGAAAACUUCCUAAACACAAGUACUUCAGCGGUAGUCCACCUUCAUUCCCUUAUGAAAUAAUAAUCCCUGCACCAAAAACCACACACACUCAAACUGUAGAUUCCUUUGACCUAAUACCAUGAAGCCACACAAAUCAAAUAGACCAAUAAUCUUCCAAGCAGAAUAACUAGUUCUCCCCCACUUAGGGUUCGAACUACCACCGACUCACGUUUGCAAACAAUAGAGCCUCAGACUGGCUCGACCAGAUACAUACCACCCUUGACUCUCAGAAUGCAUAACACAGCACAACAUGAACCUUCGAAUAAUAAUCAACCAAUCAUAAGGAAACUCUGAAUCCUAGAUGGAGACCUCAGAAACUUCCCUCAACAUCACCGUAUUAUUCCUAGUAAAGUCGAACAAAAUAUCAUAGGAUUAACGAGACACCAUAUGAACUCAACUACAUGCAACGUAAACUUGCAUUUUAAGAAUUUACCCACAACCUUAUCCUCAUCUGAAACUUAAAGAAUCCCUUACAGAUGCUCAAAUGAUAACUACGAAAAACUCCACAUAUGAAUAGAACUCUCCUGAAUCAGGAAUAUCUCAAUCCUCCUCGGAUACACCCAAUCUUAUCAAAACUACAUCACUUAUCCAACUUGCAACAUGGUCUUCACCUAGGAUAUUAAAGCAAAAGAACAGUAGAGUCUCGAACAUUCCCUUGUAGUAGGACAAAAAUGAUUCAUCACGAACCAAAUAAUACCCCCUUACGAUAGAAACUGACGUAGAGAACACCCUCCCUUUGUUCUAUCUAUCGGCUGACACACAUUCAAUCUCUUCUCCCUCAAACAUGGAAGGCUGGAAGAACAUAACCUCGUCAUAAAGAAAAACAUCCCAACUACCGGCCGACCACCCAUCCUCUGGCUGUAAUCCUCGGGUCGAUCAUCACAUUCGCUUCCCACAUUAGUCAUGUGACUCAAUCUGAAACUACUUUGAACAAGUUCUUCAACAACUUAAGAUCAACUAACUCGUACAAAUUUGUACCCUUCAAGUCUAAACUGUCAUGUGCACUUGGGCCUAAAAAAGUACCAACUUUACCCUCAUCCAGAUCAAGCAUAACCAAAAGACCAGCAACAUGUGGAUGAGCUACACUACACUUUCUACCAACAACCAGUUUCCUAGUAGCCUUGUGACUUUUCUUGAUCCUCGUAUGGAUCAUGUGCUUCUAGUAGUCGGGACCAUACUACCUUCCACACCUAUGCAUAUUCCUUUCAGGAAUCAUCCCAAAGUGCUAGGUCACUACACUCUACUACAACCAGGUGCAACAUACAUACCUACAUACUUUAAAGAGCUACAAGAUAUAUUUCCUAGAUUCUCAUUCUAGGAUUCUUCUCGCACAUAUGUAUGCACGGGCAUACCAUAACACCUUACAUAGGUCACUAGGAACUCCACCAUACCCUGUUUUCCUGCUGUAAAGAAACUUCUACCAAUAUUAACCAACCACCAUACAAAUACUAAUCGCAUGCAACUAGAAUUAGGUUGUCCUUCGACUGAGAGAUCCAACACUACAACGGUUGGACUUAAACAAGCGUUGUGCAAUAGGCCGUACCAAGCAAUCUUGGACCAUCUAAUCAAGUUGCAUGCAAUCCAAACGUACUUGCAUAAUAAUGAAAUAAUAUCAAUAUAGGUUUCAAAUAACACAAAGCAAUCAAUAGUCAUACGAUCAAUCUACCACGAAAUACCAAGGUUGUAAGGAAUCUCAAAUUUCAAGCUACUCUAACAUGAAAUUCCUAAAAGAUCGUUAGCCUAUCCACUAGCAUGUAUUUCUAAAAAUUCUCAUAUCAAUAAAAGUAUAACCAGUAUGGAUAGUUUGGGAGACCACUUCCUUGAGCUCCAAUUGACUGUACACAACGCGUCUUCCUUUCUUCUUCUUUUUUAAAAAAAAAGUUAUGAAAAUUUAUCAAAUACUUAGUUUGAGUUUGGAAUCAUACAAGUGUUCAUCAAAGUCCUUCAAACCAGGGCUUUGAUACCAACAUGUCACGUCCCAAAUUAAAGAGUAAAAAUUUUCAUUUCUAAAAGAGAAUAAACACCCGAGUUGAUGAAGUUACUUUCAAGUCAAACCAUUUGUUCAUAAAUAAUAAUUCAAAAUCAAAGUUAUAAGGAUAAAAUUGUGGACUCUUAAUUCAUAAAAUCGCUAAUGUGUGUGUACAGUCCCGCCUUCGCCAUUUGAUAAUUACCUAAAAAAUAUUAAAUCCACAACUAUAAGACAAAGCUUAGUGAGUUCCUAAAACACUCCACGCAACAAUACACAUAUACAAUUCAUGCACACAUGAGCCUCCACUCUACCUUGACCGCCUCACAAGGCCUACAAGAUGCCUGGACCACUCUCCCGAGCCUAUAGUAUUAUUGGACUACAUCGCAAGGUAUACAAUAUAAAUGGACUACUCCUUCCAGCCUACAGUCUGAUUGGAAUGAUUUCCAAGGUCUAUAGUACACCCGAACCGCCUGAGUGUCGUGGCCUACAACACAAAGUAGGACCUCCUCAAUCCAAACAUAAUACGUCGAAAUAUGAAAACAGAUAAACAAUAAUCAUCAAACCACAACUAAGCAGAUCAGAUCUACCAAUUUAACAAAUCACUACAACAUACCAACAUUUUACACACAAGGAUACAUACUUCAAUACAAAUUAUAAUGAAAAAACUCACAUGAGCUAACCAGUAUAGGCUCAACAGCAAAAUGUAAAAAAACCAAAUAGCAAAUGCAUGCUACCUAAAUCCAAAUCAGAACUAGUCCUUAGGUAACACUCAUUUCUAUCAUAUUUUGACAAAAAGUCAAAUUGGUCAAAAAGUCAAAUAUCCAUUGUCAAAGUCAACAACCAAAAACCAUCACCACAUCGUGGCCAUGCACCUGCCAUGACAUGGGAAUCCCUCGACACAACAGUCGCGAAGAAUCCACUCGCGACAUCGUGGUAAGCCACACACUCAUCUCUUCCAGGAUACUUCCAAAUAUCUAUAAGCUACAUAAAAACCCUUUCUUUUAUGGAUAUGCAUGUCCAAUGCAUUUCUUGAAAUUGUUUAGGUCAAAAAUGGUGAAAAUGAGGUCAAAAUCUCAUGCAUGGAACCAAAACUUAACCAAACUUCAGAUCUACCACACCAAACCUCAAAGGGACCCCGAGGAUCCAUAAAAUUGCCAACUUUAUGGAAUCUAAUUACUAAAACUACCACAAAUAUGAAAAAAAAGCAUAAAAGCCUAGAUCUAAAAGCACGUCACAUGAAGGUUGGAACUUGAGGACUUACAAUGGUCCAUAAUAUAUGCUCCAAGGUGGUGAAGGAAGUUGCUUAUUAUAUCUAUGCACCAAGAACACCUUCUUCUUCUCCAAGGCAUGAAAAACAACACCAAAAGCCCAUAAAUGGAUGAAAUAGGAAAAAGGGGCUCAAAGUGGUGAAAGGGAGGCUAGGGUUUCUCUCAAGAGGCUUUAGAUAAAAUGGAGGAUAGAAAAAUACCCUAAAAACAUGGAACCACCCCUUAAAUACAUAGAAAACCUAAAAAUUCAUGGGCUUGGGCUACACAGCGGCUGUCUCAUGGCAACCUGCUUGCCACCUUGUGGUGACUUACCACGUCGUAGGGACCUUCUUCCCACCUCGUGGCGACGGGUUUUCACCCAACUCUAUUCCAGCUUCAAACACUGAUAACUUCUUUGUUUCAACUCUGUUUUUGGCAAUAUUUAUAUGUACACGAAGGUGUUGAAAAGACCCAUGACCCUAUCUAAUUACUUUUGACUUAGUUCAUGUGCAACUAAAACCAUAAUCCAUGCAAGAAGCCCAAAAUAUUACUUUUCCUAAUUCACCCUUUUUCUUCAAAGCACAAUUUGAGGGGAUUAAUCACUUAACCAACAUUAUCAACAUCCGAUAGGUUCUAAACUCUAUUCUCUUGAAGCUGAAGACCUUUAGUUGAUCCAUUUAUGACCUACUAUACAAAAAGUAUAAAUAUCCCCUAAAACUAGGUGUUACAGGUAUAUAAAGAGCUUUUAAUUAAAAUGUUAUAAUUGCAUUUUUGUAAGACAUAGGGACCAUUUGAUAGUUGAUGUAUGGGAAAGUGUUGUUUGGGAAAUUUAUUGACUGAGAAAGAAACAAUGUUGUUUGACUGUACAUAUGACAGAUUGUAUGGAAUUAUGAAAAAUAACCAUUCAACCAGAAAUAUAUGGUUUUGGGGUUUCUAGGAAAGACAUAUCUUACCGGGAAAGACCUAUUCUUUUGUGCAAAUCAAAUAGUCUUUCAUGCCAAUUCCGCCAGAAAGAUCUAUUUUGACCUGGAAAGAUGUUUAUAAAAUGGGGCCUUAGUGGGUGUUUGGGAGUGCAUUUAAAAUAACUUAUUGAAUUAUUGGCUUUUCAAAAAUCCAAUAAGUUAAAACAGUGUUUGGAAAACAUUGACUUUUUAUUUAAAGAAAUGAAUUUUACGAAAAGGCAGGAAUUUCCGACAUUUCCAAAAAGCUAGGAAUUCCCAGCUUUUCCAAAAAGAAAAUAAGAAGUUUGAGAAGCAAUCUCACAUACGCCCUUAAACUUUUAAGACUAACAUUACAUAUAAAUUAUUCUUUCUGUUCUUAGGGUUAGCAAUGUUGGUUUCUAAAUGAUAUAUUUGCAUCAAAUAUCAUAUGUUUGAGUUUUGUAAGACUUCAAGUGUGUUUAUAUGUUUUUAAUUUUGGACUAUUGUUCCAAAAGUAUAUUCUGAAAUCUUUUAGUCCAACCUACAUUAGUUCAAACAACCAUUUUGGACUCUUAUUUCAGAGUCCAGAAAUUUUUUUCAUUAUGAUAGUUUGGGUUUGACAAACUUAUCUCAAGCUACUAUUGAUACACAAUUUUAUUAAAAUCAUUUAAUUUCAUUCGUAUUUAUUUAAAGUUGUGUGUGAAAAAAGGUUAAAUAUAAUUUUAAAUUUAGUGAUAUUUUAAACUAUUAUUAUGAUUAGAUAAUUUAAAUAAAGAAAGAAUUAUUGAAAUAGUUCAUGUGGCUUGUCAAAAUUACGUGUCUGGUCUUUAACUUUUUUUUUUUUUUUUUUUUUUUUUUUUUUUUGACAUUUUUNNNNUUUUUUUUUUUUUUUUUUUUUGUGAAAUUUGUCACUAACAAAUAUGAAAAGACUAUACUACCCUUAAUGAUACUUUCUAACAUUCUUAAAUAUUUUUAAAGCUCUUUCUUUAUUUUAAUUUUUAAAAUAAAAAUACGGGGCUCACUUCAUACACACCAAUUUAUUAUCCCUCCACACCAUAUCCCCACUUUUGAGAACCUAUUGGUGACAUACAUUUGGCACCGCCAGCCUACUUUCCUCUUGUUGCUUUUUCAAUGAGCCAUAAAUAGUCUCCUUCACCGACCUUCCCCUUUUCCUCCCAUAUCUCUCUUCUCAGCUAAAAACCAUUCACCACCACUUAUCCGUACUUGCGACCGGAUUAGGGGUUGAGAAGGAGAUUCAGUUUCAAAUUAACAGUUGAAAAAUAGAGAAGAAGAAGAUGAAUAUUUUGAUCCCCGCAUAUUUUGGUCUAAAGUCAUCGGCGUCAGAAACAUGCAUCUUGUUCUAUAGCCCUUGUCAUUGGAACCCUAGCCGCCACCACCACCAAUUCCAUCUAACCACUGUCACCCCCAUUGAAAAAACAUCACUAUCACUGCCAAGUAAAUUUCUUGUUUACAUCGCCAAUGGUUGGAUUCAAUUUGCACCAUCGUAGGAAUCUAGAAGAGCUCAUCUUCUUCAAGACUUCAUGGAUGAAUCUCAUCAGUAUUAAUGACUGCCAUGCAGAUUUGGUGCAAGGUGGUGAUGAACAAGCAUGAGAGACAAUGUGAGGUAGCGUUAAGAGUGAUGAUAUCUCCUAAUCUCUCUUCUUUCACUAAACCCAACCACACCAUUUCCAUCCACUCAACUCCAAUGAACACCACCACUACCUUCCACUAAACCUAACACCAUCAUUCUCAUCCCAUUUUCUUCUUCCUUGUCGACAUCCAAACCUUGACUCUUAAAAUUUUAAGUGGAUUUCAGGGUGUAAUUCCUACAUUUAUCAUUAGGCAUAGUUAUGAAUCUGUAUGUAUGUGUUUCGACGAUUGAAAUCUUCUAUGAAUAAAUGACAGUAAAUUACUAAUAUAUAUAUAUAUAUGCUUAUGUGAAUUUUAUAGAUAUUAGUUGUCUAUAAUAUUUGAGUAAAAACUUAGGACGAGACAUAAUAAAUAAUACAAUUAGAGCCCUAUUUAAUGGCCUUAUAUCAAUUAGAGCCUUCUCAUGCUCAACCUCCACACCCUCAUUUACACCAUCAUCGAAACCCUAGCCACCUUGUGAGGUCUUUGAAGAAUUUUGAGUGAUCGUUUGCGUAUUUUGUGAAGAAGGAGGCCAUUGAAGGAGUUCUUGGGGUUCGAUAGCUUGUAGAUCAUGACAUCAUUCUCCAUGACGUAUAAAGCUUGAACCUUGUUGAACUAUUUAUUAGAUCUAGCUAGUUGUGGGUUUUUAUGAUUUUUUUCUCCCUUGAACUUGGUUCUAGUGAGUAUGAGCUACUCCAGACCUCAUGAUUCGCUUUUCCUAUCAUUUAUGAGCUUAUUGAGUCGUAAGACUUGGAUCUUGAUCACUCUUAUCCAUCCAUGUAUGAUCUUUUGAGCAUUUUGGCAUGUUUUGGAGUUAGGGUUUGGUAUUGUGCUUAUUUAAGCCAUGCAAAUGAAACAUCCCAAAAAUACAACCCAAAUUUUUGGUUUUAAAACCAUUAAAUAAAACCGUAGUUAUCAAAAUCAUUUCAUCCAAACACAUAAGUCCUCGUAUCAAAUCACAAUAUCAUAUCAAAACACAUGUUCAUUAUAUCAGAGUAAAACAUCCUAGGCUAAAACAUUUUGGUGUGUGCAAUGCAGUCAUCACAAACUCUUCUCUUUGCAACUGGAAGUACCUGAAACCAAAACUAAAAACCGUAAGCACGAAGCUUAGUGAGUUCCCCAACCUACCAUAUACCAUACACAUAAGCACAUAUAUUGGGCCCCCACCUGCUACAUCGUGCCCCGCCCGACAUUGGACAAAUACGACAUCGGGCCCCGCUCGACAUCAGGCCCUGCCUGGCAUCGAGCCCCACUCUAGGGAUGUCAAAAAGUCCCGUCNNNNNNNNNNNNNNNNNNNNNNNNNNNNNNNNNNNNNNNNNNNNNNNNNNNNNNNNNNNNNNNNNNNNNNNNNNNNNNNNNNNNNNNNNNNNNNNNNNNNNNNNNNNNNNNNNNNNNNNNNNNNNNNNNNNNNNNNNNNNNNNNNNNNNNNNNNNNNNNNNNNNNNNNNNNNNNNNNNNNNNNNNNNNNNNNNNNNNNNNNNNNNNNNNNNNNNNNNNNNNNNNNNNNNNNNNNNNNNNNNNNNNNNNNNNNNNNNNNNNNNNNNNNNNNNNNNNNNNNNNNNNNNNNNNNNNNNNNNNNNNNNNNNNNNNNNNNNNNNNNNNNNNNNNNNNNNNNNNNNNNNNNNNNNNNNNNNNNNNNNNNNNNNNNNNNNNNNNNNNNNNNNNNNNNNNNNNNNNNNNNNNNNNNNNNNNNNNNNNNNNNNNNNNNNNNNNNNNNNNNNNNNNNNNNNNNNNNNNNNNNNNNNNNNNNNNNNNNNNNNNNNNNNNNNNNNNNNNNGCAAGGCGGGAGAUGCACUCCCCGUCCCGUUUGCCCCCGUUUAGAUCCCUACCCCGCUCAGUAUGGAAAUAUGUUUCUCUUAGGCUCCGCCUGUCUCUGGGCCUCGCCCGCUAUACACAUACAACAAUAUCAUAUACUCAUACCGGCACAUAAAGAAAACAUACUCUAAAUGUAUUUCCUGUCCUAAGGCCUCGCCUAACUUGGGCCCCUCCCCUGUCCUGCUACUGAUGAGUCAUGGAACGCCGUCGUACCUUAGUCAGACCACAAUAUAAUCUUUCAUGCAAACAUUCCUUGGGAUUGCCACGACAUCGGAUCUUAGUCCAGAAUAACGUACUGAUAAACCUUCCUCAGGCCCCGCCCGACAUCGGACCGAAGUCCGGAAGCAUAUGAACAUUCCUCGGGCUUACCCCGACAUCAGAUCGUAAUCCGGAACAUAUAACAUAACUGAGACCAAGGGCUAACCCCCGGGUCUUCCUAUCAUGCAUAGACUAAAUGAGCCGGCAUUGGUGCCUUAGAGCUAUACAAACAGUGAGGAGACUCACCUCACAUUGCUGAAGUCCAACGGAUAAUCUUUUGGCUGCUAACUGACAAUUCCUUGAAAUGUUGAUCCUUCGGCUCCCUGAGCUAUCAGUACCGAGAUAACACGUAGUCAAAAUCCAAUAGUCCUUACUUGGGGUGAAAUGAAUAUUUCACGCCUGGCCCAACAAGAUUCACAACCAAGGCCCAAAACUAUCAAAUCCAUAAAUAUCCAUCAAUGGCCCAAUUUUCCAAAUUAGGCCUAAACCCUUACAUGGGCCUUUUGCUAAAGGCCAAUUACUUUUCUAGACCAAUGAUUUUCUGAUGGCCCAAAGUCCAAGCCUAUUGGGCCCAAUCAUGGGCUAUUACAUUGGGCCCAAUAAGGCCUAAUACAUCAUUCAAGGCCCAUUAGGGCAUGCCUAAUAAGGCAAGCCCAACCAGAAAUCCAUUACUCUAGAAUCCUUAGUCCAUUAUGAGCCCAAACCAAAAGAAAAGUCCAAUACCAAGCUAGCUUACAAUCAAAGAGUCCAAAACUUGCACAGGGGCUGCUCAUGUCGUGAGCCCUUCAUCCUCACAUCGUGAGGUCAUAGAUUCAGUCCAGGAACUUCCUCAAAUACGUACUCACAUCAUGAGACUUCAUUCCUCACGUCGUGAGUCCAGAUCUGACCAAAAAUAAGCAUUAAGCUCUUAAUCCAAUAAGCCUUAACAUGGAACAGUUUAUAGGGUCUUCCUUCACCCCAAGGACCAUAAAAAUCGAAGCAUUUUAGUCACAUAUCUCCAAUACGUGACUUAAACACCAACUUGGGUCAAAAUGGAGUAGAAAGGUCCAAGACUCAAACUUGGAGUCCAAAACCAUGACCAAAAUCCAAAUCUGAGUCUUAUAAGGCUUAAGAUACCACCAUGAUCCAUAAAGUUUCCAACUUUAUGGAUUCCAUGCAUGCUAACCAACAUUACAAGCCAUAAAAUGCAUGGAAACUUAGAUCUAGCAAGCAAGGAAAGGAAAGUCAUGAACUUGAAGACUUACAAAGGUCCAAAAGCUCCACAACUAGCUGAUGAUGAACCCAAGAAGCUAACCAAUGCACCACCAAUGAUCUUCUUCUCCUUAAUGAGCUUCCAAGCAUCUAAAAUCUCUUGAAUAACACCAAAAUGACCAAGGUAUUCACUGGGGGCUAAGAUUAGGGUUUCCAGAUGUUGUGAUCCCUUAAUGCUCACGUCGUGAGCCUUAAAUGAACUUGGUCAACAAGUCAACGAUCACUCACCCGAACUACUCCAACUUCAAACGAUCAUAACUUCUUCAACUCCAUUUUUUAUGCUCUUUAUAUCCAUGGAAAGGUGGUGAGAAGCUCUACACAUCUAUCAACUUAUCCCCACCUCAAAACCUUCCGAACAAAAAUCCAAAAUUCAAAAAGAGCUCGAACUGCCACUUUACCGAUAUACCCAUUGGCUCCACGACAUAACCACCCUCCUGGAUCGUCUCAAUUACAUUAUCCGUGCCUAAAUGGGUCUAGAUCUCUCUUUCCAAAGGCCUUAAGCCUUAUGAUAAACAUCUUCAAGCCACAGUCUCGAAUAAGGAAAGCGAUUCGGAACAGGGCGUUAUAGCAAACGCUUAAAGUCUCAUACUCUAUCACUUAGGAUGUUUAUUAGGUUCAUAUAUGAGUGUUGGAUGAUUGCUCUCUAUGCGUUAAGAUCUUAAGGAAAAGUUGGAACACAACGUUAUUAUGUAGGGCGUAAUCUGGGUUAUGCAUGGCAUAGCCUGAAUUUCCCCCGAUUGACAUCGAAGGAUCUACGCAGGGGCUAGAGCAUGUGGUACGUUGGGCGUAGUGUCAGAAAGGUGGUUUAUGGUUGUGCGAGGUGAAGUUUUUGGGGCACAUCUUCAACCAGAAUGGUAUAUUGGUUGAUCCGACCAAGAUUGAGGUGGUGAUGUGGUGGGAUAUUCCGAGGACACCUUUGGAGAUUCAACUUUUCUUGGUUUAGUGGCCUAUUAUCGUGGAUUUAUCCAUGUUUUCUCCAAUAUGUUUGUUCCACUGAUCAACAGGUAGCUUUUGAGACUUUGAGGCAGAGAUUAUGCGAGGCUCCAAUUCUCAAUCUUCCCGAUGGUAUGGAUGAUUUUUUUGUUUAUUAUGACACGUUGAUUUCAUAAUAGGGAUGUCAAAAAGUCCCGUGGGGCCCCCUUCCCGUAUGGGGGGAUUUGUCGAAAAAAUUCGGGGACGGGGGCGGUAGCGGGGCAAGGUUAACCCUGUUUUAAUUUCGGGGGUGGGGGCGGGGGUUGGUAGUCUCGUCCCGAAACCCCCGUGGGGGCCCCGUUAAUAAAUUAUAUAAAUUGAUGUAUAUUAAUUAUAUAAAUAUAGUAAACAAUAAAAUGAUUUUUAUGUAUAAAAAUUCAACAAAAAACAUGUUUUUAAGUUGUUUGUAACAUGUAGAAUUAUGUUAUAGAUAUCUAUUUGUUACCCAAAAAUAGUUUCUUUUAGCCCAAACAAGAACUUCUUUUAACCCAAAUAAGGUAGCCCAAAAUCAAUCGGAGGCGGGGACGGGGGUCAGAAGGGGAAUUCGGGGUCAGGGUGGGGUUGAAAGGAUGGAGAUUUCGGGGUGAGGCGGGGGUGGGAGAAUGGGAAAAUUUUGGGGGCGGAGGCGGGGGAUGCAAUCCCCAUCCCUUUUUCCCCCGUUGACAUCUGUAUUUCAGAAUUAGGAGUAAUGCUCAUGCAGAGAGGUGAUGUGAUUGCUUAAGCUUCGAGGUAGUUGAAGCCUCAUGAGGUGAGUUACCUGACACACAAUUUUGAGUUGAGGCUGUGGUUUUCACUGUCAAGAUCUGGAGGCACUACUUUUAUGGGGUUAGGUGCACUAUUUACGCUGACCAUAAGAGCCUGAGAUAUUCGAUGGAUUGGCCAAAUCUGAAUAUGAGGUAGCAGAGAUGGUUGGAUAUGGUGAAGGAUUAUGAAUGUAUAAUUUUUUUAUCACUUAGGGAUGGUCAAUGUGGUAGCCGAUACAUUGAGUCGCAAUGCAACUAGUGCACCUAUUAGAGAUUUAUGCAUGAGGAUGGUUAUUGUUUACUAUUAGAUUUGAUCAAGAAGGUGCAAGUUGAAGGGUUAAAGAAGGAAAUUUGGAAGGAAGAGAGGAUCAGAGGUCAGAUUUCGUUGCUUGUUAGGGUUAGUCAUGGAUUGUUGACACAGUGUGGCAGGGUUUCAGCUUCGGCUGUUGGUGAGGUUAGAAAAGCAUUAUUGGAGGAUGUCCAUAAGUAGAAGUUUUCAAUCCACUCGGGAACCAGGAAGAUGUACAAAUACUUGAGAUUGAGUUACUAGUGUCCCUGUAUGAAGAGGGGGUAGCAUGGUUUAUGGAGCGGUGCUUGACUUGCUGGAAAGUCAAGGUAAAAGAUCAGAGCCCUCAAGGCAAGAUGCAGUCUUUACCUAUUCCCAUGUAAAAAUGGGAGGAGAUCACGAUGGAUUUCAUCACAAAAUUGUUGAGGAUGGGACAAAUGGUUGAUUCUAUUUAGGUCAUUGUCGAUAGAAUGACCAAGAGUGCUCAUUUCAUUCCUAUUGCUAAGAGUAUAUCUGCCAAGAAGUUGGACGACGUCUACAUUGGGGAGGUAGUGGUUAGGCAUGGUUUGCCAGUUUCGAUAUUUUCCGAUCAUGAUAUUCGUUCUACCUCCAGGUUCUUGAGGAAAUUUUAUGAGAAGUUAGGUACUUAACUACAUUUCAGCACCACAUACUACCCUCAUACCGAUGGACAGAGUGAGUGAAACACUCAUACGCUCUAGGAUAUGCUUAGGGCAUGUGUACUAGAUUUUGGUGGGAGUUGGGAUACUUACCUUCCAUUGGUCGAGUUCUCAUAUAACAAUGAUUAUUAUGUCAGUAUCAACCAACCUUCCUUUGAGAUGAUUUAUGAGAGGAAGUGUCGGACCCCAUAUUGUUGGAGCAAGGUCGCCACCAAGUUAUGGUUGAGUACUGAGGUUGUACUCAAGACCACCGAGUUGAUUCGGCAGGUGUGAGGUUGACUGAAGACUAUGCAAAUUAGCCUGAAGAGUUAUGCUAACUGUUGAUGAUCAGACCUCGAGUUUCAAGUAGGAUAUUAUGUGCUACUGAAGGUGUCACCUUUGAAGGGUGUCGUCUGAUUCCGUAAGCAGGGCAAGAUGGGACCCCGGUGUAUUGAACCUUUAUGAUUAUCACCUAGGUGGGCAAGGUUGUGUAUCGGUUGGACCAGCCAGACGAGCUCAGUCGGAUCCAUAACACAUUCCACGUCUCUCAGUUGCGGGGGUGUCUAGCUAAUGAUUCCGCAGUAGUUCCCUUAGAUGCUAUUCAGGUGGAUGAACGCCAGAAUAUGUGGAGAGACUAAUUGUGAUCCUUGAUAAGAAGAUGAAGACCUUGUGCAAGAAAAUUGUACGCUUAGUUAACGUGCAAUGGAAACACUAGAAGGUUUCAAAGUGGACGUCAGAACCAAAGGAAGAGAUGAGGGAGAAUUACCCGGAGUUAUUUACAGGCACGAACUUCAAGGGCAAAAUCUGAUUCCAGUGGGAGAGAGUUGUAAUGUAUAUUUCCUCAGGUACAAUUUUUAAUUCAAAUUAUGUAUUUUUAUGUGUUUUGGUGGCCCUGCACAGGGCGUAUGAGAUCUUCUUAUGUAGGGCGUAAUUUAUUAAAUGUGUGUGGUGGGUUUUAUGCCCUAUGCAUGGCGUAACUAUAUGUAUGCAGAGCGUAGGAGCGCAACCUCCAAAACCGUAAUUGAGGAUUGCGAUCCCUAUUUAAAUGCCUUAUAUCCUUAAUAGCCUUCUCAUACUCAACCUCCACCAUCAUUUACACCAUCAUCGAAACCCUAGCCACCUUGUGAGAUAUUUCAAUCAUUUUGAGAGUUCUUUUGUGUAUUUUAUGAAGAAGGAGGCCAUUGAAAGAGUUAUUAGGAGUUCAUAGCUUGUAAAUCCUUACUUCCUUCUCCAGGAGGUAUAAAGCUUGAACAUUGUUGAUAUCUGUAUUAGAUCUAGCUAGUUGUGGGGUUUUAUGAGUUUUUGUGUGUCGAACUUUGUUCUAGUUAGCAUGAGCUACACCAGACCUCAUGAGUGAUUUUUCCUAUCAUGUCUGAGCUUACUGAGUCAUAAAAAUGGGAUCUUGAUCAAUCUCAUUCGUCCAUGCAUGAGCUUUUUGUUGGAUUUAGUGUCUAAGCCCAUAACUAUAAUUGGUAUUGUGAGAGCUAGAAAUUGAUCAGUUGCACAGGGACAAGGUUUGAGAAUACAAACCUUGAAUGAAUGCUUAAGAUCAAUGUCUGCUUACUAUAAGAAGUUCAAGUCUAGACUGGAAAGACCAGUCAAGUCUUAGAUAUUAUAUUCAACAAAUGAUCAAGACAUUAAAUGAAGAAUAAAAUUAAAUGAUCAAGGUAAAGCUAAUAAAAGAAGAACAAGAAGAUUGUUUGAAAAAGAUUUGAGAUAACAAAGUAAAUGCCAAAAGUUAAGAAAAAGAUCCAUAUUUGACUUGUAUUGAAUGCUCCUUUAUAUAGGAGAGAAUGUUACAGUGAAUUAACUAAGUAACUUACAUCAAACUGUUUCUGACAUUCUGAUUGUCUAAUACAACAAAAGGAUAAUCCCUAUGAAACAUUACAUCAAUACAAGUACAAUUAAUGACAAAAGACAAAAAAGGUGUUCUUCCGGAUCAGCAUACAUUCCGGAUGUGAGAGUCACUCCGGAAUGGGUUCCUCUUCAUAAUAUUCAUCCUCUUCUUCUCCUCUUCAGCUUCGGACAGGUUCCAGAGUACUCUUCACUUCUAAGCCAACAUACUUCGGAAUAUGUUCUUGGGAUUGCUAGAUGUUCACUUUCAGGUUCCAACAAUCUCCCCCUAAGUGAACUUAGAAAUCCAACAAGCUUAGAUCUUUUCUUCCUUGAUGAAGGUGUAGGCCCAGAACAACCAUUCGCGGACUUCAAUGUACCAUGCCAGCUGACUCACAAACUUUGCCUUCACAUGUUCCGGAGCAUCAGUCUUGGAUGCACGCGAAAUAAACUUCUUUAGAGAUUUUGUAGGAAUUAGGUGUUUGUCCAGGACUCGGAAGCAGUCCUUCUUGUUUGUUUUUCUUGUAGUUUAGACAAACCCUAGAACAGGCUCUUCAAUAGGGCCAGCAGCGAGGAGUGUAACUUCCAGAAGGAUGAAGUCGAUCUUAGGAACAAAUUGCUCGGUUCCGUAAAGUUGGGCAAGUUCAUAAUCUAUUCGGUUGAAUUUAGAAACGUAAUCUUUCAGGAAGCUUAGUGCAACAUGAUAGGCUCCCAUACUGAGGUCAUCCCUUUGAUUUUAUUUGAAGUAGGCGGUCAAAGUAAGAAUGUCGUUUGGAUUCAUUGAAGGGAAAUCCAAAUUAGUAACUGUUCGGGGAGUGGGCUUGUUCCAGAGAAUGUGAAUACGGAACAACGGACAAUGUAGUUCAAACUUCACGAGGAUUUUUCUUUCGAAGCCCUUGACUUGAGUAAUCUUCUUCUUCGACCACACUUCCUUGAAUGGCAUUGCGUUCUUAUAGUAGAAAGUAUCAAGUCAUUCUCUUUCUGUUCGAAUGAUCACAUCCGGAGGAUCUGUGGGAUGAAGUGGAUCGAACUUGGUGUAAUACUUGUUGUAAGGAGAGAGAGGAAGAUCCAGUUGCUCAAAGUCACUUGUAGGAAUGUCAUAGGACAUAACUGGAAUGAUUACGUGAUUCUGAAGGAUGCCUUCAUGGAAAAGAGGAGAUAUCCCACACAUUGGGUCAGGAUUAUCUUUCAGAGCCUGGAUGCGGAUGCUUUCUUCAAGAGCUUGAUAUAUUUCCUCCUGAGACCAUCCAUGUUUUUGUUUGAGAGGAGGUCCCGAGUGCAAAGCUGGUUGUUCGGCUGUCAUUGGUUUCUUGCCUUUGUCUCUUUGAAGUGAAGAGAUGACCAGCUUCAGAUUCUCAUCAAUCGUGAAUUCCAGAGUAGGAUUUGGAAGUGGUUCUUCCGAAAUAUCAUCAGGGGUCCGGAGUGGAGAGCCCUGAUCGAUUGGAGCAAUUAUGGGAUCCAGAAUGGGAGGCUGUAUUGAAGGAGUAGCCCGAAAUUCUAGGACGGUCAUGAGAGAUUUGGCCUUAGCCAUUUUGACAGCUUGAUUAAAAAUGUCCGGAAGAGAGGAUGACCAGGAAAUUGCGGACCAUAUCCUCUUUUGUUCUUCAGUAAUAACCUUCAGAAUGGACAUCUUGGGAGCUUGAAGAGCAAGGAUGCCCUUAGGAGCGUCAUUAGGAACAUAUUCUCUUUCAUCUUCACUUCCUUCAUCUUUGUCGCUUUUAGAAGGAGAAACGGAGAGAAUCUGAACUUCAUUGUCUUCUGACUCUUCUUCAUCUCAGAGAGAGAAUUGAGUGGGAGGUUUCCAUGGUUUACUGGGUCCUUCUCCCCUUCUUGCAUCGGUAACCCGGUGGACCGGUGCAAGAAAUAGAGAGUCCUUGAGAUCAUCAAACUUGGAGAAGACCUUCUGAAGGCCUGUUGUAAGUUGAAGAGAGAGAGAGAGAGAGAGAGAGAGAGAGAGAGUAUCAUAGGCUUCAGCAGUGGGAUCUUGCUCAGAAAGGUGCUUGAACGUGCUGCUAAGGAUAGCAAUCAUCUCAUCAAGUUUCUGGUUCGGAACAUCAAUAAUUUUCCAAGUUGAACGAAGAAGUUUGAUGAGGACUUGUUGAAUGAUCAUGUUCAUCUCAUCCGUUUGCUUAAUCUCCUUCUCCAUUCUUUGAAUUUGCUUCUCAUGGCGAAUGUGGGUCUGCUUGAUUAGAUCAUUGGUAGCAGCCACCAAGUCGUCGUAGACUUUGAGCAUUGAAGUGAUGGUUUUGAGGUAGUGAUCCACCAAAAUGUCGUAUUUGGUGUCGACUUCUUCCAUCAUACGCUUGAGUCGGAGGGAGAUUAAUUGAUCAAGUCGGGCUUCUCUUUCCGCAACCGAUGGUCCGGACUGUUGGGAGAGAGAUUGGAGAAUAGUAUCAAGUUUGGCUUCUAGUCCGGAGACAUUUUGAUCCAGUUUGGAGUUCAGUUGGGUUACGGAUCUUUUAACUGAUGGCACUUUAGCCAUAGUAUCAGAGACAUUGUUGCGGAUCUCCAGGAGAGCGAAGGGGUCAACAUAAUCACCAACAGAGGAUUCCGAAUCAGAGUCAUAGUGUUGUGGAGGAGACUUGUGAGAAAGAGGACGAGUUGAAGGACCAGGUUUGGUGGUAGCUUCAUCUUCUUGAUGUUUAGAGUUUGAGCCUCCGUCCGGAGUGGUAGAGGAUGAGGAUCUGAAGUCAUAUGCAGACUUAGAACCGGAUGGCUUGGAUUUGAAGUGAAUAGAAGCCUUGAUGGUGUAUUCCGGAAUGACCCUUGCUUCAUCGUCCAACAUUACUUCUUUGGAGAUUUCUUCUUCCGAAUCGAUUUGGACUGCACUUGGAUGAGUGGUGACAGGAGGUUGUUUCGAGGUAAGCUCAACAUCUACAUCCGCGUCAGUGGGAGGAACAUAGGUUAUGUUGAUCUGAAUAGCCCUAUUCCUCAUGGAAAUGAGAGUGGAUUCCACUUGAGCUCUAGUUAGGUCCGGACGCCGAGAUGUUUCUAUGUUAAUAUAAUCUUCCCAAUCAGGAUCAUUUGCCCCUGGUCGUCCUUUACUCCUUCCGGGUAUCAAACCAGUUGAAGCAUCAGAAUUUGGAGGGACUGCUACUCUUUUCGGAUGCAUGGGGUCCGGAACAACGGUUCCAGAGUGUGUGCAUGUAGAAGAGACAAUGGGAAUAUCAAAUUUGACAUGUGAGUGUAUUCCAGGGGGCUGCAAGGAACUUUUUUCAACACCGGCAUCACCCUUUAGGGAGGGUGAGGGUGGAUUAUGUGGAGACUCCCCAUGAAUGUGUGCUUAUGAUGUUGAAACAUUGAGGGGGUACCUCAAAUGAGUGGGUAGGUGGGGUAUGUGGACUGCCAGAAUCAGUCGGAAUGUCGAGGGUGCCAACCUGUUGAGAGGGGGCACUGACUUUGGUUUUCUUUUUAGUUUUAGGUUUUGUGGGAGAAGCCUUUCGCUUGACUGAUUUCUUGAGUUUAGGUCCGGACAUGGCAGGGUCAGCCUCUUCCGAAGUGGGUUCAACAAAGACCGGGGCAGGUUGUGUUGGGUCGAAAACAACUGAAGUUGCUUGAUUUUGUUUCAGAUAAGGAAAGUCGGAAGGAAUGAUAGCCAACAUAUGGUCCGGAAGUCGUUUGAAAGGAUCAAAAGAAGAUUGGUAUGGAAUCCUAUAUUCCUUGACUAUUUUAAAAGAGAUAUAUACCUCUGGAGGAAUUAUUCUUACGGGAAGUGGUUCGGAAAGUUCAGUGAAAAUUUGUUGAAGAGUCAGACCCCAGAAUCUAGGGCUUGAAAUUUCAUUCGGCUUCCUCUUCGUAGCGAAUUUGCAAAAAUCUUGCCACAAUACUUCCGGAAGAUUGACGACAUUCUUGCGUCCAGAGUAGAUGCUGAAGACGACGUUCAGCCAAUCGUUGCUCAAGGUAUCAGUACCUUCGUACUUGCCAGAUAACCCACAGAUAAUGAGAUGCAUAAGAACAGUCCAGAGCCCUGAAACAGUAGUUUUCUUGAAAUCCUUGGCCUUGUAGUCUUCUGUAUAGCCAAUGUAGUUUAGAAACGUCCGAAACUCUUUAAAUGUUGGUUCAACAGCUUUGAAACCUCUAGGAUUAGGUUUGAAACCAAUUGCCUUGAGAAAGGUCUAUUUGUAAAUGGGAAUGGUGAGAUCACUAAUAAUGGUGGUUUCCAGAACUCCAUCUUCAAGUUUGAUACUUGUGAAUGCGCGAUGAAGAUGACGAAGUGGUAGUGGUGGAUCUGGGAUUUUAGUAAGUGGAAUGGAGAUAAGGUGAUUUGCAAUGAACUCAAUCAUCACUCUGAUCAUUCAUCGUAGUCUAAAGGAUUUAGGGAGAACAGUUGGGUUGUAUCUCUGAGAAAGGGUUCUUGAUCAGCAGAAGUGGAUGAACCCUUUGAUCCUUUUGAUGAUUUCUUCCUUGAAAUUGAUUUCUUGGGAGUUGAUGUAGUUUGAGUUGGGUUCUGUGAAGACUCCAUUGUUGAAAAAGGAUGAAUGCUUGAUGAACACGAAGAACAGUGAAAGAUUUUAGGAAAUUGGGAGUUGAGAGAGAGUAAAGAGGUGAACAGGAAUUUGAAAGGGUAUAUAUAGGUAAGGGAGGAUGGGUCGAGUUGAAAAAAAGUGAUGAUGGGGGUCCAAGAGUGAAUGGGUUGCAUUAAAAUGUUGUAUAAGGUGUCUAAGUCCAUAACUAUUUCUGGUAUGUACUUGACCUGACCCGGCAUGGUCCAUUUUGGUUGCAUGGCAUCAUGCAUUUGGAUAGACUAAAUGAGAGAAAUAACACUUGUGGUUUAUUAAUAUAUUAUAAGUUCUAAUAUAUUAAUAGUAUUAUUUAAUUAGUAUUGAUCAAGAAUUAAUUUGGAAUUAAUUAAGUGAUCAAAAGAUAACUAAUUAAAUAUAUGGGUCGAUUAUGUAAAUCACCCAUAACUUGUAUAGUGGGCUAAGAGGCUCCAUGGAUUAUCAAGUUGGGUUAAACCCAUAGGAUGCUCCAUGGGAGUUACAAACCCAUGGGUCAUGAAAAUGAAGAGUCAUGACACAUUAGGGUUUACAUGGUGUAACCCUAGAUGUGUCACACUAUAUAAGGAUCAUCUCCUCCACCAAAAUCGGCUACACAAAGAGAUAAGAGGGCUAGGCCGAUUUUUCAAGUGUGUAUUCUCUCAAAAGCCAUUCCAAAAGCUUUUGGUGUUGUGUGAAGCAUUUGAGGCAUCACACUUGGGGUGCUAGGCUCACAAGGUUUCAAGGAAUCAAAAUCAACUACAAGGUAUGUAAUUCUAGCCAUCCUUUUAGGGUAAAAGUUCCCCAUGUAUGCUAGAUAGGAUUUUGAACCUUGGAAACCAAAUUUUGCAUGUAUUUAGACAAACAUAUAUCCAAGGUUUAUUAGGGUUGCAUGUACACUUAGGAAGUGUUAGAAUGCUCAAAACCCAUCAUAAAUGAGUUUGCGCUUUUUUGGGGGUUAAGGUGACAGGGAGGUGAAAGGUUGAAUAGAUAAAUGUUCAAAAUGAAAAUAUCAACUGGCAAUUUGAUGUUUGCUUUUCUAAUUUGUGCAAUCAUGACACAACAAUCAAGGUUGAUAGGAUAAGGAUCCCCAAAAGUAGCCGUUGCUGACGGUUCAUCUUAAAACCAUUUGGUAUUCCGGAUGGGUGAGUCCGGAAUGGCUAUGAUAUGGUAGGUGCAUUGGUGAAUUAUGAAUAUCUUCUUUUGAGGCAGUUCCGGAGAGAGAAAUACUUCGGAGCAAGUUUGUGGUUCCGAAACAAAGUUUUUUUUAUAUUUUGUUUUGAAUGUUCCGGAGCUGACAUUUUGAAAAAAUCAGGAGCUGAAAAGUUGAUGUUCCGGACCAAAUAUUUUUCAAAAUUCCGGAGAUGAUGAUCCGGAAUUAGUUGUGAUGUAAAUCUGAAGUUCAGAAGAUAAUACCUUUCCGGAGUUGAAUUGUGGGAUGUUAUUAUGAAGUAAAUUCUGAGAUGAAAGCCAGGAAGACAAUAUAGUUUUGACACAGUGAAUACUUAGGGUGAACUGAUCAGCUCAACACUCAGGAGAUAAUUAGAUAUAAGGACAAGUAAAAUGAUCCUUUGUAUUCGUAAGGAAAAUAGUUCUGAAAAGGAAAUUUGACAUCGGAAUCGAUUUUUCUAUGGAAUAAUUCAAUCAAAGAGAACAGGUCUCUUGAAAGAACUGAGGAUUUGGCAUCAUCAUACCCAUUUUGUUCAAAAAAACAUUGAAUUUUGUUUCGUCUAAUGCCUUAGUAAAUACAUCAGCAAUCUCAUCGUUAGAUGGAAAAAAAAUAAGUUCAAUGUUACCAUUUUGAACAUGAUCUUUAAUAAAAUGGUAGCUGAUAUCAAUGUGCUUCGUCAUGGAGUGCUGAAUUGGAUUGUGAGAAAUUGCAAUAGCACUUUGAGAAUCAUAGAAGAUAGGAAUGCGUCGAAAUGGGUAACCAUAAUCCAGGAGUUGGGAUUUCAUCCAAAGAACAUGAGAGGUACAGCUGGCAGCAAAAAUGUAUUCAGCUUCGACUGUAGAGAGAGCAAUGCAGUUCUGUUUCUUGGAUGAACAGCUGACUACUCGACCACCUAGGAAUUGACAUCCUCCGAAUGUACUUUUCCUAUCAAAUCGAAGUCCACCAUAGUUUGAAUCUGAGUAGGCGUGGAGAAGGAAAUUUUCAUUUGUUAGGUACCAGAUUCUGAGACUUUUAGUGCCUUUAAGGUAUUGGAAAAUUUGCUUAACAGCCAAAAGAUAAGACAUCUUGGAAUUGACUUGAAAUCUGGCACAUAAUCAUGCGGAAAACAUGAUAUCCGCACGACUUGCUGAAAGAUAAAGAAGAGAUCCAAUCAUUCCUCUAUACUUCUUUUCAUCAACUGCAACACCUGAAGGAUCAACAAAAAUCUUGUGACAAAAGCCCAUUGAUACCUUGGCAGAGGCACAAGUGUCCAUAGAGUACUUUUUGAGAAGUUCAUAAAUGUACUUCUCUUGGUGAAUAAAGAUUCCUCAGUUGGUCUGUUUGACUUGGAGACCAAGAAAGAAACUUAAUUUCCUGUUCAUGCUCAUUUAGAAUCGUUUGAUCAUUAAGUUAGCAAAGUCUUCAACCAUGGAUGAAUCCAUAGAUAGAAAAAUAAUUUUGUCCACAUAAAUUUGAACCAGCAUGAGAUGUUCUCAGUUUGAUCUUCGGAAUAGGGUCGGAUCCAGAAUUCCUCUUUGAAAAACUGAGCGCUUAAGAAAUUCGAUGAGGGUCUCGUACCAUGUGCGAGGAGCUUGCUUAAGGCCAUAAAAAGCCUUUUGGAGUUUGUAACAAUAGUUUGGAAACGAGAGAUUUAAAAAACCAGGGGGCUGUUGAAGAUAUACUUCAGUGUCAAGUUCACCAUUAAGGAAUGCACUUUUAACAUCCAUUUGGUAAACUUUGAAUCCUUUAUGAACAGCAUAGGCAAGAAAGAUUAUGAUAGCUUCAAGUCGUGCAACAGGAGCAAAGGUCUCAUCAUAGUCGAGGCCUUCAAUAUGAGUAAAUCCUUUGGCUACCAAUGUUGAUUUAUUCCGGAUUAUGACACCUGCAUCGUCUAGCUUGUUGCGAAAUACCCAUCUUGUGCCGACAAUAGGAUGGUUUGGAUGAGGAGAUACGAGAGUCCAUACUUCAUUUCGGUCAAAUUCUACCAAUUCUUCUUACAUGGCUGUGAUCCAGUCAGCAUGCUCUAAUGCUUCCUUAAUGGAUUUGUGUUCGAUCAUGGAAAUGAAUGCUGAGAAAUAACAUUCAUUUUGGAUACUUGAGGUAGAGCGAGUUUGUACACCAGCAUUGAGGUUUCCAAUCACUUGGUUUGAAGGAUGAUCUUUGGUCCAGACGUGCAAUAUUGGAAGUUCUUGAGCAGCGGACGAGCCAAUAUCAACAAUAGGAUUGAGUUGCUCCCCAUGAAUGAUUUGAACUUGAGGAUGAUGCUCCCCCUGAACUUCUGAAACAGAGAGCUUGACAUCAUCAUCAGAAUGCAACUUAAAGAACUUUUCAUUGUCAUCAAUGUUGCUUGGAUUGGAGUCAUCAAAAUCAGCAGUUGCAUCUUGGAAUCCAUCUAUAUUUGAUUCAAGAGAGGAAUGAGCAUUCUCCCCUCAACCUAAGAAUGUUGAAAUUGUUCGGAAUCAAAUGGAGGGAGGCUUGGAAUUGGACCGGAGACAUUUUGAGAGAUGGGAGCUUCAGGAGUCGAAAUUGAGCUUUGCCUUGCUCGAGAUUCCGAAUCAAGGGCUGUUUCGGACGAUCCAAAGAGAGUAUCAAAAUCAACUUCAUGAAUUACUUGGAUGUUUGGACAUUCCGGGGAAGGAGCAUCGGACUCCAUGAUGUGAGUUGUAACGUGAGUAGGAUUGGAAUUCCGAAUGAAGUUGUCAUCAAAGGUAACAUCAAAACUUUCUUCAAUAGCUCGAGUACGUCCGUUGAGGACCUAAUAAGCAUUUAAUUUAGAGGAGUACCCAAGGAAAAUUGCUUCAUCAGCUUUGGGUUGAAAUUUGGUAAGCUGAUCACGAUUGUUCUUGAUGAAGCAUCUGCAUACGAAGACAUGCAAAAAUGAGAUUGUAGGCUUCCGACGAUUCAUUGCUUCGUAUGGUGUUUUGUUGAGGCGGCGAUUUAUGAUGCUUAUGUUCUGAGUGAAGCAUGAAGUAGAGACGACUUCAGCCCAAAGAUAGAGUGGAAUAUUUGCGAAAUUGAGCAUUGAUCGAGCAGCUUCAACAAGAGUUUUGUUUCAUCAUUCAAAUACACCAUUUUGUUGAGGAGUAUAUGGAGCAGAGAAAUUAUGGUCAAUACCUUUUUUGGAAAGGAAGUUUUCAAUGGAGGAAUUUGUGAAUUCCGAACCAUUGUCACUUUGUAUACGUCUGACUGGGAGCUUGAUGAGAACUUCUAUUCCUUUAAUGAAAUUGAUGAGUUCGGAGACUGUUUCUAACUUCAGCCUGAGGUAGAAGACCCAUGUGAAACUAGUGAAAUCAUCCACAAUCACAAGAAUGUACUUUUUGUGAUGCAAAUUUUCCACUGUUGAUGGUCCACAUAAAUCGAUAUUUAGAAGUUCUAGAGGUUUCGAAAUGGAUUUUUCAAUGAUGACGGGAUGACCUUUCUUUGAUUGCUUGCCAUAUUUACACGCAGCACAUAAAUGAUCAUUUUCAAAUUUGAGGACUGGCAGACCUCAGACCAUUUCUCUUGACACAAGAUCAUUCAUGUAUCUAAAGUUGAUUUGUGCAAGUCUUCGGUGCCACAACCAGCUAACAUCAGGAACUGCUUUAGAGAGUAAGCACAGUUGGGGCUUGCCAAUGAUCAUGUUGAUGUCGAGAGGUUACAUGUUCUUGUUAUGAGUAGACUUGAUUAAACAUUCACUUCGGUCUACGGUCACGAUGUAUCUGUGUUUCUUGCAAAAUUUAACUCGAUGAUUUGCAUCAGUGAGUUGAGCCACACUUAUCAAGUUAUGCUUUAGAUCAGCUACAUAUGGCAUAUUUGAAAUUGAGAAGUUACCAUUGGUAAGAGUUCCUUAACCUCGGAUUUGAGAGUUGGAAUUGUUGUCAUAUGUUACAUAUCCAGCAUUUGAUGACAGCUUUAGAUCUCGCAGAAAGUUCUUCUGUCCCGUCGUGUGCAUGGAGCAAGCACUAUCAAUAUACCAUAUUGUUUCUUGCUCCGAAGCACAUAGUGCCUACAAAAUUAGCGAAUUAUGGAGUUUUUAGGAACUGAGUUAGCUUUUGGGACAAAGGCACAAGUCUUGGGCUUCGAAAGGGACUUGUGAACAACAGAAGAUUUAGAGGGUGUGUUCCGAGAUUCUUUAGGAAAUAUACAGAAGGACAGCGUUCUUUCAUCAAUCCAAUAUGUUGGGAUUAAAACCCUAAUUGUGAUUUGAUGAACAAGAUGCGGAAAAUAAGAACAAACACAAAUAAUGAAGAAUAUGUCGAAUGAUCACUCGAUUUAUUGAAAUAUGAGGAAUAAAUUACACUUAAAGCAUAGACUAAAGAAUCUAACACUACAUAAGAAACCUCACGUGGCGGCUACAUUUUGCCUCCCUCUUUUAACCCUAAUAAUGAAUAAUACAUGACUAUUUAUAGGGAAAAGAGAAGUCUUGGGCUUUUAACCUAGAAUUCAUCAAAGGGGCCCAUUGCCAUCAUCCAUGGAGUGCUUUGAAACCCUACAAUCUCCCCCUCAAAGUAUGGAAUGGAUGACAAUGCUUUAACUUCCAAAACAAGCAUCUAGCAAAUAAAAAGAUCUGCAACGAGGAAUAUAUGAAGCAAUCCACGAAUCUUGAUUCUUCAAUAGUCUUCAAACACGGGCUCUAGGAUAUAUAAAUCAAGCACUGAAGUAAUGUCUUUAAACUUCAUUUUCGAAUGUAAUCCCAAAGAAUCUUCAUGAAAACCAAACCCGCCAUAAAAACCCAUUUCAGAACAAAGAAACCGAAUCACUUCUUGUCUUUGAAGAGCUCCCCCUCCAAGUCACAAUGAUCUUCAAAUAAGCUAAUGAUAUAAGCCAUCAAAAAAUAUCAUGUAACAACCCAAACUUUAAGAUUCGUAACGCCACUUGAUCGAGAAAAUACAAGUAGUCGGAGAUAUAACAAGUCCUUAGCAGAGCUCGAUGAAAAACUUCUGUUGUAAUGGAUACUUCUCUGUAAAAACUUUAGUAGAGCUCGAUGAAGAACUUCUGUUGUAAAAGCUACCUUCAUAAUUCUCCCACAAGCUUUAUCAAAAAGCUUCAACUUUGAAAAGUCACAAAUCUAAUUUCGAAUGGCCAUACCAAAUUCUCCCCCGAUUUAUAAUCAAAAACAUGAUUAUAAACCUUCAAAUGGUCAUGAGAAUGAUCUUGAAUGGAUAAAAAUUUACUAAGCUCCCCCGUGACAAAAUGAUAUUAACGAUGAAGUAUAAAAUCCGAAAAAGUCGUGAAAAUUUGACGUUAUCACGAAAACAACUUUCCGAACCGCCAAGACUUGAUGGAAUCCAUAAUUUUCUGUUCACAAAAAAAUAUGUGCGUUAAAGAAUUCAAAACUGUUCACCAGCCCUCAAAUUUGUAAACUUUUCUGAAUAAUGGGCUGAAACUGUCACGCUACUGAAAUCAUAAUUGUGCAUCAUACUCCCCUUCAUCUGUAACAAUUUCUGGAAAUGGACUAAUACUGCCAAGUCACGAAUAAUUCAGAGACCAAAACCAUCAAAUCCCGGAAAUUGCAAGGACCAAUAAUGAAUCAUUGAAUCUUCUUCCCCAUUUAGACAAAUGAUUAAAAGAACGAACGGCGACUCAAAUAAAACCUUCAAAUAUUCAUAAACAAAACCCAAAAAUCCGUUUCUGAUUAACCCUUCAUACUGAGCACCGAGUUCCGAACACCAAGCAUCACACCCGAUCCAUUCGUACUUUUGAUUGCGAGUCUGUUCAUUCCGAGUCAACAAUUUCAAUGCGAAUCAAAGACAAUCCCCGAAUCCAAUCAACAAACUACUUCGAUCAAACCUUUCGUUCUGAGCGCACCAAUACGAUUGGGAACCGAAUUCAAGAUGCGAGAUCGUUUCAAUCUUCAUUCCAAAUUGCGAGUCCCAUGAAUUGCGACAUACCAAAUGCAAAACUAACAUUUCGAUUCUGAUGGGGGACACAACAACAUUUUGAAUGUGAAGCCAUCACACUACUGCCGUCAUUUUGAUUCUCAUUCACAGCUUCUUUCACAUAUCAUCUUCCAUAAACACAACAUUUCCACUUUCAAGAACUUUUCCAUAUCAAACGUCAUAUUUCAAUUAACGUCGGCACCAUCUUCAUCUGUUCUUGAACUGGUUCUUGAUUCCAUCAUCUUUGAUAAAGCUUAAAUCGAAUUACAUUUAAGAACAUCGAUCAUCAUCACCAUUCGACUAUCACACAAAAUUCAACUUGUUUUUCAAUAUUCAUCAGCAAUAAUUUGUAAACCAUUUUCCAAUCGUUUAAAUAAUCGGUAAAUCAUUUGUAUCACGUUGAAUGGUGGAAAAUCGGAUUUAAGAUCAAACAAUGAAAUCAUAUAUGAUUCAGAUGAAAACGAGAACAUACGUGAUCAAAAUACGAUUUGAUUUUGACUUUCGGUUUUGACCAUCCAUAAUAAUCAGCGCCAAACAAUAAAAUCAAUUUUCUCAACUCAAUUUUCGGGCUAAACAGAUCAAUUUUGGAACAUGAUAGAUUAACUCAGUUCAAACAUAUAAUCAAAGAACAAAAUCAGAAUCGAUUUUGAGAUUGAUAUUUUUCAGAAAUCUCAACUCAAGAACAGAACUAUUAGCGAAUUGAACAAAAAUCCAGAAUUGUGAAAUCCAAAAAGAAUGCUUAAUCCUCAUGAAGUUAAACCCUUAAAUCGAAUAAGAAUAUUGGCAUUCGAGAUUCAUAAUUUUGUGAUUUCAAACACCGAUGAACGAUAUAUGAACAAAGCAAUAAACAAUAGUUGAAACUAUUAGGGCCCAAGGAACAGUAUUGGAUCGAAUCAAUAUUGUGACAAACGAAAUAAGACUCAAUUGAAUGGCCUGAAACGGAUCUAUUGAUCUCUAAGACAAAUUAAUCAAAUCCAAAGAACAGAGGAGAAAAAAAUACCACAAUGAACAGUAGAGGAAUAUCACAAAUCUCCAUGAACAGUUUCUUGAACAAGAAUCUUUGAUUCCAAACCACCAAAACACCAAUAAUCUUCAGUAACUUGUGCAGAAAAUCAUCAAAUCAAGAACCGAUACUUCAAAAAUCAAUAGAUUUUCAAAGACCCGCUCUGAUACCACUUGUUGGGAUUAAAACCCUAAUUGUGAUUUGAUGAACAAGAUGCGGAAAAUAAGAACAAACACAAAUAAUGAAGAAUAUGUCGAAUGAUCACUUGAUUUAUUGAAAUAUGAGGAAUAAAUUACACUUAAAGCAUAGACUAAAGAAUCUAACACUACAUAAGAAACCUCACGUGGCGGCUACAUUUUGCCUCCCUCUCUUAACCCUAAUAAUGAAUAAUACAUGACUAUUUAUAGGGAAAAGACAAGUCUUGGGCUUUUAACCUAGAAUUCAUCAAAGGGGCCCAUUGCCAUCAUCCAUGGAGUGCUUUGAAACCCUACACAAUAGUCAUACUCAAAGACAUGAACUUUCGGAGCAUUGCGCUUCGGAACAUGAUCUUCCGGAGAGGUGGUAUUAAUUGAUUUUUUCGAAGUCAUUUUUUCUUUAGAGGGGGAUUUGACUUUCCAGACAGUAUUAUGUUUAGGAGAUUUUGAGGAACUUGUUUCUAGAGUACUUUUUGGUUUGUUUGACGGCACACUAGUUUUUGAAGAGUUUGAUUUAAAAAUUGUGCCAUCAAUUUUAGCGAUGAAAACCGAGGAAACAUUUCGGGAUGGAGUGUUUCGGACAGGUGAACCUUGUUCACGAGUUUUGGGUGGAGUGAUACUAACUCCUGUAUUGCGAUGAGCAAUACUGGGAGAACCUGAUGGUCUUUUAAGUAUCUCAGUGGGAAUAAAGGAGUUUUGUCUUGGUGUAGAAGAGUUAGGGUUUCGAGAUACACUCUUUUUGGAGUUUUCAAGGGAUUGAGAGUUUUGUCUGGACCUAACUUCCUUCUUGUGAGCAUUUCUUGCUUCCACUUUAGGAUCUACGACAACCUUUCUACUGAGCAUUGGUUUUUGCUUUGAUUGAAAUACAGACUUUAAGGUUUGACCUGUUGAUGGAUUGUUAAACUUGGGAUCAAUGGGAACCAAUGUUGUUUUUGACAUAAGAAGGUAAUCAGAUUCAUAUGAAUCAGAGGAGACAUUGCUUGAGGUUUCAGCCUUAUCAAAUAAGGAUGCCCAUACACACUCAGAUGAAGUGGUUUUAGUAAUAUUGGAAGUAAUUUCCUCAAUUACACAGUUGUUCGGAGGAUUGUUGUUUGAAAUGUGAUCUAUUCUAUUAGAGACACUAUGAUGAAAUUCUGGGUCCGAUUCGGGUCCAGGUUUAUUAGAGGCGGAAAAGGCGUGGAAUCAGGACACUUAACAACAAUAGGUUGAAACUCAGGGAUCAAAGAUGCAAAGUGGUCAUUUGUAUCUGGAAGGGGUGACAAGGGAGAAACACGGGUGUCCGAAUGUUUGAUGUUUGGAAUCUCUCCCAAAAAAGUCAUAUUUUUGCAAUUCCUUUAGAGGACUAGCAAUAGGCUUUGUAAACUCGCUUCUGAGGCCAGGUGCUUUGGACCAUGGAUGACGAAAAUUAUGUGUGAUCCGUUCAUUUGCUUCAAGCAUGUCAAUAGACUUGUGCAAAGCAUCUAUUUUAGCAUUGAGACGUUUAUUAUCAGAAACCAAAACAUUUCUUUUAGAGUAGGUAAUUUCACAUUUGUCUUUCAAAAUGAUACAUUCAUCUUUUAACAUUACAAGCUCUCGUUCUAAAGACUCAAUUUUUAACUUCUUAUCCUUGAAAUGUAAUCUAAGACGACUCAAUUCGAUAUCCUUCUUCUCACUAGCUUCUAUGGUUGACUCAUAGGCUUUGUAAAUGAUGUUCAUGUCCGAUUGAAUCUGAGUUAGAUAUGGUUCACAAAUUGAUAAAUCAAAAUUAUUUUAAGUAAUUAAGCUUUUUACUUGUUGAAUGAUGCUUCUUCCUGGAGGGUCGUUUGUAGCCAUGUAGUAGUAGUUGGGCUCAGCAUCUUCAUCAUCUUUCUCAGAUCCAGAUGACCAAUAGCUAUCAUCACAUUCAACAUCUUGUCUUGCCAUCAAGCACAUAUUUCUUCCAAUCAUCGUAUCAUCAUCAUCUCCGGAUGACCAGUAACCUUCAACGUCUCUUGAAACAUUUGUUACAAAAGCUUUUUCACUUUCAGCCAUUUCUUGAGCCUUUUGGGCAUAGUAGGCAGAAUCCUUGAUUUUUGGUUUCAGUUCAGAGUCAGCUCGCAAUCUUUUGCGAAGUGGUUUGCAUGUCCACACUUGUGACACAAUUUUUGGUAUGGUUUGAAGGAAGCAAUAAAAGGACGUUUGUAUUUAAUUGAGAGAAGAGAAAACUCCUGAUGGAAAUGGAGUUCUGAGUCCAUGACUUCAGAGUCAUCAAUAGGAUAGUUUUGAGAGGGCGUGGAUGAUUUAACCAGUGGAAUAGUGGUUUUGAAAAGGUAUCAAGUAGAGGAAUUCAAAACAGUUGAUUCGAAGGAAUUGAGAAGAGCAAGAGGACCUCCGGAAAGUUCCAAUAUGGUUUGAGCAACAUUUGACUCGUGUCCUUGAAGUUCAUCAAAAAGUUGAUAUAUCUUUAACUUUUUCAAGGAACCAUUACUUUGAAGACAAGAUUUUACAUUUCCCCAUCCUUUGCCAAGACUGUUUAUGAAUUUGAGAUUAUACUCUAGGGGAGUUCGGACAAUCCCAUGAGCAGUCAUGUUGUUGACCAUUAUUCGGUAACGGUUGGAGGCAGAGGCUGUGUAUUCACCAGUAGUGGUUAUGAAGGUGUCAAAGUCAUUUACAACUGAAGUAAGGAGCUUGUCUUUCAUGUUUUUCGAACCUUCAAUUAGGACUUGAAGAGUGUCCCAAAUCUCUUUAGCUGUUUUGCAUAACUUGAUGUGCUCGAAAAGUGAAGGAGGAACACCAAACACCAUUUCAGAGAAAGUAACUUGGUAUGCAUGUAGCUUUUCAAUGUCAUCAGCAGUUAGAGGGACUGGACGAUUUUCAUAUUGACCCAUAAGCUGAGCAGCAACAUCUCUUACAACGGUUCUAACAUGAACAUGAGGACCUUCAUUCACGGAUCUCCAGAUUUCUUCACCUUUAUCUUUGGCUAAAAGAAAUAUUUCCAUUCUAACUUUCCUGGGAUCAUAUACUUCCACAACUAGUAAUGGGGCACAUGUAGGGCCACCCACACUAUUUGCGAUUUGCAUUGAAAUUAUUUGUUGAGGAUUAGAAGCAACCAUUGAAGUUAAGAUAUCUUGAGCAAAAGUGGUAUAUAGAAGAACUUUUAUCCUAAGCACAUAAAUGGUUGAAAUACCAAGGUAUCUUCAAACCAACUAUAAUCUGCUCUUGUGGAUUCAAAGGAUAACCAACUAUAAUAUGCUCUUAAGAUCAAUGUAUGCUUAGUAUAAGAAGUUAAAGUCUAAACUGGAAAGACCAGUCAAGUCUUAGAUAUUAUAUUCAACAAAUGAUCAAGACAUUAAAUGAAGAAUAAAAGUAAAUGAUCAAGGUAAAGAUAAUAAAUGAAUAACAAGAAGAAUGUUUGAAAAAGAUUUGAGAUAACAAAGUAAAUGCCAAAAGUUGAGCAAAAGAUCCGUAUUUGACUUGUAUUGAAUGCUCCUUUAUAUAGGAGAGAAUGUUAUAGUGAAUUAACUAAGCAACUUACAUCGGACUGGACAAUAGAACUAUUUCUGACAUUCGGAUUGUCUAAUACAACAAAAGGCUAAGUCCUACGAAAUGUUACAUCAAUACAAGUAUAAUUAAUGACAAAAGACAAAAAAGGGUGUUCUUCCAGUUCAACAUACAUUCCAGACGUGAAAGUCACUCUGGAAUGGGCUCCUCUUCAUAAUAUUCUUCCUCUUCUUCUUCUCUUCAGCUCCGGACAGGUUCCGGAGCACUCUUCACUUAUGAACCAACAUACUUUGGAAUAUGUACUUGGGAUUGCUAGAUGUUCACUUUCGGGUUCCAACAGGUAUGUACUUGACACAAGAGUAGCAUGGUCCAUUUGGGUUGCAUGGCACCGGAACAAUUUGUAAGGAUGGACUCUUGAGAAGAGGAUAUUUAUGAUUUAUUAAUGUAGUGUAAGUUCUAAUAUAUUAAUAUGAAAUAAUAUUAUUUAAUUAGUAUUGAUCAAUAAUUAAUUUGGAAUUAAUUUUGUGAUCAAAAGAGACUAAUUAAAUAUAUCGGGAUUCAUUAUGUAAGUCAUUCAUUCUUAUAAAGUAGGCUUGUGAUCCAUAGUUCUUUAUGUUGGGCUAAACCCAUGUGGUGACCCAUGGAUACUCCAUGGAGGUUAAAACCCAUGGAGCCUAAGGAAUGUGGAAAGUCAUGAACAUUAGGGUUUACAUCGUAUAACCAUAGUUGUGUCACAUUAUAUAAGAAAUCUCAUGGCUACCAAAAUCGGCACUUAAGUGAGAUACAAGAGGGCUACCCGAUUUUUUUGUGUGCAAGACAAUCUCUUAUGAAGUCCUCAAUUGUUAGUGGUGUUGUGUGAAGCAUUUGAGGCAUCAUACUUGGGGUGUUAGGUGAUGGGUUUAAGCCAUAAGCACAUUCCUAUGUGCACAUGCAAACCCUAAUGCUUGGAUCUAGGUUUCUCUAAUGAACAUUCUUUUCAUCCAAGACUUGAAAACCCUAGAUAUAUGGUAUAUAAUUCAAAAUCGACAUUACAAAGUAGAUCUAGAUUAUUACCUCUUCUUGAAAGCUUGAAUCUUGUUAUCCUUGGAGCUUAGAGUCACAAAUGUCACUCAUCUAAUGGCUUACAAACGGCAAGAAGCAAGAGGAUGAUUGAGAGAGAGGUUGUAGGCAUGAAAUCGGCUCUAGGAACUCCUUAGGGUUUCCGGUAUCCGUUUUCUGUAGCCCUUGGGGUCUUUAAAUACUUGAGUUGUUAGGGCUACAGCCUGAAACCCUAAUUGGAUAAUUUAGGCCUUAAGCAAUCCAAGGAUCCUUCUAGAAUAAGGCUUGGAGGAAUUCAAGGAGUCCAUAUACCUAAAUUUCGUCCACCCUAUGAUCUAUAAGGAUCCACAGCCCAAAACCAACUAUCACACAAAUGUCAGUUCUAGUCCACUUUAUUUAAUUAAUCUCUUUUAGCCACAAAUGUCAAUUCUAGUCUAAUAUUAAUAAAUCAUAAUAACCUCUUUAUGUAUAAAUCAUCCUAUCAUGUUGCUUUGGUGAAGGCAACCCAAAAGGACCAUGCAUAACCAAGUCAAGUACUUACCAAAUAUAGUUGCGGGCUUAGACACUAAUCCAACAGUCUCCCAGUUGGAUAAGUCUAGUAACUAUAAAUGUAAUCACAAUCCAAUUAUCAAUCGUAGCUCUCAAAGACGCUGUCGAAAUCUGAUCUUAUCAGCAACCUAUCCAUUAGAUAAGGGACCGUAUAGUCCUCUAUUCUAGAUAUCGUAUGGACAAUUACAUGGAACAUAGUCAUACUUAUUUUCCAUCAGUUUGUUUCUCGAUCUCCGAUUUAUUUGACACAGAACUUAAUUGAACACAUCAAUUCAGUCCUGACAGGGCCCGACACAUAAUUCAAACCAAAUCAUCGAUGGGCCCUGAUAUCGCUUUUAUCCUCUUAGGAUAAAGAGGAGCAUAUAAAAUUCGACUUAUUUGCAUUUAUUAUUCACUAACCAAAUCAUACACAACAAUGUGUUUUAUAACAUCAAGUUACUGAUGCGUUUUCGCAAUAUUAAUGCAUAACUAAUUACCAAACAAUAAACCAUAUACCUAGGUUUUAAGACCAUAUGAUAUUAUCGUCUUGCGAUCACUCGAGAUAAAUUCCAUGAAGUGAUUCCAAGAAGCGAGGGUUUAUUCCAAUGAUCAAAUCAAACUCAUAAGCACUCAUGAACGUUGUAGCAAACUUUUGCUAUGUCUAAUACAUUUUAGACAAUCUACACACCAAUUCAUGACAGUCUUUAUUCAUACCUACUUCCAACAUAUGAACGACUGUGGAUGGUUCGAAUAAUUCUUAUUAUUCCGGAAGACAAAACAUGCAAAAUGAAACAAUAGGUAAACAAUUAACAUAAGACAGUAACAUUACUAAUAAAUAAUAUUCUUUUAUUUAAUCAUCAAAUGCUAAUUACAUGUUUCUAUACUAUCUAAUCUAAACUAAUAUCGUCCUUCAACCCGAUGCUCCUAGUGUGCUGCACGUGCUUAACCCUGCUCGGUCCCUUCGUAAGUGGAUCUGUUGGUUAUCCUCUGAAGAUACCCUCUUUACUACGAGGAGUCCUUCUUCCACCUGAUGUCGAAUAAAAUGAUAUUUUCUGUCAAUAUGUCAAGAUCUACCGUGAUCCCUCGGUUCCUUGGUCAAGGCAACUGCUCCUUCAUUGUCAUAGAAAAUUUCCAUGGGUUCCUUUAUGGCUGGCACAACUCUAAGGUCUCCAAUGAAGUUCUUCAACCAUAUCGCCUCCUUUGACGCUUCGCUCGCCGCAAUAUACCUUGAUUCACACGUUGAAUCAGCUACUGUCUCUUGCUAGGAACUUUUCCAAGUCACUGCUCCUCCAUUAAGGGUAAAGACCCAGCCCGACUGUGAACGGUAGUCAUCCCUAUCGGUCUGAAAACUGGUGUCAAUAUACCCUCGCACCUUUAAGUCAUCACUCCCACCGAGGACUAGAAACCAUUCCUUAAUCCUCCGAAUGUACUUAAGAAUGUUUUUGACUGCGGUCUAAUGCGCUCUGCCAGGGUUCCCUUGAUAUCUACUGACCAUGCUCAAAGCGAAGGCCACAUCAGGGUGAGUAUAAUUCAUAGCAUACAUAAUCGAGCCAAUUGCAGAAGCGCAUGGUACUCGACUCACUUAUGCUAUCAAGAAUUCGGUACUCGGGCAUUGAGUCUUAGUCAACUUGGCAUUACUUUGGAUCGGUAACUCUCCCUUCUUUGAAUUCUCCAUACUAAAACGUUUUAGUACCUUGUCCAAAUAAGUAUUCUAACUAAGUCCUACUAGUCUCUUACUUCUGUCUCUUACAAUCCUUAUUACCAAAAUAUAGGAAGCCUCUCCGAGGUCCUUCAUAGGGAAGCACUUCCGGAUCCAGGACUUAACCUCCUAUAGUGUCGGGAUGUCGUUUCCUAUGAGUAGUAUGUCAUUGACAUACAAUAUGAGGAAGCUAACUAUACUCCCACUGGCUUUGACGUAUAGACAUGAUUCAUCCUCGCUUCGUAGAAAACCAAACUCUUUGACUUUCUCGUCGAAUCAAAGAUUCCAUCUGCGAGACACUUCCUUAAGUCCAUAGAUGGACUUCUCAAGCUUGCACACUCUAUUGGGAUGCUUCGCAUUGACAAAACCCUCUGGAUGUAACGCCUGUGUUUCCGGGCUUGCCAUUUGUAGCAAUAUAAUAGUCUAGGUUAACCUUUGUAACCCGUUUUGAAAUAAUAAGAUUGUAUUAUUUGAGUAUUAUGUGUUUUGUGCUUAAUUGCUUAAUUAUGUGGUUUGAUUAAUUAAGAAUAAAAAUAAGCGUCAAAAUUUAAGUGUAAAAUAAACUUAAUAUCUUUGGUUAAUGUUGUAGUAGUUGAAACGAGGUUUCCGAAUAUAUAUAGAACGCCCAAAUCUGACUUCGUAUGAGGAAGUUAUGAUUUAUCGAAGUUCCGGCUUAGCGGUAUACAGCCUGUAAUACUCGAUUUGAGAUCGAGCGGUUGUUAGCCGAAGCAAUCUAAAUGAGAAUCGAAGAUCUCAUUGUUGGUAUCGAAGCGAUAAAAAGUUAGGCGAGAACGGACGUCAAACGAAGAAGUUAUGAAUUUAUAACGAAAGUUUCUGUCCCGGCCUAUUAAAAAUAAUUAAUAAAAAUAAAGUCAAAAUUAGCCGACGGAGUCUAAACGAAAGUCGUAGAGCGUGGUCUCACCUUUCCGUGGAUAUAAAGAACGUCGAAAACGGAGUUCGUAUGAAGAAGUUAUGAAUUUCCGAAGUUUAUUAAUCAUUUUGUAUUUAUAUUUAAAUCAAAAUUCGGAAGCAUUAUCCGAAGGAGUCACCGAUCUGAUCCGAGGUACGCCCCGCGUACUCGAGUACGCCCCGCGUACUCCGAGGGAUGUCGACACUCGCACUCGAGCACUUCGGAUACGUAAGCAAUGACGUUUUGGGCAGUACGCCCCGCGUAACGCAGUACGCCCCGCGUACUCCGAGGCUCCAGCCUCCUAUAAAUAGGAUGCGAGGGUUCCGGGUAUUUUUGCCAAUUCCCUCUCGUUUUCGUGUCGAAGCUCUGUGCAAAAACCCCCGAAGCUACCCCGAAGUCCCGGUAUCAUACUCUAGCCCCGAGGCAAGUCCCGAGAUCCCGAAGAUCCCGAAAAGUGCGGUUCCCGAGUCGAAGCUCUGCCCGCGAGAAGUUCGAUUUUCGAGGAGAUCUUCCAGAUCUGCUGUGGAUUACUACUUCUAUAAGCCGUAGUGCUGUCCGAUCAUCUUCUGAUCAAGUGAGUGUGUAGUUAUUUCUUCUAAUACAAUAAUACGAAGUAUUUUAUAUAAAAAUACGUGCUAUGUGUAUAUAUUUGGUUGUGUUAUGUGUGAAUGAGUAUUCACUCUCUUCUAUCUUAUAGAUCUGCUUAUUUCUUUAUGAGAUAUGUGUUAUGUGUGUGUGUGCCUCAUCUGUUAUGUGAUAUAUGUGUUGAUUAAAGCAUGCUAUACAGGUUUUCUUUAAACUAUGUAUACAAAUGUAUAUUUUUAUCUACUAAUAUGUUGGGUAGAACAUGGGUAGACAGUUGGUGUGUAAUAAACAGAUGAGAGGCCUCGUUGUUGUUUGAUUGAGUCAUCUAGCGGAGUUUAGAUGACGACCACUGGCUAUUCUAGACAGUCUUGUGGAAACAUUAGCAGGUUCGCCACCUGUAGGUGUUAAUGAACUUGGGUGUUCAUUCGCUGUACUCCAUCCCCCUCAUGGUUGCCUUAUUUGACUUAUAUUGCUGAGGUACCCCCGAAGCAUGUGUUGUCGCCCCGAUGAAAUAUUCUUAGACUAGGUCCCUUAUGUUAGUUGUUUUAGGGACAUUAAAGUGAGAAUAACGGGAAUGGGUAAUUGGGUUAUUGUUGGUUGGUGAAAAUUAAAUAUGAUAUUUAUUGUGGGUUGAAAACCCUAUAUGCUCACCAGGCUCCCAAGCCUGACCCACUCAGUUUUAAAUUGUAUUACAGGUAGUGGCGGAAGGGCAUGAGAUGGAUGAACCAUCAAGUUGUUUUGUUUACAAGUCUGCAUAUGUUUAUAUUUGUUAUAUGACUUGUAAUGUAUUCGUUUAUGCUUAUUGGUCUGUAUCGGAACAUGACACCCCGAGUUUUGAUUAUAAUGAAAAUACAUUUCUUUUAUGAAAUGCUUCGGUAAACAAUGUUUUAUCAUGUUUUGUUUUUGGGAACAAAUUCCGCAACUCUUUCAAAUCAAAAGGAUUUACUCUGAAAAUAUUUAAAAGCAUAAAUGAAAAUCGGUCUUUUCUGGCCGAGAUUUUGGGGAUGUCACAGUUGGUAUCAGAGCAUUAGUUUAAGCGAACUAGGAAUUUGUAGGAUUUCUAGACUUAAACUUAGAAUGCUAAGUGAAGUUUUGAGAUGUGUGUCUGUUGUGAUUUAGACACGAGCACUAGUUUAUUUUAGGAAAGUUGCCUAAAAUGCUUUAUGUGCUAAAUGUUAUAUGUUGCCAUAUAUGAUAUUAUUUGUUCGGAUCUAUGGUCUGUUGCCGACCGGAUCUAGAAACCUUAUGUGUGUAGGAUUCUAAGCGUACGUCUACGAUAUUAGAACUAGCAUGUAAACGUUUCGGAGUGAUAAGGAUGAUUUGAAUAUCUAUCAUGAUUGAGGAUCUAAUUUCACCUUAUUCGGUGUAGAUCAAAAUGGUGAGAACAAGAAGUGGAGUUGGAAAUGCUGACGAAAACAGGAAUCAACCACCAGUGAUUGAGCCAAUACCUGUCGUAGCAGCAGCACCUGAGCCAAUAACCAUGGCUGGUGUGCAAUUGAUGAUUCAGACGAUGUUGGAUCGUCAGAUGGAUGAAACUAGACGGUUGCUUCAACAAAAUCGUGAAGAACUGUCGAUUCGUGUGGAAGAGCCUGAACUGAAUGAAGGGCACUCGGAAGGUGGAAACUUCAGUGGGUCUGUUGGUCCAGCCAACCCACCGAUAGUUAGGCAAGAUAACCAUGAUGGAAGGAAUGAUGGAAUGGGAUGCAAGUACAAGGACUUUUUGACUUGUAAACCAUCGACCUUCAAUGGAAAGGAGGAUCCGAUUGGGGUUAUGGAUUGGAUCUCCGAAAUGGAGUUAGCCUUUAUGACAUGUGGCUGUAGAGGCAAGUUGCAGACUAUCUAUGCCGUGCGACAAUUCCGAGGUGGAGCCGUUCGUUGGUGGAACACUCUAGGGAAGACCUUAAGCCCUAAUGAGCCACUGCAAUUGUCAUGGGCAGAGUUCUUGGUGCAGUUCAAGCGCAAGUUCUGCUCGGCUCAAAAUCUGUUGGAGUUGGAGAACAAGUUUUUGACAUUGACGAAGGGUAGCAUGUCAGUGGAUGAGUACACCAAUAACUUCACCGAUAAGAUGGAGUUUGCCUUGCGUAUCGUUCCAGACGAGCUGACAAAGGUGGAUCGGUAUGCGAAGGGACUUCCAUGGGAGUACGAGGUGCCGGUACGUCAGGCACUUACUCUAGAGGCAGCUAUCUGGGCUGCCAAGUCUGUGGAGAACAUGAUCAAGGGGAGAACCACCGUCAAGGUUGAGGUUGGUGAGAAAAGGAAGUUUGAAGGAACAUCUGGUUCCAGUAAGAAGAGCAAAUUUUCGAAAUCUGAUUCGAAAAAGUUUGGAGGAAAAGGAGGCGAAGCAAAGUGGUGUGAUAAGUGUAAGAAAAAGCACUUUGGGAAAUGUAGCGAGGAUGUGACCUGCUACAAGUGUGGAAAGGUUGGACAUUUUGCCAAUGAAUGUCCGAACAACAAAAGGAUGUGUUUUGGGUGUAAUGAAGAGGGGCAUAUUUUGAAAGACUGUCCGAAGAAGAAGGAGGCAGCUAGGCCCAACAUUCCACCAAAGCCGAAGGCGAGAGCCUUCCAGAUGACACUUGAGGCUGCGAAAGAUGAAGCUGAUGUCGCUUCAGGUACCUUUCUCGUAAACGAAUUACCUGCUCAUAUAUUGUUUGAUUCUGGAGCCAACUACUCCUUUAUUUCGCAUGAGUUUGGUAGAAAGCUAGCUUUGCCUGUUGAUAGACUAGAUAAUGCUUUAUUAGUCGAAGUAGCUAGUGGCAAGUUUGUACCUGUUAGCCAUCGUAUGAAAAACGUCUUGAUCGACCUUAAUGGGAAUAAGUUUCUCGAGGAAUUAUUGCCUAUCGAACUAAAUGGUUUCGACAUCGUCUUGGGAAUGGAUUGGCUUAGCGCCAAUGAUGCCGAAAUUUUGUGCAAGAAGAAGAUAGUUAAAGUAAACCCGCCUGGGAAAGAUUCGUUUAUGGUGUAUGGGGACAAACGCAGAGUGAAUUCUGGAAUCAUUUCUCUAAUGAAAGCCAGAAAGUGUUUGACCAAGGGAUGUACAUCAUAUUUAGCAUUCGUGAUUGAUGCUAAGAAAGAAAAGAAGGUGAUGCAGAGCAUUCCAGUGGUGUGUGAUUAUCCGGAAGUAUUUCCCGAGGAUCUUCCUGGAUUACCACCUGAUAGACAAGUGGAGUUCAGAAUAGACUUGUUACCAGGAACCACGCCAAUAGCAAAAGCACCUUAUCGAUUAGCACCGACGGAGAUGAAGGAGCUGAUGAUGCAACUUCAGGAGUUAUUGGACAAAGGUUUCAUUAGACCUAGUUCAUCGCCCUGGGGAGCUCCGGUGUUAUUUGUAAAGAAGAAAGAUGGAAGUAUGAGAAUGUGCAUCGAUUACAGAGAGCUGAACAAGGCAACAAUAAAGAAUAGAUAUCCGUUGCCGAGGAUUGAUGACCUGUUUGAUCAAUUGCAAGGUUCGAGCUAUUUCUCGAAGAUCGAUCUUAGGUCAGGAUAUCAUCAGCUGAAAGUAAGAGAGCAAGAUAUCGAGAAGACUGCAUUCAGAACUAGAUAUGGACACUACGAGUUCUUGGUUAUGUCGUUUGGACUAACCAAUGCUCCAGCAGCGUUCAUGGAUUUGAUGAAUAGGGUUUGUAAUCCUUUCCUUGAUAAAUCCGUGAUAGUGUUCAUAGACGACAUUCUGAUCUACUCGAAAAGCCAGGAGGAGCAUGGCAGACACUUGCGAGAAGUGUUAGAAGUUUUGAAGAAGGAGAAGCUUUAUGCGAAGUUCUCCAAAUGUGAUUUUUGGAUUCGUGAGGUCCAAUUCUUGGGUCACGUGGUCAACCAAGAAGGGAUAAUGGUUGAUCCAGCGAAGAUCGAAGCUGUGACGAAGUGGGAACAACCGAAAAGUCCCACGGAGAUUCGAAGCUUUUUAGGAUUAGCCGGAUAUUACCGAAGGUUUAUCCAAGGCUUUUCUUCGAUUGCUACUCCAUUAACAGCUUUGACCCACAAAGGAGCUACUUAUGCUUGGAGUGAGAAGCAUAAAGAAGCAUUCGAGAAGUUAAAGAAGAAGCUAUGCGAGGCACCGAUACUUUCUCUACCCGAUGGAGUUGAAGACUUCGCUGUUUAUAGCGAUGCGUCUGGUGUUGGAUUGGGUUGUGUUUUGACCCAAAGAGAAAAGGUGAUAGCAUAUGCGUCUCGACAGCUGAAAGAGCAUGAAAAGAAUUACCCGACUCAUGAUUUGGAGUUGGCAGCGGUAGUUUUCGCUCUGAAAAUAUGGAGGCAUUACCUCUAUGGCACGAAGUGCAAACUUUUCACUGAUCAUAAGAGUCUCCAAUACCUCUUUAAUCAGAAAGAAUUGAAUAUGAGGCAACGACGCUGGCUAGAAUUACUUAAAGACUACGACUGCGAGAUACUUUACCACCCCGGUAAAGCUAAUGUUGUUGCUGAUGCUCUCAGUCGGAAAGUCAAUCUUGAAAGGAAGAGGCCAAGAGCGUUGAGAAUUGAAGUUGUCUCGACUAUUGUGGAAAGUAUAAAGAAAGCUCAAGAGGAAGCUUCUGAGAAAAAUGACCGAAAGGAGGAACGUUUGGGUAAAACGUUGGUGUUUGGUACUAACGGUCAUGGACUGAAGGUAUUCCAAGAUCGUAUUUGGGUACCUAAGUCAGGAGGAAUUAGGGAUCUUCUGAUGGAAGAAGCUCACAAAACCAUGUACUCAAUUCAUCCGGGUAGCACUAAAAUGUAUAGGGACCUGAAACCCUACUACUGGUGGCCGACGAUGAAGCUUGAUGUUGCAAAGUAUGUGGCCGAGUGUGUGACUUGUGCGAGAGUCAAGACACAACAUCAGAAACCUUACGGGAGUUUAGAACCAUUGCCUGUGCCUAUGGGUAAGUGGGAAGACAUUGCUAUGGAUUUUGUCACUAAACUGCCCAGAACAAAGAAUGGUCACGACAUGAUUUGGGUGGUCGUUGAUCGAUUCACUAAGAGUGCGCAUUUCAUAGCGGCCAGGGAGAAAUGGUCUAUGGAAAAGCUUGCGAAUUCUUACGUGAAGGAAAUUGUGAGGCUUCACGGUGUUCCGUUAACGAUUGUAUCGGAUCGUGAUAGCCGUUUCACCUCAAGGUUUUGGAAAAGUCUACAAGAGGAAAUGGGUACCAAGUUAUGUUUAAGCACAGCUUACCAUCCGCAGACUGAUGGUCAGAGUGAAAGAACAAUACAAACACUUGAAGAUAUGCUGAGAGCAUGUACCUUGGAAUUCCUAGGUAAUUGGGAUGAACAUUUACCGUUGGUAGAAUUUUCCUAUAAUAAUAGUUUUCACUCGAGCAUUAAGAUGGCACCUUAUCAAGCUUUGUAUGGACAGAAGUGUCGUACGCCGUCUUGUUGGCUUGAGGCUGGGGAAAAGCAGUUUAUGGGACCGGAGAUGGUUCAUCAAACUGCUGAAAAGUUGAAAAUAAUUAGGGAAAGA
rnacentral:lncRNA from 1 species